GCUUCACCUUGAGCAGUUGAAAAGCCAAAUGCCUGGGGUCCCAUGAAGAUGUGUCCUUGUGACAAACAACCACAGCCUUGACUUUUGCUCCAUCAGCACCAACCAAGUUAACCAUAUAAGCAUCGAUGUUCUGGAAGCUGUGGCAGUAAAAAACCGCGUAGACAUAGUUUUGCUUGUGACAAGCAACCAAUUCAUCAUCAACGAUUGCUUUAUCAUUGUUCAACUUGGAAACAUCCACAAUACCAUAUUUUUGGAUUUUUCCUGCAUUUUUUGGUGCUUCAUUUGAAAAUGCUAGAACAUUUUUGCCCAGCUUUGAAGUAGUGAAAUCGACCAUCGACUCGAGAGAUGUCGCACAGUACUUGUCUUCCCCUUCAAUUGCAGGCUCCUCGCAUUCUGCUAUGGUUUUCUUGAUAGCUUCGGAUUGGGCUGAAUGUGGGUUCACUGAGAAUUUAUUCAAAAUUUCAGGAACAGAUUUGGAUGAGAAGGGAGUGGAAUCAGCCACCUGGCGGGGUAGGAAGGCCGGAGUAUCAUUCACUGAUUCAAUGAACUGCAUAUUCACGCUUGAGCCGCGAUGGAGGUCCUUUUUCAAGAAGAAAGCUGUUACUUUUUGGUGAUAAUGGAGUUGGUCUUCAGUAGGACUAUAAUGCGCAGUGAAUCUAUAUAUUCUCAACGGGAUUCUGUCUGGUCUUACGCUGAAACUGGCACCUCCCGGGGGCUUUCCUGUAGUUAAUUGAUGAGCAACAAGAUGAAAUACCAAAUAUUUUGAGGGACCAAAUUUAACAUUUUUAAAUAGAAAAGCUUCACAGUUUUGUGAGGUAUGACUUUAAAUUUAUAUAAAAUAUAUCUAAAUUUUUUUACAGCUUAGACCCUCUAAUUGUGGCAAGUAUUGGGAAUGGUUGUGAGUUGUGACAUCUGCUGGACCACUAUAUUUGUAUGAUCUUCUGAACUAAAUGCAGUGUAGACAAUCACUUGUGCAUGAUUAUGUAAAAUUCAAGAUAUUUUACUCAUUUUGUCGGUAAAAGCUUUUACACAGUGCAUGAAUAUGAAAUAAUUAUAAAACAUUUAGCCAAAUUCUUUUUUUUUAUAAUUAAAUAUUAGAUUUUUCUAACAGAUACCUAAUCGGCACCCCAUUUAUUAUAUAUAUACUACUAACAGUUGUUAUACUCUUUUACAUUUAAGCCCAUCCCUAAACUUAACUUUAUUUUUUAAAAAAAGUUAAUAGAUUAACUCAAUCUUAAUGAAUGUCCACUCUCGUUGGACAAACCCUUAACUCUUUUACUCAUUUCAUUAUUGGUCGUUGAAUGGGAAAAUUGAAGUAUAAAGACCAGAUUUAUUGUGUUUGUCAGCAUAAUUUUGUGAUUUUUUUUUUUGGUUUUCCCUUUAGUGAAACUAUAAAUUUGUGGUGUAAAUUUUCUCAAAAUUCUUUAGCUUUUGAAAUUGGUUUAGUAUCUAUUAAAACCCUUGAAAUCUUGGGGAAACAAACAGGAAAUUUAGCAAGCAAUAGAAGAAGCGGAAUAAAUAAUAAAGAUUGGAAAGGAGCACUUCUCGGACAAACCAUUGCGUACGAUAUCUCUGACAGCUUUGGGCAUCGGACUGGUUGGAAGCUUGGAUUUCCAAUAAACUUCGAGAUCUGCAUGCUUUGCUCCAACUCCUGUCUGGUAUAAAUUUCACGAUACCCAAAAAGAAUAUAUCAGCAAUUAAGUUUCCAGGCUGCCCAAAAUGCAAGCAAAUUAUCACGAAGUUAAAAAUUAAGAUAGCCUGUAACUUUGAAAUAUAUAUAUACACACACACUCACAGAAACAAGUGUGAGAAAGUAGAGGAGCUUGAGCAAGUCCAUAAUACUUAUGCCACAGUAGAAUUCGGCUAUGUAAGGCUGAGUGAAGAGAUACUAAAACCAAAAUGUUGAUGUGAGAUAGCUCAAGAACCUUGGCAGCAGUAUUUAUACAAGUGCAAGAGCCACAGUGGCUUGCUAAAUAUUUGAGAGGGGAAAAGUUUUGACAUGAUUAAUACUGCAUAGUUGAGCAUUUAAGGGUCUGUUUGUUUGAAUUGAAAAAAUUUUUUAGAAAAUGUUUCCUCAAUUUGUGCUUUUUAACUCAUUUAAAACCACAGAAAAUGAUAUCUCUUGGUAAAAUGUUUUGCAUAAGUGUGCGUAAAUAAUUCCGGUUACAAGCUAAAUAAUUCCAGUUAAAAUGUUUUGCAUAAGAGUGGUUGAUAUGGUGACGAACUGAAUUAAUUAUUCAUCAAGACGGGUAUUUUCUAGAAGGAACCGAACACAUGAAAAUUAGAAAGAAAAGAAGAAAUUUUUUUCCAAAAGAUGACUUCCAAUGAAAUUAGUUUCCCAGUGAAAAUCAUUUAUAUGGUGCCGAAUAGAUCCUUAGUCACUGUACCUUUCAAUUUUCAUGAUAUGCAUCAAUCACUACAAGAAAAUUGGUCAUCAGUGAUAACUUUUCUCUGUGACGAAAAAAAGUUGUCACAAAAGUGGAUCCUUUAUUGAUGACUUUCUAACUCGUCACAAACCUCUAAUGGGAGCCAACUCAUUUGUGACACUAGUAAAUUCCCGCCAAGUUUUAGCAAGAGCGCGGGAGUGUUUAGAACACACAAUAGUGACGACAUUAAGAACAUCAUCACUAUUGCUUGGCCUAUUUACGGACGACUUUUUGUUGUCGUCACUGAUCACUAAAAAAAAAAGUUAUUAGUGACAACAUUUUGUAGUGAUGAAUUGUAAUUUUUGUCUUAAUAAUCUAAGUCUCAUUACUUGUUCUUUAUUAUUGUACUCCUCCCCUUACCUAUUUCUUUUACUCUUUUAUGACAGAUAAAUGCUAUUCAUACUAGUUUUUGGAAGAUAUCUAUGGUUAUGGUUGAAGAAUGUUGAAGACAAAAUUGCCUUUUGCUCAUGGAGUGAUUCAUUUAGAUGUUCUUCAAUUUCUUAAACUAUGAUUGCUUUUGUAAAUGUACCUUAUGUACAAGUGAUAUUUUGGACAAAUGUUAUUUUUGUAGGCAUUAGUUGGGCAAUGUACACUUGAAUUUGGCAUUUGAGAAUGCUAUAUUAUUACCAUGUAAUCUAAUGCAAAUACUUUUGGUUAUCAAUCGUUCAUGUUUAUUUGUAUGGUUUGUUUAAAAUCAAUGAUUUAGCAAUGAUUACAGGCCAAAUUAUGACUAUUAAGCUAUUAUGAAAUUAUCUAAUGACAAAAAAAAGUUGUCACAAAAUAGAAAAUAAAAACUCCUUGUCACAACAGAGACUGUCACUAAAUCUAAGUUACAUUUGUGACGACAAUUGUUGUCAGUAAAAUAGUUAUAUACAAUGGCUUUCGGUGCUUUUUAGUGACGACCUUAAGUAGAGCAUUUUUGACAAAAGGUCAAUUCGUCAAUAAAACACUUCCAGAUUGUCGUCACUAAUGACAACUAUUUAGUGACGACCUCAAAAAUGCUCUACUUAAAGUCGUCACUAAUGAGAACUAUUUAGUGACGACAUUUUAGGUCGUCACUGUUUACUUUUACCGACGGGGAUUUAGUGACGACUUUGUGACGAUCAAAAAGUCGUCAAUAAAAGGUAUUUGUGACGAUAUUUGUAUGUUCUGUGAUGAUUUUGUGUUGUCACUGAUGAACAAUUUUCUUGUAGUGAAUGGAGUAUUUUUCAUAAUAGUCAUUAUCACAACUCGGGUCCAAGGAUUGGUCCAAGUAUUUUUUGGAUCGAAAUUCACUGAAUCAAAAUAGUUAACCCAAAUUACAAGAUAGCUAUUGGAUCCAAGCUUUAAACUCAUUCCCUUCCCUUCCCUUUCUCAAAUUGAUAUGGAAUACCUUAUUCUCCCCACCUUCAAUACUUUGAAGUCCUAGCAAAAUUGAUAUUGGAUCUAGAGGUGACUUCCGUCGAACGUAGUAGUACUUAGCCCCACACAACACUUAGCUCUUUACGUGGUUCGCUUUGAUACCAACCAUCAUGACUCAGGUCCAAGGAGUGGCACAAGUAAAUGAUUAACCCAAAUUACAAGAUAGCCAUUGGACUCAAACUUUAAACCCAUUCCCUUCCCUUUCUCAAAUCGAUGUGGGAUACCUCAGUUAUCAUCUUGCCUACAGUUGAAAAAGUUUAGCUGACAUGAUCUCGUAAAUGAAUGAUUGGCAGAAGAUAGUAUGCAACAUUCUAAAAAUUUGAUUAAAAACCGUAUAAUUUUUUUAUUUCUAACUUUUUUUCUAGGCCAAGUUUAACCAAACAGAGCAUAAGUGUAUCGACAUAAUAUGGGACCUAUUUGGCACCUAAGUUUUUUAAGUAGUUUUUCUUCUACAAGCUUUUAAAAAUUUUAGAUGAAUCUUAAAAAACUUACCAAAAUUUUUAAAAAACAUAGCUCAAAAUAACUAAAAAUAGACAAAUUUUUUUUUCCUUCUUUUCUUUCUUUUUCUUCCUCCCCACACCUAGAUCCAUCACCAUAUCUACAAUCGGCCUAUGCCGAUAGGCACUAGCAUCACCGCCAGUGCCUCUAUCUCUCUCCCUCUCUCCUUCUUUCUUUCUUUCCUUUCUCUUUGUCUCGCUCCCUUUCCUCCUCCCUUCCUCCCUCUUCCUCCUCUCUUCUCCUCCCUUCCCCUACCAUCCUCUCUUCUCCGUCUCCCUUCACUGGACCUGUCCCCUCCUCUUCCCCUACCGGUCACAUGACCAGUAGGGAAGGAGGAGGGGGUCGUAGGAGAAGGAAAGGAAGGAGGAGGAGAAAAGAGGGAGAAGGAGAGGGAGAAGGAAAGGGAGGGAGGGGGAAGAAGAAGGAGAGAAGAUUAAAAAAAGGAGGUGGGGAUGGAGUUGGCUGGCACCGAUGGCAGAGGGCGUGGAAUGGUGGUAGUGGUCGACAGUGGAGGGAGUAGAGUAGUGGUUGUGGUGUGGGAGGGAGGAGGGAAGAGGAAGGAGGGAGAAUUGGGGGGGGGGGGAAGAGAGAAAGAAAAAGAAAAAAAUUUGAAGAAAAGAAAGUUUUUUUUAUACAUUUCUUAAAUACCUAACUAUACAUAAGUUUUUUCACAAAUUUUACAGUAAAUUACAACAAAAUUUUAUACAAACAACUAAAAAACUCACCAUUUAAAUGGGGUAUUGGAUAAUCAAAUCACCCUUCUCAUAUUAGGGCAAAGUUCAAGUUAUUUCCAUGAUUUCCAGUGUGUUUCUCUUGGAUCCUAUCUCUCUCAUAUAUUAAUUGCUCCAUUUGUUUUGUACUUGAUGUUCAUUUGGGGUAUAAGUUGGGCGAAUAAAAGAAUAAUUAGAAGGUGAAUAUAGGAACAGAUAUCUAUUACAAGGUUGCAGAAACCCUCAGAAGGACCCUGCAGGUGAUUAUCUUGCAAAAAAGGUAGCCCCUAGGGGAUAUCUCUUAUAAUUUCAAGAUGUGAUGAUAAGGUUAGAGCAAUGGGAAUUAGCACACUGAUCAUUCGGACUUACGUUGGGAGCAUUGUUUAAGGUUUCUAUCAAUUGAUUAUGAUACGUGAAGACUAGACACUUCAAAUCACAAGAGCAACGGCUAAUUCCAAUUUUCACUCUUCAACUAUAUUUGUAUUUUCACUUUAAUUUCUAAAUUUUAAAGUGGAAUACUUUAUUCCUUAAAAAAUAAAAUUUGUCUGCUUAAGUAAAAUGGUUGACGGAAAUAGGACAUAUUUUAUAUUUAAGCGAGAUGCAUCUUAUGUUUUAAGAACUAAAGUAGAACAAAUUUUAUUCAUAAGUAGGAUACUUUUUUUUUUAUAUAUAUUUUUAGAACUAAAGUGUGACAAAUUUUACUUAAAUUCAAUAGAUUUUAUGUUUUAGCUAUAAAAGUAUCUCAUUUUCAAGUUUAGGUACCAAACUAGGUAUUCAACUAUAGUUAAACGGUGCAACAUAGAAUUAACUCCAAGUGGAAUUUUUAGUUAUCUGGAAAGAGGAAUCUUUUAUAAAUCAGUCCCCUCCUUGUUGGUGGCUUAAAUUGAACACGGCAGGCUGCUAGUGCCAAUAAUGCAUUUAACAUCAUAAUCGCUAAUACGGACAGACGGUGGUGGCCGGGGUUGGCAUUUGGUGGGAUAGUUGAUAGUGCCACUGGCGUGCUUCAAUUUGCCGCCAUGACAGUGCCAUCGCAGCCGCCCUACUCUAAAAGAAAAGGAAAUGAAAAUAACUAAAAAUAAUAAUAAAUUCGUAAUGAGUAAUAACAAGUUGUAUUGCUGAAGAGAACUUGGUCGAAUAGUUAAGUUGAGAUCCUCCUUCUUCUUUCCUAUUUCUUAAAUCCCAUUCAUCUCCUGUUAAAAUAUUUUGAGAAAAUAGAAAAACAAAUUGUAUUUUUUGUGUAGUCGAGUUGAACAAAAAGCUAAAUAGCUUAGCUCGAUAUACUCGCAAACAAAAGUGAAGAGACUUUUUGAAACUACAGGGAAAUUAUGUUGCAAAAUAGACUUUUUCUUUUAAAUAUCUUACUAUCGGAAAGAAAUAUACUUUUUUUUUCUUUUCUUCUUUUUCCUCUGUUUUCGAAAAAGUAGUGUUAAAUUAAACCAGCAUGGCAUCAAGUCAGUUUUAGCAAUCAAUAGCACUUAAAUGGUCUCAUGAUUAGGUGUGUCAAUUGAGAUUUUUGAGCUGGACUUUGGUAAGCCCAAGCUCAACUCACAAUAAAAAUAAUGUGUGUUUCAAUAGCAAUUUUUUUAUCAAAUAUUAUUUUACUUGCAUCACAAUUAUAAUUUUCAAUCAACUUUGUAUGUUCCUAAUAACUUUUUUUUUAUCUCACAUACAUCACAUCAUAAAAAGUAUUAUAAUAAUUAUUUCAAAUAAUCUCCCAUCUAAAAACACUCAUCAUAAUUUUGUUAAAAUUUGCACUAAUAACAGAAGUUACAUUAUCAAUCAUACACCAAUAUCAAAUAACAGAUCUAAGAAGUACGGAGAUUACAUAUUUGAAGAAUAAAUAAAAAUUAAAAUAAAAUACUUUUAAAUUGAAGAACAUUUGUGCAUGCUUCCAAUCCAAAUGAAGAUGCUUUAAUCUAGUGUAAAUUUUGUUGAAAAAUAGGGAAAAUGAAAUAAAAUGUUCAAUUUGGAAUGAAACACACAUGCAAUUAUCACUAUGUAGAUUCCAUAAUAACUUGGCCUAAUAAUAGAGUAGGUAAAAGUUCGCCCGUUAAAGGAUUGCUGUUAUUAUGGUAGAUUAACUUGCAUAAGAAAGAAAAAGUUUUAUAUAAAAACAUGGAUACAUAUGCCGAGGAGGCUUUGGUCUAAUGGUUAAAAUCAAAACUCUAGAAAUUAGAGAUUCUCGGUUCAAAUUCCUUUGCCCCUCCCCCUUCUUAAGUCGCACCUCUUCCCUGCUGAUGGAAAAGUUUUUUUUUUUUAAAAGUGUAAAACAAAAAGCCUCCUGUGGUAUAGCUAUCUUACAGAAAAAUCCCUUGCGAUUUCAAAUCAUACGUGUCGGUACCUCAUGAUUUGAAGUAAUUUGAAACAUUGACGGAAAUCGUUAAAACAAACGGUUUUGAGUGAAAUGACAGAACUGCCUUAAUAAUAUAAGCAAAAAAUGGCCUAAAAUAAACCGUUUUUGAUUCAUUACUUUCAAUCACUAAUAAUAUAAGCAAAAAUCGUCGAUUUCUACAAGUUUGGAGCAAAUUUGAAGAAGAAUCAUGGUUGUUUUUUUAAGGUACGAGGGGGAAAAUAGGUAUUUCAGGUCAAAAUUGGCUUAAAAAACUAUUUUUUAGAAGACCACACACAGUUCCAACGUGUCUACAUCAAACGCUAAAUUUAACUAUUUUCAUUAAUUUUUCACUUUAUUUUAAAUCAUGAGGUACCAACGUGUGUGAUUUGAAACUACAAGGGAUUUUUCUGUAAGAUAGCUAUACUACAGAGAGCUUUUUUGUUAUUUGUCCUAAAAAAAAUGGAUACAGAUAGAGGUCAGGUUCGGUCCAGAAGGUUGAUGUAUGUGUUGUAGAUUCAUCCAAAAGUUUGGCAUAUUUUGUUAUAGGAUCUAUUUUGCAAUCAUUCAACGUAAAAUAGUACACAAAAUUUGUACAUCAACCAUCAAUAAUACUCAUCGAGUACCUUUACGGUUGAGGAAAUAUUACACCGACAUAAUUGAUACUACAACUGGCAGAGAAGAGACUAAACAAGGAUUAACUUAUUUAUGGGUAGAUAAUCAGUCGCACUCCCAAGCCAAGCUGAUAUUGUCUACUUAAGAGGGGGAUUAUAAGUUCAAAUGGUUUUAUAUUUGAUAUUGUCUACCAGUUUAAAAAGGUUUAAGUCAUAACUAAGUAUUGUUGGACUGUCAUACUAAUAGCUUAGAACUAACUUGGAACCACCUGAAGGGAUAUAAAUUUCUAUCUGAGUUGUAAACUUGUAAUUUGUAAGUCUUGAAGGUCUUGAUCUUACACAUUUGAAUUUAAAAAAUUUGAAGUGGGUGCCACUACACCCUUCUAAUCUAAACGGGCCCCAUAUAUAACACAGUUGGGGGUAAUAUAUGUGCUCCCAAUUAUUAAAAAGCAAACAAAAACCUUACCAGCAUUUUGGUCCUAUGUGAGGGCCACAUCUAAUGUGAGAUUGUCCUUAAGCAUAGGUCCAUACUACAAUUUACAAGGAUUCAUGACUUGAUGUCAAGAGGGUUGAAUUAAGACUACUUUCUUGUAUGCUUAAAAAAAAGACUACUUUCUUGUACACCAAACAAAAUGUCGAAAAAACAUAUUUUCUAAAAAGUUUAUUGGGAUGAUUUGAACCCAAGGCUUGGCACUACCUGGACUUUUCUAAAGUGCUGUAAAUUUUUUUUGUUUGGGAUAUUCACAGCAAUGAUGGCUGGAUCACCUCAACCUACUUUAAUUUGCAGCCUGCCGACUUUUCUGCCCUGCCUUAAAAGAAAAGGAAAUUAAAAGUACUUAGAUAUUAAGAAAUGUCAAAUAAGAAACUUUACCUCUUGUGCAGUCAAAUUGGACAGAAAGCAGCUUCGCUCUAACCUAAACUAGAAGAAAGUAAAGUGACUAUUUUGAAACUACACAGAUUGCAAAAUCUUAAGUAAUAGAUUACCAAAGGAAAUUUACCAUCUAUUUCUUUUUCGUUCUGCUGAAAGUAGUUUAACCAGCAUGAUUUCAAGCCACAGUACUCAACACAACUUGAAUAGGCUCACGGCGAUGGAUCCCUUCGUGGACUUGACUCGAGUACGCAGCAGGUUCAGUGCAGUGAAGGGUUAAUCCAAGGAAUUAUAAGGAGAAAGUUUCAUUGAGUUCCUCACUCCACCACCAGUUUAGCAGUUACUCUUCACCUUCAGCGUCUCUGAGUCUGGCUCAUUUGUUUAUCAAUUUUGUUUGUUAUUCUGUCAGGCGCACAGAGUCUGCUGAAGUCAAGUCCAACGAGGAGUCCAUUAUCUUGAGCCUAGCUACUGUCUUCAAAUGAGCACAUUUUUUGAUGAAUUAUUUCAUUUUUAUCUGUCAAAAUAUAUAUAAUCUUUUAUGUAUGAAGUUGAAACUACUAAUUAAGUUCGUAUAUUUUCAAAAGUUAUCUUCUUAAACAUAUAAAACCAUUAUAUUCAUGUAAUUAGGAAUACGAAAGUGAUACUUGAACUCCCAAAUUACUCUUUUGCAUUCGCUGAUGGCAUUUCAUUGAGUGAAUAGAUUAAUGUUAGAAAGGCUAACAUAGGAAUGCGAAUAUCACUCAUCACUACAAGAAAAUUACCAUUUAAUGACACUCAAAAAUGCCUCUUUUUGUAUGUUUUAGUGACAAUUUUUAAUCUAAUAGCAUUUCCCCCGAGUGUUGGCAAUAUCACUGCCACUAUAGUCUAGUGACACUUGAAAAGUGCCACAAAAGAGUUACUAUGAUAACAUUUUAACAUUUCAUUGUACUAGGGAUAUGUGUCAUGAGAAGAUGCCACUAUGUCAUUUUUUUUGGGUGUUUGCGAAUGCCAACAAUUUAAGUUUUGAUACAACUUUAAAUGCCACUAUUUAAAACUUUCCUGUCACUUUGAAAUGCCACUAAAAAAUUAAGAAAAUAAAAAAAUAAUUUGAAAUUAAAAAUCAAAGUACUCUUAUUGAUCCGGGUAAUUAAUUACAACUCAAGAAAAUGAAAGUUUCGCCAUUUAAACAAGUCACUAACUAAUAAAUCUAGUAAGAAAUUAUAUGACAACAAUAUAAACAAAUUCAUGCAUUUUACAAAUGAAACAUGUCUAAAGACAUUAAUCUUUUAAGCUGAUAACUUGGAAAAGAUCAUGUCUUCUUUGCUUCAUUAAUCUCUCAAAUGCUAUGUAAUCUGCAUUUAAACAAUACAAUGAAUAUAUUACCUCUUCUCAAGGAUUAGUUAGUAAAAAUAUUAACUCAACUCAAGAUAUUAGCAAUAGUGGUUGAAAAAUUAACAAUGAUCAAAGUGGGAAGUAAAAUGGGGCACCUUGAACUUGCCAUAGAGAUACUAAAGUGACAGGUUGUCGAACCUAUGCAAUAAUAAAUACCUGCUCAAACAAAAGUUAAUUUCUGCAGAUAGUGAUAAGUAGGGUCAAAUCCAUAGGGACUGGGGAUAUUUGUCUCUUUUGGAGUUCAAACUAACAAUGGGGGGUUUUUUAUAGCAAUGACAAUGAUUAAACAGUUCGAAUAAAAUCAAAUAGCUAACUAAAAAGUAAACGACAAGUCACUAAAAUCAGAUUAAUGAUAACUAAAGUUCUAGCCAAGAAAUAACUUUAGCAAUGGUUCACCUAAUUGAUCAUCAAUGCAAAGGCAAUUCCAAUUAUUUACUAAUAAAUAGGUUAUAACUGCCAAACAAGCGAUGACAGUCAACCCUUCCUUACUGUGUCGGUGAUUAAGGUAUACCCAUUAACCACUACUCUAAUUGAGAAAUAAUCAUAGGUACGCCCGUAAGAUUUAAUUCUCUAAUUGUCUUACGUAUUAGUGGAGUCCUGUUCUAACCAAAUAACGCACUACCAGGGUUAUUUUAUGUUAGCCCGCGUAUUCCCCUGACACAAAUCCAAUCAUGCUAGUUGUCACUAUUUCAGGGCAAUUAAACAAUUACAGAUUUAAUGCCCCAUUUGACAAUAGAUUACUAAAUUAACUAAUUAUCUGGAUCCAAGACAAUCAAUUAAUUGAAUAACCAUGAACACUAUAAUAAGAGAAUAUGCGAAUAUCAAUAAAUAAAAGAAAAAGAUAAAAUUAAAUCGAUCUCACAAUUUUUAGGCGAAUCAAAGCCUCAGUUGUUCCUUGACUAGAAAAGGGAGUUUUGUUCAUCUUUAACGAAUAAAGCCCACAGGAGAUCGAAGCAACCGUAGCAGCCAUUGACUCCGAAAUUGAGAAAAUUCAAUUCGGUUCAGCAAUGAAGAAAAAGUCAAGAUUACAAAGAAUGCCCAAUUGCUUUUCUUUGCCUUCACAUCUGAUGGAAGCAAAAGCACAAUAAGAUGAAAAGAGGAAAAGUCAAAAGAAAAGCUAAGCUAGAGGUCCUACCAUACGAAGAAAGAAAAACUACCCAAGAAAAGUCAAUAGAAAGCUAUUUAAUAUCUAGUUCCUACUGCUACUGUCCGGCGUCCGUGGCCAUGAAGAGACCGAAGAAAACUCUAGCCUUUUUAUCCUCUUUCCAUGUUGUCUUCCGCCGUUACCAAAGAGGGUCGCAUCCUCAUAUUUCAAAAAUGCCCCUGGACGCCUGCUACUUGAAUUCUUUUCCGAUGACUGUCAAAUUGGCCUUGGUUGUGGUAUUUUCAUUCUACUCCCUAAAAUAAAUGUAAAUUACGAAAAGUGAGUAGAGUCUAAUAACUGAUUCACAUCAAGUCAGGUAAUAGGGGAAAUUAACAAUAAAAUAAAUGAUAAAAUAGUAACCUAUCAAUUCCCCCCCACACCUAAUGAUGCGAACCCGAAUCCCCAAGCUCCCGCUCUUGAAGAAACGAAUUGCACAGGCAGCGGAAGGAUCUAUUUUGAUCAGGCUAUGGACAAAUUUGGUGGAUUCUAAACCAAUCAAGGACAACUCGAGAUUGAUUAGAAGGAUAGAAGGCGCCACAAUCCAACAUGGUCUUGAAUUGAUAAGCCAGUUUGAAUCCCCGAGGCCAACUCUAAGGUAUUGAAAGUUGCUUCAAAGAAGCCAAGAGAAAACUCUCAAUUUUUAAUUCAUAAAAAAUGUCCCCCCUUUAGUCUUACAAAGCUAGGCUAUUUAUAGGCUAAAGGUAACACAAACCCUAAAGAAACCCUAAGAGAGGAGUCGGCCAUCUUGACUCCAAGAUGGGCUGGCCCAUGCCUUCUACUAAGCAAAUAGUCCAACUAAACAAGUAAUAACGACUAAGGCCCUACUCGGCCGACUCACAAGGAGGCCCACUUGAUUCUUCAUGAGCUUGGAUCAAGGUGUUAGUUACUUGAUUGUCUCUUUCUAAGCCUUCAAUAUCUUUAUGGGCUUCGUGUUGGUCUUGGAUAACUCGAACGAGGGGUUGGAGGGAUUCUUUGAAGAGCUUGGCCCGUGCACGUGUGACUGGGCCUUAUGGGACUCGGACUGGAUCAUUGCGUGGGCUCCGAUCCAUGCACACAUCAGUGAAUUCCUUGUUUUUGACUCUAUUCAUUGGCCCCCAAUGAAUCUUUGUUGGAUCUAGAGAUAGAGCAUGAACACCUACUAGGGUUCGUAUCAUUCCCUUCCUCUUAAAUAGAUUUGUCCUCAAAUUGUAGGACCGCUUAAAUUGCAAUAAUGAUGGAAACACGUGGAUGAUCACAAUCCUAGUGGCAUGGUGUUUGGAUAACCUCUUGAUGCUCACGAACUCCAAUGAUGCAUAAAACUCAACUUUCGGUGGUAGCAACAUGAUGGAGUCAGCAAUCGUGUCUUUAUGUAGACAAGGAGAUGAUGGCAACGAAGAACGUAAGAGCAUCAAUUGGUUGGAAACCAUGGAUGAAUGGAAGCUGGAAAAGUCGUGGACUGCUGCUGGUUUUGGAACAUCAAACUUGACUGGAACAAGCAUAAAAUCUGGUUGUACUCCUUUAAUCAAUGCUGGAAAAUUUCGGACAGCUUUACAACCUACAAAAAUGAAAUAAGUUUCAUCUUGUUUUGAACCAGCAAUUGGAUAAAGAAGCAAUGGAAUAUCAUUAGCUAAAUGGUAAGAAGGUAUAGCACAAGAUUUGAAUGUGAAAACUCCCUUUGACACUUCAUUAUCCCUUCCUUCAACCAAUUCAACUAGACAAGUCAUUGCUGGCUCUUUACACUUUCCAUCAAAAUCUACAUAAGGACGACAAGAAUUAGGACUAGUCAUACGCUCAAAAUAAGGCAAAGAGGAUGAAUGAACCAUAGGUAAAGAAUGGGAAGUAAAAUCUGGAAUUCCCCCUUUAAGAUAAACUCGAGUCAAUCCUCUGAUGGUGCGGACAGAUUCGAAGUGACAUUGGUCCAUGAAUUGAUACCAAAGAUAUUUAACUCCUAGAUGACAAACUCCAUGGAAACUCGCAAAGUGUCCAAGUGACUUUGGAAUGGAACAUGCCAUGACCAACUCUACUUGACUUUGUUUAAUCUGCACCAAAGAAGAAAUACUAAACAAAACACAUGUUAGCUUGAUAGAAAACAAAACGUUCGCACUCUUGACUUUUGCAAACAUGGCCAACUCUCCCUCCUUAUUCUUCACUAAGACCGAAUUACUCCCGCCGUUUUCCACUCUAUUACCACCAAUUGACACUUGAUUAAGUUGCUCAAAGUAUGAAUUCAUCACUUCCCUGAUUUCUCCCAUCAUAGAAUCAACCAAUUCUUUAGUCCGACUCCGGAAAUCUUUCUUUGGUUCACAAGGCUUUGUCUCAAUCCGAGAACUCUUAGAUUCCUUGACUCGUUUGUCAUGACACCCCUUAGAUGAAUCUCGUUUGCUUGAGGAUGACCUUGACUUAGAUGCUUGGCGCAAACGUCUUUGGUCCUCCUCAUACGCAUCACAAGUACGUUUAUAUCUUUCAUUUACACACAAAGCACGGUCACGUUCCAUCUCCUCCCGAAGUGAACGAAACUCAUGUUGUGAACUAGAUUGCAUGGAACUAGAGUACUUGGAAGCAGUUUGCUUGGAACCCCUCCUCUUAAGAGGCUCAUUCUCCAAGAAUUCUUGAUUAUAUGAGUGAGAUACAACUCCACUUGGCAUGAUUACGUGACCUGCAAAAAUGGUUAGCAAAGAAAAGGAUUUCCUCACAACACACAAGCUCACGUAUGUACACUCAACCCUCGUGUAUCAUUCAAGCGUAUAACACUCUAAUGGUCUCACCAAAUUUCUCAAGGCCUCUUAUUCACGUUCCUUGAACAAAUUAGAAUUUACUCAAGGAUCGCAACCAACUAGUCAAUUAAAAAUCACAAAAGUAGCAAUGAAGUUCAUGGAUUUUGAAGGAUAAUAGCAAACUGACUUAGAAAGAUUUAAAUGACCCAAGUACUGUUGUAAACAACUCUAGAUGAUCGACAAAAGAGACAACUCACAACUCAAACGCUGAAAUUUUGGAAGCCUAGAAAGACUCCUACCCGACAAACUUGGAUUUUGGGCUGCUGUUGUUACCGAGUUCUGGUCAGUAUUUUGGAUGGCAGAUGGUGCUUUUGGGAAGGUCAAAUCACGUGAGAAUCGGUCCUCAAUUUCCAGCCAAUUUGGGUCACAAAGUGAUACUCAACCGACUCAAAUUGCGGGUGGUUUGGGCGUUCCAAGGUGUAGCGGUGUAGUGGCGACAUUUCCAGGUUUUCUUUGGGAUUUUGGGAAAAGAAUGGCGGUGGUUCUUGGAUGAUUUCCAGCUGCUACAAACAGGUAAGCUUUUGGUAGCCUUUGUUGGCCACUAGGCCUUGUCUCCCAAUCCCCACCGACUAGGAUUUCCCAAGCUAAACAACUUCCUAAUCCGAAACUGUGUUGGCCUUCUUUCCUUGCUUUUCCUCGAUUGUGGCGGGUCAGGUUUAGUUUAGGAAACUAUUUUGAGUGCUUGUGGGGGCUGGUGAGGUCGGUUGAAGGCUGUUAACGUGCUUGGGUGAUUUGGACUUUGGGUAGAUGGGGUUUUUUUUUUUUGGCAGCCUCUAAUCCCAAGAGGACUGGGAUUGGUUAUAGCUCACGGUUGGGACUUGGUUACCACUUGGAAACUUGGCCGCACCUUUCCCCUUUUUUUUUCUCUCGUUUUCUUUUCUGUUUUUUUUUCCUUUCAUUUCUUUUUUUUUUUUCUCUUUGCAGCUCACUAAGGAAUUUUUUUUCCCAAGAAACCGGAUUCAGUCCCACUAUUGAAAUUUCGAAUCAAGGUUCACAACUGGCCAAGAAGGAUUGAAGUUUGUUUUCCAAGACCUAAGGCUUUUCCCAAGAGUUUCCAAAUCUGAUUUUCAAGAAUCCCAAGAAGGCUGAUCAAGAAGUUCAAGAACUCCCCAAAUAUGCUUUUGGCAUUCAAGAUUUGCAAAAUGCAACACAAAUAUUCAAGGAGCAAAUGCAAAACAGGUACGGGACACCCUUGUUUUUGCAAAUACAAGGGUGUCCCGUACAAUUUCAGCAACGAUUCAAAGAGGCAACAAGGUACGGGACACCCUUGUUUUUUUUUUUUUUUGACUUUGGCUAGGUUGUUCCUACGACCAAAAUACACAAUACCCACAAGAAUUCCCCACAAUCUAGGCCACAGCCAGUAGCAAUUAACAACCCAGAAAUCCGGACAGGUUGCGACACACAAACAAGACUACUUGAGAUGCGGCAAUAAGGAAGGAAAACCCUAGUUGCAACAAGAAGAGAAAGAACCCUAGUUGUGGCUAUAUGUUUUUUUUUUUCUUUCUGGUCAAGACACAAGAUACAGCUACCCAACAGAAUUUCGAACACAAAACAGAAUUUAGACACAAAACACGACGACAAAUCUGGAUAGCAUUUAACGAAAGACACCAAACAGAAUUUCGGCAAAGCACCAAAACUAGCAACUCAAGAUUUUUUUUUUGUUGUGCAACUAGGACACGACUAACACACUGAUUUGACAAUAUAAUUGCUGGACACAAACAAUGGAAACAAUAUCAAUAAGACACGGACAGAUUUGGUACAAGAAACAAACACGAUGAGCAACAAGAAACUAGAUACAAAUAAAACUAUGGAGAUUCAAACCCUAAGGUGCAAUUUUUUUUUUAAUUGGGUAGGGUUUGGUAGAAGAACAAUGAGUAAAACAAGAAAAGAAAAAGGAUAUUAACCUGGAUCAAGAGCCGAAACUCUGAUACCAACUGAUGCGAACCCGAAUCCCCAAACUCCCGCUCUUGAAGAAACGAAUUGCACAGGCAGCGGAAGGAUCUAUCUUGAUUAGGCUAUGGACAAAUUUGGUGGAUUCUAAACCAAUCAAGGACAACUCGAGAUUGAUUAGAAGGAUAGAAGGAGCCACAAUCCAACAUGGUCUUGAAUUGAUAAGCCAGUUUGAAUUUCCCGAGACCAACUCUAAGGUAUUGAAAGUUGCUUCAAAGAAGCCAAGAGAAAACUCUCAAUUUUUAAUUCAUAAAAAAUGUCCCCCCUUUAGUCUUACAAAGCUAGCCCAUUUAUAGGCUAAAGGUAACACAAACCCUAAAGAAACCCUAAGAGAGGAGUCGGCCAUCUUGACUCCAAGAUGGGCUGGCCCAUGCCUUCUACUAAGCAAAUAGUCCAACUAAACAAGUAAUAACGACUAAGGCCCUACUCGGCCGACUCACAAGGAGGCCCACUUGAUUCUUCAUGGGUUUGGAUCAAGGUGUAAGUUACUUGAUUGUCUCUUUCUAAGCCUUCAAUAUCUUUAUGGGCUUCGUGUUGGUCUUGGAUAACUCGAACGAGGGGUUGGAGGGAUUCUUUGAAGAGCUUGGCCCGUGCACGUGUGACUGGGCCUAAUGGGACUCGGACUGGAUCAUUGCGUGGGCCCCAAUCCAUGCACACAUCAGUGAAUUCCUUGUUUUUGACUCUAUUCAUUGGCCCCCAAUGAAUCUUUGUUGGAUCUAGAGAUAGAGCAUGAACACCUACUAGGGUUCGUAUCACCUAAACCCCUCUUGUCCUCAAGCAUAAGAACAGUAAACAAAUACCAAUAUUUGACAAUAGCUAUUGCUCCACCUACCAUAUUGCCAAGAUACCAAGAAAAAUAUAUCAAGCAUCAGCGAUCAAAAUCAAAGAAACAUCACUGCGAUUAGCUUCUAAACCACAAACUCCUUUAAUUGCAGGUUAACUAAUCUAAGAAGAAGGAAUGACGCACAACAUUUAUCAACAAAUGGUCUAACUAUUAACCAAAAUCUCAACAUUAAAUCCAUAAAUCGGUAGGCUGACUUUUAUUAUACACUAACACAAUAUUCACUUCUUUUUUCAUGUUUUUCUAUUUUUCUGUUUUUUUAAUAGUAACACAAGACUUAGUCCCUAGCCAUUGGAGUUUUUGGACGCGAACUCCGACAUUUGUCAGAUGAAAGAGCUCGGUUACUCAGUUCCUAUCGCAUGUGACCACGCACUCAUAGCAAUUACUACUUUUUGACGCGAGAAUCGACACUUUUGGUGAAAAUCCCCGAUUACUUGGUAGUAACUACUAGCGGAGUACAAUCAACUCUUAUUCACAUCUAAAUAACACAAAAAAUUCAAAAUAACACAAAAUCAAAAGUAAAUUUGCAUCAGCUAGCCUCAUUUUCAAACAUGGAGAACGAAGGUUAAUAAUCGGACCAAUUUACAUGAAAAUGCCAACAGUUAUUUUCUAUGUCUAGGAAAGUUAACCAAAAAUUAUAAAAGUCACACAGUCGUCGAUAUUCACCAUAGAGAUAUUCUUAGACUCAACCACAUCUACUUGAUACACUUCUAUUACUAAAACUUGGCAAUAGCAAAAAUAGAGACAACAAUCAAACAUCAAAUUUUGGCAUCACAUACGAGCUAAUCACUAAAAAGAAAGAAAGAUUGACAAAUAACAAACUAAAACGAAAGCAAAAACAUCUAAAAAACUAAAUAGUAGAAAAACUAGCACAGCUGCCCCCUCACACCUAGACCCUACAUUGUCCUCAAUGGAGGAAUUAAAGCAAUUAAAGCAAAGAGGACAUCGAAACUUCCCUCUCGAGUGGCUACGAGGUAGGCGGGAACGGUAGAGGGAAACCGAUGUGGUGGAAGUACGCGCCCAAGUUCUUCACUGGUUGUCGAGGGAAAAAGUAGGAAUGGAUGCGAGAGAGAGGGUGGCGCGCGAAGUAGAUGCGACGACUGGUGGUAGAGGUUGCGCGAUUGGAGUGAGAGAGAUUGGAGUGGUGGCGCACGAUGGUAGAAAAUGAGGAAGAAAGAAGAAGAAGAAAGAAAAAAAAAAGAAAAGAAGGAAAAGAAGGAAAAAGAAAAAGAGAAAGAAUUUUUUUUUUAAUUUGCAUCUUGCAGAUCUAAGCUACAGUUAAACAAAUGAUUCUUUUUUUGUCUUUUUCGAAUUAAUUUAUUAUUUAUCUUUUUUAAAAAAUUUAUUUUAUUUUAUUAUUUUUUUAAAGAAAUUUUUUUUCCAAAUUCGAAAUUAGAGAUAAGAAGGAAAGCGAAAUAUUUCUUGAGGUUUGAAAACUUAUCUUUCUCGCGAAAAUAAUGCGGGCACGUUAUGAAGGCUAGAACCCUUUUGAUGAUGAGCUCUCCAUACGACUUGACGUAGGAACGUCAUGAGGGUCCGAACCCUUCUGAUCAUGAGCUCUCCAUACGACUUGAUGCGAGCGCGUCAUGUCAGAGAGAUACCUACGGAUCAUCAAAAACGAGAAUUGAAGCCUGAAAUCAGUCAAACUCAAGGAAAACAUAUUUAAACUAAUAAACAAAAUCAAACAAAUAACUAAAAGAAAUUGGGUUGCCUCCCAAUGAGCGCCUUUUUUUAAUGUUUUUGGCUAGACAUUGAACAUUAUUCUUAAAUCUGGGUGUAACUCAAUUUUUCUUGUAAUCGAUGGCCCUCCUCCAGGAUCCAAAUAGCCUUUAAGUGCAGCCUUCUUUCUUAAUUUUCUACUCCUUUUCACCUCAUACAUUGCUUUCAUCCCCUUAUACUUGUUCUCAGUAAAUUUGAAUUUGCCUCUACAAGUAAACUCAGAAAAAUUCUUGCACAGAAAGAUUAAUAACAUGAAUAGCAAACCAGAGUAAGAGUUAACAAGAUGUUCCAUUGUAUCUAAAAUAUUAAAGUGGACUAGUUCUCCAUCAAAUUUCAUAGACAAUGUACCCUUAUUAGCGUUAUUUUUGUCUGGGCUGUACUAAAAAAUGGUCUACCUAAUAGCAAAGGUAAAGGGUCGGGAGAAUGGUCAUCAUCCAUGUCAAGUAUAUAAAAGUCAGCCGGACAUACCAAUUCAUUAACUUUAACCAGCACAUCCUCAACCAACCCAUCAGGGUAUGCAUUUGUUCGGUCAGCUAAUUGGAUUAUUAUCUCAAUUUCUUUUAAUGGACCGAGGUUCAGAGAAACAUGCAUAGAUUUAGGCAUUACGUUGAUCGAUGCUCCUAAGUCCAGCAGGGUAUUCCUAAUCAAAGUAUUACCUAUCUUACAUGGGACAGUAAACCUACCUGAAUCCCCGUACUUCGGUGGAAGUUUCCUUUGGAGAACUGCUGAUACGUUUUCCCCCACGAUGACCCUUUCAUCUCCCCUCAACUGCUUUCGGUUGACACAUAGGUCCCUUAAAAACUUUGUAUACUUCGACACUUGAUUGAUGGCGUCUAACAGGGGAAUAUUGAUCUUUGUCUUGCAGAACACCUCCAGGAUCUCCUUUUCCUUAUCCUGCUUCCACAGUUUCUCUAACUUACUAGGAAAGGGAGGCGGGUUAGUUCUAACUGUAAUGACUGGAUUAGGAAGUACCUUUUGAUUUGGGCCAUUGCUGUCCUCCUUCUCAAGCUCAUUCUCGAUCCUUUCCUCAUCUUUGUCCUUGGGAAUCGUGAGUUCGGGCUCUUGAAUUUCCUUUCCGCUCCUUAAAGUCAUCGCACUUACGUUCUUCAAGUUCAAUUUUAGGUUGAGACGCAAUUUUUCAUAAACUUGGGAUUCCAGGUGAUUGAUUGCCACUGCCAUCUGAUUCAUCUGAUUUUGCAUUACUUGUACCUAUUCCAAUUGAUUUCUUAUGUUCUGCAGUUCGGAGUCUGUCUUUUGCUGAUGUUGCACGGUGGUAGCCAUCAGUUGUUUCAUCAUCUUCUCCAAAGAUGGACUAGAACUUAGUGGCGGAGGUGGUCGGGGUUGGUACUGCUGCUGGUACCCUUGUUGUCUAUUUGACACAAAGUUAGGCUGCCUGUUCCCUCCAUAGCUGAGGUUAGGAUGGUGUCUUCAGCCGAGAUUAUACGUAUUCGAGUACGGUUCAUAGGGCAUUCUUGGCGUAGGCGCGUGACCAGCCAUGUUCACUUUCUCUGCACUUUGUUCUUGAAUUAUCGGGCACAUAUCUGUAGAAUGACCCAUAGUAGUGCAAAUUCCACACACCUUGGCCUGAGAUGCGUUUCCUACAACCAGUUGCCUAACAAACGAGGUUAACUCCGUCAACUGCUGCUAGAUAGAAGAUGUCUCUACCUCAUUUACCUUGCGUAUCGGGACAUCCUCUCUCGUACCGAACUGUUGUGAAUUCUCGACCAUUCCCUCAAUUAGCUCCCAUGCUGCCCGAGGGGUCUUGUUCACCAGUGCCCCUCUGUCGCGCCCCACUUUUUGAUGUGGUGUGUGUGAAAGUAGUGUGCAUGUGAACGUGUGCGAAAAAAUGAAAAUAAAAGGCCAUGGGACUUGAAAAUGCGACGAUUCAGCCAAAUAAAGUUUAAAAAAGGGUUUUGGAUGAAAAAAUGGAGUCGCCACUUGGUACGGAGUUAGGGUGUACCAAGUCACCCAAAAAAUGAUUUUUAUUUUUGAACGAAAAAGUAAAUAAACCCUUUUAAAGAACUUUUAGGUCUACGCAACCAAAGAAAGGGAUCGGGGGUCACAUUUGAUAAGGGAGAAGGCAAAGGCAAAGCCUAUGGCACUCCCUUACCCUAGCAAGAGCUAGUUGCGUGACUUAGCCCCACUUUUCCCAAUUUUUCUACCCAAAAUAUGUAUCGCAUGUUGGAUAUGACUAAUGGAUGCGAAAAGGAAGGAAAAAUGCAAUCCUAAACCUAAAAUGUUUCUCAUGAGACUUUUAGGUCCCAACCACAUGAAUUGUGGUGGCCAAUAAGGAGAGCUCUCAUGGAAGUCAUGAUUAAUGCAAGUGAGGACUCAAGUGCAAGUGUGCAAGUGUGAGAAAAUAAAGGUGUUUGUGUGUGCAAAUGGGUUAAAAUAGGAUAUUAGAUACGUAUAAGUGCAAUUUGAGUGCCAUUUGUGAGGUAGAAAAAUAAAUGAGAGAUAGGAAAAAGGUGGUGAGAAAAAUGGAUUGAGAAAAAUCUAAGUAGUGAGAAAAUGUGGCUAAAAGAGUGAGGAAGUGAUAUAAAAAGAAUGCAAGUGUAUGACCCUAAGGGAAUGCAUCAAGUCGGGUACGGGAAUGACUCCUAACUUUACGACUUUGAUUUUCCCUUUGAUUAGAAGGAAGAACUAGCGUGCUAAGGCUAUUUUGUAGCCAAACUUGCUCGUUUCCCUUAUCAAAAGGGGACUCUCAAACAAAUAUACCCUAUAACUAGCAUGAGAUGCAAAAACCUAAAUGAAGGGAAAAGGUUGGAGGAGUAUGUCAAAUGAUAAAAACUAAGAAAAAUGCAUGAAAUGUAGUGAACAUGCAAGUAUACACUAACGAAAGGGGACGGCCUAUUGGGUCUAGCAUUGGACUAGCCCUUUCUAUGAAUGAGCCACAACUAGCGUUGGACUAGUAUGGUGACGUACAUUCAUCCAUCACAUUCAUCCAUGGCUAUAGAAAGCAAGUAGACAUGCAAAUCACCUAUAAACACGUAGCACAUAACACUUAGCAUGCUCGACUAGAUGCAAGAGCCUAAUAAAGCAAAUUAACACACAGCAACAAAAGCAAGCACAACACAUAAGACAAUUAAGGCCCUAACUAUUACAUUAUUGGGAGAGAAGGCCUACUACAAUCUAAAAGGGGAAAUGGAAUGAAAUAAAUAGUUAAAAUAAACCUAACUAUUACAAUUGUGGCAUUCCAGUGCCUUCCCAAAUGAUCAAAAAUUGAACUAAAAUUAAAGUGAAAUUAAAUAACUAAAAAGAUAAAUAAAGUGGAAAUGAAAUGGAACACUCAAAACCAGGCAAUUGCACACAUAAGGCACAUAUAUGCACAUAGGCCAAAUAAAGUCAAAAAUAAAGGGUAAGGUAUACCUCUCUCGAGUCGGGGCCCUAAUAGGAUGAAAAUUACUUAUUUACCUCCAAAAGUAAAGAAAAGGUCAAGGCACCAAUUUAGUUUGAGACAAUUAAAGAAACAUGCAAAUACAAACUCACCUGAUCAUAAAGCUCUUAAAAUCAUGAAUUAAGUGCAAUUUAAACAAAGCAUGAUAAUUAAUUGAAUCAAACAAGCAAUAAAAUUGUAAAAUUAAAGCUGCCAAGUACCAAAUUGAGAACAUUAUUCAAUUGGUUGGGUCAUAGUGAAAUGAAAGGAAACUUGGAGGGUCAAAAUCCAAUUUUCUGGAAACAUUUCCAUGCAAAUUCAUGCAAAGUGACGUGAGAAACAUUCUGCAAUAAAGAUUGAAGCAUCUAAUGAAGGCCUUCUGCCAUCCCAAAAAAAUGCAGCUGUAGCUUCCAUUUCGCACACAAGUUUCACUUCAAACACAACAAAGCAUUUCAACCAACAUCCGAGCCUUAGACUGAGCAACAACCACAUAAUUACUACAAACCCAAUAAACAAAACAAACUUAGAAAAAGUAUCCUGCAAAUCUGGAAAACAAAAGAAAGCUUUGCUGCAACUUUUUACCGCUAUUUCAUAGUUUUUGAUGCAAACUCUUUCCAUCCGAAUACAGUUAAUAACUUCCACAACAAAGACUUAGACUAUAAAAGGCCAGUUUUCCAACAUUUCCGACCUUUCAACAGGGGAGUUGGACACAAAAAUCAGCAACCGAAACUGAACUUGGAGCAGCGAAGAAAUCAAACAUUUGCAAAAUGGUAUCUACUUUCAUUGCUGCAACAGACCAGGAAGUUUCCUCCCCCUUUAAACUUUCGACCAAGCUUUUGCUUUAUGAACUUAGAAAGAAAUUGUUUACAGCAAAAGGAGAACGAAGGAGCAAAAACGACAUUAUCGCGGCCAGUGAAUCAACAACAAAGAAAAAGCAAACAGCGAGUUCUUUAUGCAUUUGAAAAACUGGAAAUCAACAUGAUGAAUCAUUCUUCAAUCAAAGGAAAAAUUUUAAAUGCAAACAAAUGCUAGCUGAGGGAACAAGACAGAAACGUAGACAUGCAAAUUGCGAAGAGGCGUCUGCAAUUUUCUGGUGCCUCAAGAUUUUAGCAACCUCAUGUAGCGAGUAUUAAUAUCAAUUGCCGAAAGAGCAUUAAAGAACGGUCUUUUUCUUCAACAACAAUGCUUCUGUAAAUUUGAUGCAGAAAAAUCGUGCAAAGCUUCAAACAAAACCAGUGAAUCCAUCCCUCAAAUCCUCAACAACUGAACAUGUUGAUUAAUACAACCCAAGCAUGAAACAACUCCAACCAUGCAACAAAAUCCGACCAGUGGGCUACUCUAAGAAAAAUAGCAAAAUGAAGGAAAUAAAGCAAGAUCUGAGCUUGCAUGAGAGAUGAAGGCAAAAGGGAUUACCUUUAGCACCUUAUAAGGCUGAGACGAAUAAGUUCUAACUCAUGAGGAGAGAGCUGCCCCGGGAAUGCCCAGCGUUGGAGGAUCCGUAACUUGGAUCUCAGAUUUAGCGGCUGAGGCUUUGAUCGGAAUUCUACCCUGAAUGCAAAACCUCGUCAGCCCUAUAAUGGGUUUCUUUUCCUCUGCCCAGAAAUCUUCCUUAUUCAGCCAUUAGCUCCUUUUAUUUUUUGUAUCUUUUACUGCCGUAACUUUCUUGAAAUUUCCUCCCAAGACCUAGCCUUCACUCCAGAGCUUAAUCGCAAUACUCCUCUUCUUUUGCCCUCUAUCUUUCCAGAAUCUCUUCCGGCCGUCAACCUCACCCUUUCUUUUCCUUUUUCCUUUCUGCCUUCUAACUAAAUCCCAGCCGUUCCUAGCCUCACUUUCAUCAGCUGUUAUCAGCCCUCCUCUCUUCAAACCCUCUUCUUUCCCCCCUGUUUUCACUCUUUCCUUCAGUCGUCCCCCCUUUGCUUUUUCUGGCCAUCCCAACUCUCUCAUUGGUUUCUUUUUCUAGCCGUCCUCCCUCUUUUUCCGACCCUCUCUUUCUCUCAAACUCUUUCUUAUUUCUUCUCUCCAACCGCCACCCAAAGCCUCUCCUCUUUCCUGGUUUUCUAUCAACCCAGCUGUCAUCUAUUCUUUUCGUUUCUUUCUCUUGCCGUCCCCAAAACCUCUCUCUAUCUCUCAAAACCUAGCUAUCAUUCUAGAUUCAUCCCCCCCCUCCAGGUGUCCUAGACACCUGGCCUUUUACAGCUCCAAAUUUCAUCUCCAGGACCUCUUCCAAUCUCAUUUGCAAGUUGCGGCAAAAAACGCAGUUUUCUGCAUUGCCGUGACUCUUUUUUUUUUUUUUUGAAAAGUAAGAAAUAAUUUUAACUAAAAUAAAUAAAAAUACUAAAAAAAAUGCCCAAAACAUAUUUUUGUGAACAAAUUCUUUUCUUACAAAUUUUAUGCUAAAAUUCUUAUAAAUAAAAAUAAACAACUAAAAAACAAAAACAAAAUAAAACUAAAAAAUGAAAUAAAAGACAAAAAUAAAUUAAGAUGCUAUAAAAAUACUAGAAAAUGCCCAAAACAAAAAUUAUGAAACUAAUAUAUAUGAUUAUCACUAAAAUAAAAUAAAAAUAAAAAAAAUAAAAAUUAAAUAAAAGUAAAAUAAAAUCGUUCAAAAUUUUGGUGUCUACACCCUCCACUCGCAGCAUCAAUGAUAUUCCUGUAUCUGAAGAUUAGUCCCUCGUAAAAAUAUUGUAUGAGCAACUGCUCACUUAUUUGGUACUGAGAGCACUUGAUGCACAACUUCUUGAAUCGCUCCCAGUAGUCGUAGAGUGACUCCUCUGGAUGCUGUUUGAUACCACAGAUCUCCUUUGUUAGACUUGCAACUUGGGAUGCGGGAAAAUACUUGUCUACAAACUUUUUUUUCAACUAGUCCCACGUGGUGAUACUACCUGGUGGUAGGUAGUACAACCAGUCUUUUGCGAAGUCCUUCAAGGAGAAGGGGAAUGCCCUCAUUUUUAUUUGCUUUUCUGUGAUACCCGGGGGUUUCUACUAUUGCACAAGAUAUCAAACUCUUGCAAAUGUUUAUAUGGCUCUUCACCUGACAAACCAUGAAAGGAUAGUAAAAGAUGAAUUAGACCAGAUUUGAAUUCAAAUGGAGUAUUAUCAUUUAAAUUUGGGAAAAUAAUACACAAAGGCUGUUGAUUUAAAUCAGGAGCAGCCAACUCCUUUAAUGUUCGUGCGUUCGUCAUAGUGAAUUCUUCUUGAUCCGAGUCACUUGAAGUGUCACCAAACGAAUCUGUUGGUUCAACUUCUAACUCAGGUCUCUGAGAUGCAGCACUGGAGUACUUUUCCCUGAGUUGUCUGGUCUAUUUUCGUGUUCUCCGUGCGGUCUUCUCUAUCUCAGGGUCAAAAAUUAAUUCACCUGUACGAGAAUAACGAGGCAUACACUCAAAAAGUACUAGAAAAUUAGAACAAAAAUAAACUUAAAAAGAAACAAAUAACUAGCACCAGUCCUCAGUAACAGCGCCAAAAAAUGACAGGUUGUCGAGCCUGUACAAUAAUAAAUACCUGCUCAAACAAAAGUUAAUUUCUGCAGAUAGUGAUAAGUAGGGUCGAAUCCAUAGGGACUGGGGAUAUUUGUCUCUUUUGGAGUUCAAACUAACAAUGGGGGGUUUUUAUAGCAAUGACAAUGAUUAAACAGUUCGAAUAAAAUCAAAUAGCUAACUAAAAAGUAAACGACAAUUCACUAAAAUCAGAUUAAUGAUAACUAAAGUUCUAGCCAAGAAAUAACUUCAGCUAUGAUUCACCUAAUUGAUCAUCGAUGCAAAGGCAAUUCCAAUUAUUUACUAAUAAAUAAGUUAUAACUGCCAAACAAGCGAUGACAGUCAACCAUUCCUUACUGUGUCGGUGAUUAAGGUACGCCCGUUAAUCACUACUGUAAUUGAGAAAUAAUCAUAGGUACGCCCGUAAGACAUAAUUCUCUAAUUGCUUUACGUAUUAGAGGAGCCCUGUUCUAACCAAAUAACGCACUACCAGAGUUAUUUUAUGUUAGCCCGCGUAUUCCCCUGACACAAAUCCAAUCAUGCUAGUUGUCACUAUUUCAGGGCAAUUAAACAAUUACAGAUUUAAUGCCCCAUUUGACAAUAGAUUACUAAAUUAACUAAUUAUCUGGAUCCAAGACAAUCAAUUAAUUGAAUAACCAUGAACACUAUAAUCAGAGAAUAUGCGAAUAUCAAUAAAUAAAAGAAAAAGAUAAAAUUAAAUCGAUCUCACAAUUUUUAGGCGAAUCAAAGCCUCAGUUGUUCCUUGACUAGAAAAGGGAGUUUUGUUCAUCUUUAACGAAUAAAGCCCACAGGAGAUCGAAGCAACCGUAGCAGCCAUUGACUCCGAAAUUGAGAAAAUUCAAUUCGGUUCGGCAAUGAAAGAAAAGUCAAGAUUAGAAAAAAUGCCCAAUUGCUUUUCUUUGCUUUCACAUCCGAUGGAAGCAAAAGCACAAUAAGACGAAAAGAGGAAAAAUCAAAAGAAAAGCUAAGCUAGAGGUCCUACCAUACGAAGAAAGAAAAACUAUCCAAGAAAAGUCAAAGGAAAGCUAUCUAAUAUCUAGUUCCUACUGCUACUGUGCGGCGUCCGCGGCCAUGAAGAGACCGAAGAAGACUCCAGCCUUUUUAUCCUCUUUCCAUGUUGUCUUCCACCAAAUUACCAAAGAGGUCGUGUUCUCAGAUUUCAAAAAUGCCCCUGGAUGCCUGUUACUUGAAUUCUUUUCCGAUGAUUGUCAAAUUGGCCUUGGUUGUGGUAUUUUCAUUCUACUCCCUGAAAUAAAUGUAAAUUAUGAAAAGUGAGUAGAGUCUAAUAAUUGAUCCACAUCAGGUUAGGUAAUAGGGAAAUUAAUAAUAAAAUCGUAACCUAUCAUAAAGGCAUUCCAACAAAGAAACCUCAACACUCGCCAAUAUUUCUAAAAUAAAAAAAGGAAAUAGUACCAUCAAUUUAUAUUUAAUCCUAAAACUUGAGAAAAAGAGUAAAUCAUCUAGUAUUUGAACCAUAUAGUACCUAAUGCUUGACCAUCUUUGAACCUACAACCACACCUUUUGGUCUGCGUAGAAAUUAUACAUCACAAAACUAGCAUCACAUACAAGGUGAAUGGGAUGUUGGCACAUUUCACCACAUAAUAAUUAACUGAUAACAACAUGCACUGCACUUUUUAUUAUUUUUUGGGGGCAUUGCACCAACAUAGGAUGACUUAAUGUAAAUGAAUUCUAAUUGAUACUUAGUUGUCUAAUCAUACCUAUCAUUACAAUUUAACACACAUUUUUGUUAGAAUAUGGCAAAUAAAGACACUUCAUACUAUAUGAAUUUCACUAAAAGUCCUACAAUUAUGUUUUUGAAAUGCUAAGUAAUAUGCUUUUUUUUCCUGGCCUACUGAUUGUGCUUUACAUUUCCAAGGUUUAUGCAAAGAGCAUCAUACUAUCUCUCUUAGUCAAGUAAUACAAUUCUUUCCCUUUCUUGAGACAAAUUUCCAAAAGCAUCUCUAAACCUAGCUUGGCAAAAAAAAAAAAAAGAAGAGAUCAUGUUAUUAACACUAUGAAAGUACAAUGAUACAAUGAUUGUGAAAGAAAGAAGAUUUUAACACUAGAGUAAUCAAUACAACUACUCAAAGGAAAGAAAAAAAUUGAAAUAACUGAUAUUUCUUGUCUUAGAAUUGUACCCAUAAUCACGAAAUAUAAAAUGAUAAAAUAGACAAAAACCUAUAAACUAUUGUUUUGUUCUAUGGAAUUUAGAGAGGACAAAAAGUACCUUUAAUGAUUUCUUGUGAUGGUAGAUAACAAUGGAAUUGAGAUGCUAGAUGAUAGGGUUUGUGGAUAAAGAGACUUGUAGAGAAUGCAAGAUUGAAAAAAUUUUAGUGAGUUUCAAUGUUUGAGGGAUUUACUUUGAUACUUAUCAGUUAAGAGAAGGAGUAAAUCAAGAAAGGAAACCUCAUCAAUUAGGCAAGAAAAUCUCAUCCACUUAGCAAACUGUGUUUUUAUUUUCAUUUUUUAAGAAAAUGCCAGUAAAACUUUUGAUCUAAUGACAUUCAAGUGCUAUUGAUUGUUAAAAUUGACUUCAUGCCUUAAUGGUUUAAUUUAACACUACUUUCUCGAGAACAGAGACAAAAAUAAAAAAAAGAGAAUAAAUUUCUUUUCAAAAGUAAAAUAUUAAAAAAAAUCUAUUUUUUUCACAUAAUUUCUUUAUAGUUUUCAAAGUCUCUUCACUUCCUUUUGCGAUUAUAUCGAGUUGAACUAUUUAGUUUUUUGUUCAACUUGACUACACAAAAAAUGUAAUCUAUCCUUUUUUUAAAAUAUUUUAGAAGGGGAAUGGUGAAAUUUAAGAAAUGAAGGAGAAAAAAGAUUUCAGCUUUAACUAUGACAUCAAUAUCUCAGCAAUACAAUUUGUUAUUACUUGCAAGACAUUUAUUAUUACUUUUAGUUAUUUUCAUUUUCUUUUCUUUUAGAGUAGGGCGGAUGAGCUAGCACCGUCAUGGUGGCAAAUUGAAGCACGGCAGUGGCACUAUCAACUAUCCCACCAAAUGCUGACCCCGGCCACCACCAUCCGACGUGAUUACCAAUUCAAAAGGAAAGAAAAAAUUAUAUCACUUCAUAAGCAGCCCGUAUUAGCAUGAUGUUAAAUGCAUUACGGGCACUAGUACCCCACCAUGUUCAAUUUAAGCCACAAAUAAAGAGGGGACCGAUUGAUAAUCUUUCUUGAUAACUGAAAAUUCCUCUUGGAGUUAAUUCCAUGCUGCAUCAUGUAAUUAUACUUAAAUUCCUUUUUUGGCACCUAAACGAAAUGGAAAUCGGGUUUUCCAUUUUUAAAAUAUAAGAAUUUGGUCCGAAUUCGAUAAUGAAUUUUCUGAAUUUGAAAUCAAAAACUGUAAGAGAUAUCCCAUAGGGGUUACUUUGCAAGAUUAUCAUCUGCAGGGUCCUUACUGACGGUUUCUGCAACCUUGUAACAGAUAUUUGUUCCUAUAUUCACCUUCUAAUUAUACUUUUGUUAUCCCAACUUCAACCCCAAAUGCACAUCAAGUUCAUAACCAAUGGAGCAAUCAAUAUAUGACAUGAGAGCUAUAGAAUCCAAGAGAAACGCAUUGGAAAUCAUGGGAACAACUUCAUGGUUUGUGAACUUGCUACGAGUACGGUUAUCGGAAUAAUUAAUUUCUUUGUUCGCCAUUAAAGGUGACAUUUCAUCAUAUGCUUAGUGUGGUACCCAGAAUCAUCCUCCUCAAGAUGAUCUCUCCCGGACACUUUCGAAUUUGAGUAGUCAUCUUGUAGUUUAGAUGUCCAGUGAGCCGAGGACAUUCACAACAAGAAGUGAUUGAUGCGACACCUUACAAGCUUUUGCAGGUCUAACCUCUUGCACUAGUAGAUCUAGAGUCGACCUAUAGCUGCACCCUGCCCUAUCAAUGCGGCCUGAAACCCAAGGACACUUCUCACGUUUCACUAUAAUUACCCCUCUUUUCUUAGACCCCAGAGGUAACUGUUUCUUAAUUCUCAUAUGUAACUUAUGUCUGAGCUGUUAACUCUUGCUAAGUUAAGCAUCAGAGCCAAAUUGGGGGAAUACUCCAUCUCUGCUUUUGAUAUCAUACAGGAAAUCCGAACUAGAGUUCAUCGAUCUCCAGUCUUCUUGGGAGUUUCGACCGUGACUCUACAAUUGGUGGCUGUUUGUAGGAAGUGAAGUAAAUACAGUUGCUCUACUUUCUCAUGACUAAGACUUGCUUUAAUCAUGGAAACAAGAACCCCCGAACUUUUGGGAGCCGUAUAGCCGAUCCAAGGGAUUAGGACAUACUAGAGAAUUCACAGCCUCAUGGAGAGGUCAUAGCUCGAGUGGCCAAGUUUGUGGCCUCCAGUUCAGGGUUUUUUGAAGAGAUUGUUAGGCAUAUGAAAGGUAAGGAUAGAGGCGAAUCUGCUCAGAGAUAACCCGAAGAGUCUUCUUUGUCUUCUUUCGAGUGUGACUCGGAUGACCAUCACAUACUCCAAGAGGAAGAAGGAAAAGAACCUUUCUAAAUUGCAAGGCAAAGUGCAUUCUAAAGUUUCCUCAGUUUUCGAGAGCAUUGCUCAAGAACCCAUUCAAGAGGGAUGACACAAGUGAACGGUCUAGAUACGGAUCGACCCUUUACGGAGAUAACAUGCCCCCUUCACCCCUAACAUUAAUGAAGAAGUUUUUCCAACAAACUUUGAAGAGGUGAUUUUAGUCCCGCUGGGUGAACCUUCCGAACUGAAGAAGUGUUUUGUCUUCAGCAAGGCACUGGGACGAGGUUACCUGCUUAGGUUACAGGAGGGGCUGAAUCCCCCAGUGUAACUCCGAAACUUAAGUUAGUUCGGUAGUGAAAAAGUAAUAUAGUGGAGAAGAUCAGUAUAGUUUUACCAGAAAUUAGUCAUCCCCCUUCUCAGUAGAGGUGUUGAGUAUUUAUAGAGGACUGAUUUGAAGAGGAAUUGCUGGCACGAGUUCCGAGAGAUCUGAUACGGAUAUCAUAUCAAUUUGAUAUGAUAUCCCUGCGAAAAGGCGCGCCGGAACCGGUAUCAGAGUCAGGCGGCGCAUGUGUCAGAACAUCUCUCCGUCAAGUGUCAGAUGUGUCAGGGGUCACAUCAUAUUUCCACAGUUGUCAAGUCGUUUGGGCAUCACCUCAGCUCACGCUCCGAAGAUCUCCGCCGAGGUGAUAAACGGGUCAGGACCACCUCACUAAAUGACGCGCCGAGGUGGCACUUCCAGUAGUCUUGCAGGGUGAGGCCCCAGCCUAUCCGGGCUGAAACGACCAUCCUCACUAAGCCCCCCAAGCUUCGAGAAGGGCGAGAUUGUGGUUUCCCGAGGUCGUUGCUUCCCGAAGUUGACAAGCGUGUAAGGCACGUGAUCCAGCAAUCAUGGCCACGUGGAUGGGACUGCUGAGGAACUGACAUGAUGGCUAUCAAUCGUGACGGCAGGUUCAUGAACAGGCUCGAGAUCAGCAGGACGAACAGCCUUUUCAUUAAUGAGGAGAGAGAGAACGCGCCCUCGAGAAUCUCAAAGAUACCGCCUCUUCAUUUUCCCCUGGGUGCCUAUAAAUAGAAGCCCCUUUUCACCAUUUCACUCUUUACCAAAAAUCUAAAAUCACCUUAGAGCUCUGUUCCUGUGUCCUUUCACUUCGGCAAUUCCCUGAGGCAAAAAGACCCGACCCCUCCGAGGAGAUAACUGCAUCCGAUGUCGGGGAAGGAGGUGCCGAGGCGUGUCACCGAGCCGGGACAUCUGGAGGGCAUCACGAGGAGAUCGAGGUCGAAGCCGAGGUCCUAUACAAUGAUGACCUCGGGAACGAGAUCCCUAGGGACGAGGGCGUGCAAGAGCCUUCCACUCCUCCGAACUUGACAACACUUAAUUACGGCCAGAUGCCAGCCUUCAGUAGUAUUAUGGGACAAGCCUCCGUAACCGAGGUGGUCCGCAAGUAUCCUUGGAGAAGGGAUUACAGUAUCUAUUUGCCCCAGCCACACCAGUCAGCCGCAUUGCCACCGAAGGGUAGGGUGGCCAUCUACGUGGACCAACUGGAGGCCGGACUCAGAGUGCCAACAACAAAGUUUCUUCGGGACUGCUUGAGGUAUUGGGGGGUGAGGAUCACUCAACUCACCCCGAAUGCCAUUCGUGUCCUCGUCGGCUUCCAACUGCUUUGCCGACAUCAGGAAAUAGAGCCCACUGUCAACCUCUUCUGCCGUUGUUACUCGCUUAAGAACAGCGGGAGCGAGAAGGGUUGGUUUUAUUUCAGGAAUAAAUUUCCGAAGUUAGUGGUAGACGCCCCGAACUCGAUAAAGGAAUGGAAAAGAAACUUUUUCUUCGUCCCGGCAAAAGACUUCCCACGGGGAUUCUGGUGGAGGCCUCCCACCUCGGUCAAAGAGACGUCCCCGGGCAUGUUAGAGGAGCGCAACUUCCAGAAGUUAACGGGGUCGGGCCUCAGGAUUAAUUGAUGGGACUUUCCCGAAGUGGUGGUCGUAGAAGGCGGGAUCAGCCGAGCCUUGAUCAGCUCGGACCACCUCGUCUUCUUCUCUACUAGGCUUCAAAAACCUUGUACUUUUCCAUUUCCCUUUUUUGUUUAUUCUUCAUGAAUUCUAACUAACUCUUUUUCACACUAUGCAGUGGUGAAGGUUCCCGACCUGAUAAUCUCGAAAAACGUCAAGGUGGUGAAGAGACCACCCAAGAAGCACAAGGAUGCUGCUGAGCCCUUCACCAGGCCUACCAAGAACACCACUGCGGCUACGGGCGACCGCGAGCCUGCCGUGGUGAUAGUGGGCGAAGGCUCCCAUACCUCGACCACUCCCGGAGGUUCCCGAGCCUCGGCUAUUCCUGUGGGAGUUCCUAUUCGAGGGGUCACGAUAGCCACUCCACCUCGGGGUCAGGGCGUGACUGCGUUCCCGGAUAACCCCGUCACGGGGUCUUCGCUAUUCAACCUCUACCAUGUGCCUUCCAAAGCAGUCGGGGAGGAUAAAAGGCACUCCGGAGCACAUUGGUGUCCGGAGUGGGAGGUGAACGUCAAUGACCGCUGCAAGAACCCCCUGGUCGCACAUGAGUUUCUUGUGCAUUCGGUGUUGCCGUGAGAUAACACUUAUGCCAGAAAGCUCACUCCAGGUGAGCUGAUGCAAAGUGCCUCGGUCUCAUGGUCCUCCACCACGGCCUUCUUUGCUGAGAUGAUCCAACGUUACGGACAUUUCAUGAAAAAUUACGAGCCACCUGCCGAGUUCCAGAAGAAGAUUGCCAACCUGGAAGAGAAGCUGAGGGCAACUGAGCUGGAGCGCGACAAAGCCGAGGCAGCGAAGUCGAGAACAAUUCCCUGAUAACUUCCCUUGAUGAGGAGAGAGAGAAUGGUCCAAGAAGAACAGUCGACCAAGGAGGCAAUAGACAAGGCCGGGGUCACUGCCGUGGAGGCCUUCCGAAAGUCGGAGUUUUUCACCCACGACCUCGGCGAUCUCACACGCCCAAACUUUAUGUUUGACUACACGUUGGCUGUUAACGAUGCUAUGCCAUUUCUCUCUUCUGAGCAGCUGGAGUCCCUUCAAAGCGCUCCUCACUACAACGAAGAUGCCAAGGAGUUGUGCGACCGUAUGGCCGAGGGCAUCCAGGCUGGAAAAGAUCUAGCCGAGGUUCGUGCUGAGUUCAACAAAUGGCUUCAAGAGUUUGAGCUAGACGGUGAUGGCCUUGAAGGGAACCAGUCUGGCAGAGGAGCUGAGGGACAGCAGGACGCCGAGGCGGCGAAGAAGAGACUAUGGGGGAGUAAGGCUCCGGGGCAGGGAAUGCUUAGAAGCAUCCCUUUUUUCCCUGACCUCGGUCUUCUACUUUUUGUACUUGUGCUUCAAUUUAAUUGACUUCAUAUUUUUGCAAUAUUUUUAAUUGAGUUCGGUUUUCUUUUCUUUACUGCUGCUGUCCCCUUAUUUUUCACUUGUAAUGAAAUGGGAAGAAGUGAGAAAUAACUCAAAACUUAAAAUUAAAACUACGUACCCUUCAAGGGUAAUACAGUUUAAGAUUUUCAGCAUGCCAAAUUCGGGGCACCCGAGAUCCAUCUCGGUAUGCCAAUUUAUAGUAUCCAUUUUGGCUGGACUCAACGACACGGUAUGGUCCCUCCCACUUGGGGUUCAGUUUACCCUGGGGUUCAGUUCGGCUGACCGAGUUCUUCCGGAACACAAGGUCUCCCGGAUUGAACCGCAAGUGUCUGACCCGAGCAUUGUAGUAGCCAGUUAGGAUAUUUUUAUAAAGAGGGACUUUGGCUGCAACCAUAUCACGCUUCUCUUCGGCGAGGUCGAGGUCAACUCGCCGUUCCUCUUCAUUAACUUCGGCGGUGUACGCUGCCAUUCGUGGGCUCGGAGUGAUGAACUCGGCUGGAACGACAGCUUCGGACCCAUAAGUUAAAGAAAAUGGAGUUUUUUGGGUUGCUGAUCUCGGCGUGGUUCGAUAGGACCACAACACGCUGGGAAGUUCUUCCAUCCAGGACGACCCAACCCGGUGGAGCCUGGUCUUGAGGUCAUAAAGGAGAGUGCGGUUGAAGUUUUCGACCUGUCCAUUGGCCUGGGGGUAUCCAACCGAGGUGAAAUGCUGUUUGAUUCCCAAGUUUUCGCACCACGCUUUGAAAGGAUUAUCGGCGAACUGCCGGCCAUUGUCCGAGAUGACCACCCGGGGUAGGCCGAAGUGACAAACCACGCUCUUCCAAAAGAAUUUUUGAACGGCUGCCCCGGUAAUACUUCUCAGAGGCUCUGCCUCGACCCAUUUGGUGAAGUAAUCUACUGCCACCAUUACGUAGGCGUAGUUGCCUGGAGUUCUAGGAAAUGGGCCGAUUUUAUCAGUCUCCCAUUGCUCGAAGGGCCAUGGCGAGGUGAUGGGAAUCAUGAGAUUAGUCGGCUGGUGGUGCUCAGGGGCGUGGUACUGGCAAGACGGACAACUAAGGACCAUGACCUGGUCAUCCACCCUCAUGGUGGGUCAGAAAUACCCAAGCAACAAAACUUUUUUGACGAGCAUCCUGUAGCCGAUGUGAGCACCACAAAGUCUCUCGUGUAUGUCUUGCAGUAUUCUCUCACCUUCUUCCGGUAUAAUGCACCGCAGCCAAGGACCGAGGUACGACCUCUUGUAUAAGAGAUUUUGCUAAAGAGCGUACCGAGUUGCUUUGCGCUGCAGCUUUCUCGACUCAGCUCGGUCCUCGGGGAGCUCCCCCUGGCUGAGAAAUCGGAUCAAAGGCCCCAUCCAGAUGUCCCCAGGAUAGAUAGGGUACACGACCUCUCCUUUGUACCUCGGUUCGGCUAAUACUUCUACGAGAACCGUCUUGUUCAGGUCAGAAAAUGAGGUAGAAGCGAGCCGAGAGAGGGCAUCAGCCCUCCUGUUUUGUGACCGCGGUAUUUUUUGAAUUUCAAAAGACUCGAAAUGUGCCACCAACUGGAGGACCUUGGAGAGGUAGCGGUUCAUCACCUCUUCCCUGGUCUCAUAUUCGCCCAGUAUCUGGCACACAACGAGUUGGGAGUCGCUAUAGACCAAAAUGUGUGCGGCCCCGAGCUUACGAGCUAGUUGUAGGCCGGCAAUGACUGCUUCGUAUUCGGCCUCAUUGUCAGAAGCGGCGAAGUCAAACCUUAAGGCGUAUGAACACACCUCUCCCUGGGGGUCUUCGAGGAGCAAGCUCGCCCCACUACCCUCACUAUUAGACGAGCCAUCCACGUGCAAAAUCCAACGUUGGAGCUCGGCGGCAGCCGAGGUGGUCUCCUUCACCUCAUCAAAAGUGAGUUCGGCGAGAAAAUCCGCAAGGGCCUGUGCCUUGAUUGCGGUACGAGACUCGUAAGACAAGUCGUACUCCCCCAGCUCGAUGGCCCAUUUAGUGAGACGUCCGGAAGCCUCUGGCUGUGAUAAAACUUGCCUGAGGGGUUGGUCAGUUCUCAAGCAGAUGUGGUGAACUAAAAAGUAGGGCUUCAGCCUGCGGGCUGUAUGGAUUAAGGCCAGCACGAGUUUCUCCGCUUGACUGUAUCUGGUCUCCGGACCUCAGAGGACUCGGCUGACGUAGUAAACUGGCAUUUGAACACCUUCCUUCCUUAUCAACACGUCGCUCACAGCUUCGACCGCGGCAGACAGGUACAAAAACAACUUGUCCCCUGGCCGAGGCGAGGUGAGUGUUGGGAGGUGGUGUAGGUACUCCUUUAACUAAUCAAAGGCCUGUUAACAUUCUUCAGUCCAGGAGAAGCUAUCUGCCUUCUUCAGUGCCUUGAAAAAGGGCAACGCCUUGGAAGCUGACUGCGAUAGGAACCUGUUCAGGGCUGCCAACCGGCCUGUCAGCCUCUGGACGUCACGGACGCACCGAGGUAAAGACAUUUCUUGGAUCGCUUUCACCUUAUCCGGAUUUGCUUCGAUGCCUCGCCUUGAGAUGAGGUAACCCAGAAACUUUCUCGAAAUGAUCCCAAAAACACAUUUCUUGGGGUUUAACAUCAUUCCCGUCUUCCGUAGGAUCUCAAGGACCUCUUUCAGGUUAGAAAGGAAGAUGGAGGUCGUCCGGCUCUUGAGGAGGAUGUCGUCCACAUAGGCUUUAACAUUGCGGCCGAUCUGGGAUUUGAAAGCCUGGUUGACCAGGCGUUGAUAUGUGGCCCCGGCAUUUUUUAGUCCGAACGACAUGGUGGUGUAGCAAUAUGUGCCUUGGUCAGUGUAGAAGGCCGUCUUCUCUUGGUUCUCCUGACUCAUUCCAAUCUGAUGGUACUCCUUGAAAGCUUCAAGAAAGCAAAGGAACUCGUAACCCAUUGCCGAGUCCACCAGGGUGUCGACUUUGGGCAACGGGUAGCAGUCUUUGGACCAGGUUUUGUUUAGGUCGGUGAAGUCGACGCACAUUCUCCAAGCCUCCGGUGUCCUUCUUGACCAUGACCGAGUUGGAUAGCCAGGUCGGGUAUUGGAUCUCCCGGAUUAUCUUUGCCGGUAGGAGCUUGUCCACUUCUUCAUCGACAGCUCGGCUGCGCUCAGGGCCGAGGUGCCUUCUUUUCUAUUUGAUCGGACGAAUUUGGGGGUCGACGUUCAACUUAUGUGCCAUUAGGUGAUGCGGGACCCCUUGGACCUCAUCUGCGGCCUAGGCGAAGACGUCCCGGUACUCUCUGAGGAGGUCCACCAUACCUUUUUUGAUCAGGUCAGGCAAUCGGGUGUCGACGCGGAUCGUUCGCUCCGACUUCGUAAGGUCUAGAAAAACCUCUUCUAGCUCAUCUCCAGCCUCCAGCCUCCAGCCUCGGAGCCUUCUCAGCCUGCUGAGGGUCGAGGCAGUCUAUUGAGAGAAUGUUGGACCUCUUCUCAAACCUCACAUCGGAGGUCGAUGUGGAGGCUGCUUGUAAGGUGGCGAGAUAACACUUUCGAGCAGUGCAGACGUCACUGUUGACCUUGGCAAUUCCCGCAGGGGUAGGAAACUUGAAACUCAGAUGGUAUGUGGAAUAUACCGCUCGCAGAGCAUUAAGUGUGGGUCGGCCCAGGAACGAGUUGUACGAGGAGUCAGUCUUAACCACCACGAAAUUGAUUGGGAUGGUUCGACAGCGGAGGUGACGCCCCACAGUCACUGUCAGAGUCACCAUCCCUUCGGGAUGCACGAUGUGUCCCCCGAAUCCCACCAGGGGGUCCUUACCGGGGUCAUGUGUUCUUUGGCCAACUUAAAGCUUUCAAAAGUGCGGAGAUACAUAACGUCCACCGAAUUUCCUGGGUCGAUGUAGACCUUCUUCACAAUAUAGUUAUUGGUGAGUAUUUCAAUCACCAAGGUUUCAUGGCUAUUUGAUGCAGUCGGAACUGGAUCGGUGUGGCCAUAAGAAAUGACUUCAGAUAGGCGAGAACUUGACUCGGCCUGAUCCGGGUUAGCUUGCCUAUAGGUCCUCUUCCGGGAGUUUUGACUAUCCCCUCCUGUCAGACCUCCGGCAAUAGUGUUGAUGACUCCAGCAAUGUUUGACCCAUAUCCUAACCCCUGACCUGAGGAUCCGUCUCGGGGAGGCCUUUUUGUCUCCCUAGGUUCCUCAGGGGGUCGGCAGCUGCUUCUCGACGUCCGCAUUUCGUUUUGGCGUUGGUCACCUCGUCCGUCACGCCGGUUAUCAUUACGCUGAUGACUUCCAACUCGGCGGACAAAUUGCUUCAAGUGUUCCUGUCUGAUGAGGUUCUCGAUCUCCCUCUUGAGGUCAUUGCAAUUCUCGGUCUCAUGCCCGAUAUCUCGGUGAUACAGGCAGUAGAGGUUCGAGUUCCUCUUGUUUCUGCUACCAAACAUCCUGGGAGGUGCCUUCCCGAGGUUGUUUUGUUCUAUUACGAAUAACACCCAAGAUCGGGUGGUGUUCAGAUGAGUUAAUUCAGACUCGGGAAUGGGUGACUUCCCCUUAGAAAUCCUGUCAAACACACUGCGGCAAUCUCGGCCAGGGCUUUGGAAGCCACUCCCUGUCCCCGCUUCACUUCGGCCCGUCUUUUCCCCUUCGGAGGUCAGCCCUCGGGCGAGCGGCUUGGACCUCUUUCUUCAUGCGGUUGAGGUCUUCGGUUUAUAUGCCCUUCUCGACCUUCAACCAUAGUUCGUGGAGCGUGCGGGGAUACUCUUGUGGAUCCCCGUAUUGAAUACCCCGGCAACGAGCCCAUGGGUAAAAGCAACAAUGGUAACCUGCUCAUUGGGGUCAGGUAUCUGUAUGCUUUUCUCAUGGAACCUCUGGACGUACGAUCGAAGUGACUCUCCUGGGUUCUGUUGCAUAUUCAGCAAGUAAGCCGAGAUCCUGAUCGUAGGUCGGGAGGAGACAAACCGAUGGAGAAAUUCCACUAAUUUCCCCAUGGUUGAGAUGCUCCUAGGUUCUAAACCCCAGAACUAUUUUCGAGCUAUCCCCUGGAGGAACACUGGAAAAGCUCGGCAUAUGACGGGGUCAGGGAUGCAAUAUAGGCGGAAGGCCAAGAUAAAGGCAUGGAUAUGAUUCUCGGGAUCACCUCGGCUGUCAUAAGAUUGUAUCGAGGGGAGCUUGAAAUUUGGAGAAAGCCUUUCCUCGUUGAUAUCAUCAGUAAAAGGAGGGGCUCUCAUGUAGUCCACCCCGAGCCUUCCUAGGGGCCGAGGUUUCUCCUCAAGUCGUCGUCCCAAGAGCCCUCGGGAAAAUGCCUUGGAUAAGGAGGCUACCUUAGAGAUGGCCUUGGAAAAUGCCCGUUUUGAAGCGCUUUGGCUGAGGCGCCUUCCAUCAGACUCCUCUUCAGAUGAACCUUCAGGAGAUCCAUCUGACUUCCUUUUAGAAGACUCCGCAUUCUGCUUGCCUUGCCUCUUUAGGUACCUCUCCAACUCCUCGAAGAUGUUGGGGUUCUCGGUUACAAAUUCAACCAUAUGGGUUAUGGCUUGUUCGUUUGCGGGCUGAGUCCUUGAAGACUCCUGCCCUUCGAAAAUAUCUUCCUGUUGAACUGCAUUGCUUUGUUCAGCCCCAAUAGUGAGAGCUUUCCUGCUCCUAGAACGCGUAGGCUUCAUAUUCUAAUGUCUUCACGUUCCCACAGACGGCACCAAUUGAAGAUGUGAUUUUAGUUCCGCUGGGUGAACCUUUCGAACUGAAGAAGUGUUUUGUCUUCGGCAAGGCAUUAAGACGAGGUCACCUGCUUAGGUUACAGGAGGGGCUGAAUCCCGCGGUGUAACUCCGAAAUUUAAGUUAGUUCGGUAGUGAAAAAGUAAUAUAGUGGAGAAGAUCAGUAUAAUUUUACCAGAAAUUAGUCAUCCCCCUUCUCAGUAGAGGUGUUGAGUAUUUAUAGAGGAUUGAUUUGAAGAGGAACUGCUGGCACGGGUUCCGAGAAAUCUGAUACGGAUAUCAUAUCAAAUUUGAUAUGAUAUCCCUGCGAAAAGGCGCGCCGGAAUAGGUAUCAGAGUCAGGCGGCACAUGUGUCAGAACAGCUUUCCGUCAAGUGUCAGAUGUGUCAGGGGUCACAUCAUCUUUCCACAGUGGUCAAGUCGUUUGGGCAUCACCUCGGCUCACGCUCCGAAGAUCUCCGCCGAGGUGAUAAACGGGUCAGGACCACCUUACUAAAUGACGCGCCGAGGUGGCACUUCCAGUAGUCUUGCAGGGUGAGGCCCCAGCUUAUCCGGGCUGAAACGACCAUCCUCAAACUUCAAAUUCCCAAAUGUUCCAUUCUAUGAUGGAAAAGGUGAUCAUGAAGACCAAGUCCAUGCCUUCUUAUCGGCAUUCAGACUGUAUGGGAUCCCCAACGCAGCGAUGUGUCGGGCGCUUCAUCAUUUCGUUAAGACUUAGUAGUUGAGAAAUUUAAUGGCUAGUCUUCUCAUGCAUGGUAUGCACCGAUCUUUAGAAUCGGCAUAGUAUGCAGGGGCAAACGCCACCCCCAAGUUUUUGAGAUUUUUCUUUUAGCUCCUAGGAAAUUUUAUAAAUUUUCAUUAAAAAUCUCUCUCUUGCACCCGUAGAUUAUCAGUUUUCAGUGUAAUUCUAUGAUUAUGGCUUGUAUGUUUUUUUUCCUCUUCUAGCGCUUAGCUAUUCAAUCUUGAUAUCUGAUUACAGCUCAAAAUUUUGUUAUCACUGCCUUAUUUUAACAAAAAAUAAUAAUAAAUUUAGUGACAUGAAACACAACAAUGAAGCUGCGUAUUCAUUACUGAAUCGAAAUAUGCAUUAGUUAUUUAUUAAUAGGGUUAUUAUUACUUUACCUCUUAACAUUCGGUGUCACUAUCAAUUUCUCCUUUAACGUUACCUUUUAGUCAUUUUACUCCCAAGACUAAUGGUCAAAUUUAACAAAGUUUGUUAAUUAAAGUGAAAAGAUACAUUUAACCCUUAAAAUUAUUAUCAUUUUACUCUCAUAAACUAUAAUCUGAUUAUCAAUUUACCCCCUAGAGUUAUUUUUUAGACAAUUUAUUGCACCAUUAAACCAACUUAGCCAGUUAAAGAACUCUAGAAGAAAGUACUUUUUUUUUGUAUAAUAAAAAUAAUAAAAAAUUUAGAAUAACUCUUCUUCUUUUUAGUAUCAAGAAAAAAAAAUCAAAUUGUUAAUCUCUUUCUUCUUAAUAAUCUUAUUAAUAUUGAAAAAAAAAAGAAAGAUGUGGAGGAGGAGGGGGAGGGAGAGAGAGAGAGAGAGCUCAAUUCUUUUUUUUUUAAAAAUAAAAAUAAGAAAAAAUUACGUAUUUUUAUUAUUUUAAAAUUAUUUCAUUUUUUUGUUUACUACCAAAUUUCAAUCCUGAUCUUGAUAAUCUUAAAGUAAUACGAUAAUGUUAGACUCUUCUUUAUUUUCUUUCUUUACAAAAUCUAAUUUUCUAUCUCCUUCUUUCAUAUCUCCUUUUCUUUUCCUAGCAUUAAUAAGUGUGAAAAAAGAAAUUUGAGAGAUCCUUUUAUUUUUACGUUUUUGGAUCCUUUAAAGUGAAAAAAAGGAAGAAUAACCUUUCCAACCAUUUCAUUUUUUAAUUAUAUAUAAAAAUGGUAUAUAUAUUUUAAAAAUUUUGAUCAUACUAGUUAGAUUAACGAUGAGAUAAAAUGCUUAAAAAAUAAUGUUAAGAAUUAAAGCGAUUGUAUCAUUAUAAUUUCAAGGGAUAAAAUGGCAAUAACAAUAUGAUAAUUCUAUAAAAUAAAGAGGUAUUUUCUGUCUAAAAUUUCUUAACAUGUUGAGUUGAAUUACUUAUGAAGGUGAACUGACUAAAAAAUAAUAUUACGGGGCAAACUGAAAGUAGUGGUAUAGUUUAAGAGAGUAAAGUGAUAAUAACCACUACAAGAAAUUUGGCCUUUUGUAACAACAAAAAGUCAUGACUAAAAAUCAAAAAGUCAUCAUUAUAUGAGUAUAGUGACGACUUUUUCCAUUGUCACAUCGUUGUCACUAAUUCUAUGUCACAAAUGGGUACGUGUGACAACCCUUUGAAAGUCGUCACUAAAUUUUGUUAUUUAAUGAUGAGGACAAAGUCGUCACUAAUGAUUAUUAUUCUGUGACAAAUUUUCUUGUCACUAUUUCACAUAUUUUUUGUCAUAAAUGGAGCAAAAGUAGUAACAAAUUUGAAGUCUAUAGUGACGACUUGAACUUGUCACUAUCAGUCCUAGUAUUCAGUGACAGGAAUAAUCGUCACUUAGUGAACUUGCAUAUAGGUUGUCACUGAACUUUAUCUUAACAAACUGCAAUUGUUCAUCAUUGUCACGGUAUUUCCGACAAUUAUAGUGAAACUCAAUUUGACAAAAAGGCUUGGUAAACUUGCAUGCUAGUGACAACCUUCCUUUGAAAGUUGUCACUGAGUUUUGUCUUCAAGAGUUGACAUUGACCAUUACAAAUAUAGUAUUGCCAUGGCAUUUUCAACAAUUAUAGUAAAACAUUCAAUUUGACAAAAGGCAAAAUCAACAUAAAAGAUAUGUCGCAAAUUCAUAUAUAUGAUCAUAACACAUCUUUAAAUUAAUAUAAACAAAAGUGAAUCACAAAUGUUGGGUCCCAAAUCCCACAUAAUCAGUUCAAGUAAUAAUAACCAAUACAUAUACUUCCCAAGAGAUAGAGUACUAGAUUUCUAAACUAAAGCAUAUAUUACAGCACCAAUGUCAGAUUUCAGUCAUCUCUAUCAGCAUAUCCAAUAGUCUUCUCCUGAUCAAUAUGAAGCUGGACUGCAUUGACAAUAAACUAUUAAAUGCAUUAGAGUAUACUUUAAUCAGAAAAUAUGCUAUUACAACCUUACACUACUGAAUUUGAAUGAAUAAUCAACAUAUGUUGCAAACAGGUCAGCACUUUUAACAGCAUAAUCAACAUAUUCGAGUUUAUUCUGAGAACAAGUUCGAAAAGCACAACUUUUGCCAUUCCACUUUUGCAUAUUGGCCAGAAAAAAAAUCACUAAUACUAUACUCUUCAAAUUCAUAUCCAACAUGACAAUUACAUGGAAACUCAAAUUGGGACUUUGUACCAGGCAAUUUCAUUUGUUGAAAUAGAUAAAAGUGGGAUGAUUGAGAUAAUUUAAGACAGUAGCAGUGAAAAAGACAAUUACAUGAUCACUUUGAACAAUUCAAAUAAAGCCACACCAAUAAUUUAUUUUUCACAGUUAUGAACACAACUACAUACAACAAAUUCCUUCUAAAAAGUUUUGCAGGAAUGUUAUAAAUUUUGUUCCAUCUCAAAAUAUAGUUGAAAAGGAUGCGGCAUCUCAUCAAGAAUUUAACUAGCCAAUGCCGCCAUGUUCAAAACUCAAAGGUGCAAAGUUUAGUAACAUUUAACUUCCAAAUUGCAUAGCCCACGACCCUUUGAAGUCCCAGGUGAUAUAUCAUGUGGAAAACAGAUAUAUCUUAUGUAGUUUUGAAAAUGCUUUCAAUCAAAAACAUCCCUUCUAGUUUAAUAGCUGCACAAGAGAACAACUAAACUAACAUUUUUCUAGCUUCAGUUUUAAACCAACCAUUUACAAAAUUUAAAUGGUUUACAAAACGAAUAGCAAAAGAUAGGGAAUCGACCCACAGUGUUGUCUUGAAUUUUCAAGAAUCUACGCAAUUUUUAGAGGAAAAGACAAUCUUCUUGCCAAGAGAAGGGCAACCGAAAAGGGCUAGCUUUUUCAAGUCGUUGUGUGACAUCCAUCUGAAAAUCCAAUUCACAAGAUUGAGAUGGAGAAGAUACAAGCUAGGAAACUCAAUACAUUGAAAAUGCUUUACUAAUCUCUGUGACGUAUAAAACUUGCACCAGAAGAAGCUAGAGCAAGAACUUAUUAGAAGGCCAAGUAAUGGUAGACUGUUUCACUCCAAAUUCAACAGAAUAUGCAACAUACAAAGAAUUACCCCGGUACUUUAGCAAUUUACUCCACUCUGUAAUAGUACAAAUAUUGAGCACAACUUAAAAAGUUACUCAUUGCUUCACAUCAAAGUACCAAAAAAUUUUUUCCCCUCAGUUACCACGUCACUUGAUAAUUUUAUUGUGUUUUUGAAUGCAAUGACUUGUUAAAAUGAAAAUAGUCAAGCAUAACUACAACUUGAGCACAAAUGGCCAUUAAAUUAUGUGAUCUUCACAUGUAGCACAUAAUUGAAUUUGCAACGAAUUGCAAUGUACCCUCAAUAUUCUUGCAACAACGUCUUUAACCACUCUACUUGAUUUGAAAAUAAAAGCAUGAUGUCCAUCCUCUUGUUUGCUUGCUAACUCACUUCCAUUUACAGUUUUUCUCUUCUUGCUUUCUCAAAGAUUAGUUACAAACAGGAGAAAAAGGAUUAAUAGCAGGGCAGUAGUAGGCAAAAGCCAAAAAAAUGAACGGACACAAGCUGGCAACCUAGCAACAAAAUUUCAUCAAAACACUUGUUGUUCACAACAAACAAGAAAAAAAAAAGGAACAGGGCAGUAUUUCCAUGCCCUCAUUAUAGUUCAUGCACAAAAAAUUGGAGCCACUACAAAGGGAAGAGGAAGAUGUCAGGAAAUGAAAUAGGCAACCUUCUUGUCCACAAGUUUGAAGAAAGCAAGGUUCCAUCAGAUAUCCAUUCUUAAGCAUUGUAUAACUAAUCCUAAGUUUGAGAUAAAAAGUUAGAAUCUUCUUUCUGUUCCCCUCUUAAUAGUUAAUACAUUCAAGUAAGUAACCCAAAGAAAGCAGAACAUUCAUUAGUCCAUGCCAAAAAUACCAUUCCUACAAUUGCAUUAACAUGACUACAAGCAACUCACCAGGGCAAAUUAUAAUCUAAGUACACAAGAGAAAGCAUAUUACUAGAAAAAUUAUCCGAUUAUUCUCAUAAUGAGAUUGAAGAAUUCAAAAAAUCACAUUUGAUAUCUAGAAAUCAACCACUCAAUAUUUAUAGAUUAGCGCUUCAAUAUACAAACGCAAGGAAUUCAUAGAGAAUCUAGGAUGCCAAGAACGAGCAAAUUAUAUCUUUGCCUUAUGAAAAGAAUAAAAAUCCUUACUUUGCAAUCUCCUGAUUAUCCUUUUUUUUUUUAUCAGUAACAAGAAGUACCAGCGUAUAAUCCAUUAAACCCAGAAAAAAGGUGCCACCAAAUAUUUUUAAGAAAUUCCUUAGAUUGAUUUGAAGACCUAGAGCAACCAAAACUGUAGAUAGAGUCUCAAUCAACUAUGUAUCUCAACAUGCAUAACUUUCAACUGCAACAUCUAAGAGCCUAAAUUGCAAAUAACAUAAUUUAGCAAAACAUGAAUCUAAGAGAAGCAUGAACUUGGUGGUGCUGAACCAUAACCUCCAGAUCCACGGCCAAAGCCAGGCCUUCCACCAGAACCCCUGAAAGCAGGCUGGUUGCAAGAGCUCCACCUUUCUCACCACCAAACUUACCAGGAGGUCCACGGGGACCAGCACGAUACCCUUCCUGUGCACCAAAUUCACUAUCCCUCGUCCAAAAAGACAACAGCAGGGAAAGAAAGAGACAGAGAACAAAAGAGGAUAUGUUCUACUUCCUGAAUUACAAAUCUACCUGUCCACUAGAGAGACUAUCUUUUCUAAGAAAUGUUUAUGCAACCUUCUGGAAAUGCUUGGAAAGCAGCUUCACAAUCUCAGUAAAUCCAACUUUCUCCUUGCCUUCAAAUAUGGUCUUCAGCUUCUCAUCACAGUAGAUCUCUUUCUUGUUGUUUGGAUUCUGAAGGUUUUUGGAAUUGACCUAAUCCCAGACUUUCCUGACGGCGUCAGUGCGAGAAGUUUCAGGUGCGCCAACGAACUAGCGGAGAGCAGGAGAGACAGGCUGCUUCUUCAGGAUGCCAUUUCUGCGGCCAGAAGUUUUAGCAGCGGCGGAUCCAGAAGUGGUGGAGGCGACGGAGGUCUUAGCGGCUGCCAUAAGUGCUCUGCAGCGGUUUCCGAAAACCCCAGCGGUUGACGCCAUAGAAAGAGACCCUAGAGAGAGAAGAAAGAGUGAGAGAGUGAGGGGACUGGGAGUCUGUGAGUGAAGAAGGCAGGUAGAGUGGAGGGAAAAUAUGAGAAAAGACCAAAAACGAUGUCGUUUCUGCUUCUUUUGUUCACGCACAUGUACUUCUUCAAUUUUCAGCUUCCCGCUUCCAUUUUAGCUAAGACCAAAAAAUAACACUUUCAUCCUCUUUUGUACGGCUAAUUGAUCAAAUUAUUGUUCGAAAAAAAAAUCACAACAAUAAAGUUAUUAUUUUGAGCUUUUUUACUUCACAAGUUGUAUCUGGAACUUUAUUUGUUACAUUAAAACUUUGAAAUUUUAGUGUUUUUGGAUAAUUUUUGGAAAAUUUAGUGUUUUUGGGAUUAAUUUAGUGUUUUUGAAAAUUAGUGUUUUGGAAUAUUUAGUGUCUUAUUAAUAAUAUGUUUAUGAUUCAAAAAAAUCUUUUAAUGCAAAUAUUUUUGGUAUUGAUUUAAUAAUUUUAUUAAUUAUGUACGAAAUUGUGGUCUGACAAGACCUAACAAGCUGUUAGUUGAUCAAUUAACCAAAAUAGUUUGCUAAUACAUGCAUAAAACACUAAAUGUAUUUGGUACAAAUACCAAUUUAUAAACCAUAUAUAAUGUGAUUAUUGUAAUUAAUAAUAAACUCCAUCCAUGCGAUUGUCAAGAUUUUACUUAAUUUCAUGUUGAAUUUUAUUGUUCUUUGCCAUUAUUUUCACACUAUGCUAGUCAAUAAUUUUCCAUGUGUUGUCAAGACAAUUAGAUAAGGAAUCCAUGAUAUUUUUUAACCUUAGCUAAGUUCGGUACAAGUUAUUAGCUAAGUUUGGAACAAUUAUAAAAAUAUGUAUAUAUAUUUUAUUAAAAUAUCUUUCUCAUUUUGCUAAUGAAAAACAUCAACUAAAGUGUAAAGGAUAGGGUGUCAUAAUAGAAUUAAUGAAAUCGGUUUAUCACAUACGAGACUAAAUUGUAAAAGAUAAGGUCUCGUGAUUGAGUUAAUGGAAUCAGUUUAUUACAUAUGGGGCUAAAAUGUAAAAUUUAGGGUGUCAUAAUAAGAUUAAUAAAAUUUAUUUAUCGCAUAUAAGCCACAUUGAAAAAAUUAGGGUGGCAUAGUAGAAAUAAUGAAAGUGAGUUAGGAACAAGCACUUUAAAAAUAUGUUUAUGAUUCAAAAAAAGAUAUUUCAAUGCAAAUAUUUUUUGUAUCAAUUUAAUAAUUUUAUCAAUUAUGCACGAAUUGUGGUCUGACAACACCAAACAAUUUGUUUAGUUGAUCAAAUAACCAAAAUAGUUUAAUAAUACACGCAUCAAACACUAAAUCUAUUUGAUACAUGUACUGAUUCAUAAACCAUAAACAAUUUGAUUAUUGUAAAUUGUAAUAUAUAACAAACUCCAGUCAUGGAAUUGUCAAGAUUUUUACUUAAUUUCAUAUUAAAUUUUAUUAUUCUCUUCCAUUAUUUUCACACUAUGUUAAUCAGUAAUUUUCCAUAUGUUGUCAAGAGAACUAAAUAAAGAAUUCAUGAUAUUUUUUAACUUUAUAACAAGGUAUUAGCUAUGUUUGGAAUAAAUAAAAAAUAGGUAAACAUUGUUUUUUACAAUACAUUCCUCAUUUUGCUAAUGAUAAACACAACCUAAAGUGUAAAAGCAUAGGGUGCCAUAAUAGAAUUAAUAAAACUUUUCUUUAUCACAUACGAGGCUAAAUUGCAAAAGAUAAGGUGUCAUGGUAGAGUUAAUGAGAUUAGUUUACCAAAUAAGGGGCUAAAGUGUAAAAGUUUGGGUGUCAUAACAUAAUUAAUUAAAUUUACUUGUAGCGUAUGGGCCAUAUAGAAAAAAUUAGGAUGGUAUAUGGAGUUAAAAUGUAAAAGUUAGGGUGUCAUAAUAGAAUUAAUAAAAUUUAUUUACAACACAUGGGCCAUAUUGAAAAAAUUAAGGUGGUAUAUGGGGUCAAAAUGUAAAAGUUAGGUGUCAUAGUAGAAUUAAUAAAAUUUAUUUAUAACACAUGGGCCAUAUUGAAAAAAUUAAGGUGGUAUAUGGGGUUAAAAUGUAAAAGUUAGGGUGUCAUAGAAAAAUUAAUAAAAUUUAUUUACAACACAUGGGUCAUAUUGAAAAAAUUAAGGUGGUAUAUGUGGUCAAAAUGUAAAAGUUAGGGUGUCAUAGUAGAAUUAAUAAAACUUAUUUACAACAUAUGGGCCAUAUUAAAAAUAUUAGGAUGACAUAGUAGAAUUAGUGAAAGUGAGAUGGGAAUAAAUGCUUUGGACAGUGACGACUAGUUGUUGUCACUAAUUUAGAACUGGCAACCAUAUUGUGACGAUAUUUUAAGUUGUCACUGUAGGACAAGUUUCAGUGACAACAUGUUUUCCAGUUGUGACAAUGGUGAUCUCCCGCCACACUGGAUAGUUGCGCGCCUUCCAUAUUGUAACGACUUAUCCCGUGUUGUCACUGUUGAUGGGUGAACCCACGAUCAAGAAUGACGACAUUAAAAGUCAUUACUAAAGUUUCAAUUGUGACAACUUUCUCUCUUGUCGCAGAGAAUGUUGUCACAAAAGGCCAAAUUUCUUAUAGUGAACCCAUAUUAAUAUGACUACUCAUUUCUCUAUUCUUCUCAUUCAUACAAUCUUAAGGGGAAAAAGUUGACCAUUCUCGAAUCUCAAACUCUGAAAAGCAAUCAUAUUUGAUCAGGAUGUAAAUUGAAAAUACCCAUAUACAUACUAUUGCUAAGAUGUGUGAUAUUUGCACUCUUAUAUUAGCCUCUCAUAUUGAAAUUCACCUACUGAAUAAAAGGCCAUCUAUGAGUGUGAGUGGCAAAUUUGGGAGUGGAAAUAUCACUUUUUUGUGUCUAAUUAGAUGCACGUAUUGGUUUUAUAUGUUUAAGGAGAAAACUUUUGAAUAUAUACAAAAUUAAUUAUUAGAUUCAACUUCACAUAUAAAAGAUCCCAUGUAUUUAGGACCAAGUACAUAAAUUUGAAAUUUGGCAGAUAAAAAAUUGAAAUAAUUAAUUAUUGAAUAGAUCACAUGUAUUUAGUUUUGAAAAAAAUUUUCUUGGCAUAGUAAAUAGAAUUUUGAAUAAAUCAACAUGUAAUGCUAAUGCAAUUAAUAACAAGUUGAACUUCACAGAUUAACAACAAAAUAGCAAGGUCAAAAAUAUUUAAAGAGGAAAACUUUAAAUUUUUGAUAAAACAAAAGUUAGGUGUACAAUUCAAUUUCAUUAAAUCUAAUGAAGCAUAAUAAAGAUCUUCAAUGAAAAUUUUUGAAAUUUCAUAGGGACUAAAAACAAUCAAAAACUUGGCUGUCCCCGCAGCUUCCCGACGCCCCUGAAAAAUUGGCCACAUGCAUGGUUUAUUGCCCCGCUCAAAACGAAUGAUUGGCAUUCUGAAAGAUUAUUUUGCUGUGACAUCCUAUAAAACUGAUGGGGACAAAUAUUCAAAGAAUUUAUUGUAAUUAUUAUUAUUAGAAUAGGAAAGAAGAAUCUCUUAUCCAUCUGUCCCCUCCUCUUUGUCUGCAUUGAACAAUGUUCUGUAGUAUAGGCAGGAAUGAUUGUACAAUUUAAACUAGUAAAGCUAAAAAUCAACCAAACAACUGAACCACUAACAAUACUUAAAAAGGAAACCACCAGCAUUUGGGCUGGUGGCCACCACCUAACUUGGUGAGGUGGGUGUGUUGUGCACCUGUUUGAUCCGGUGAUGAUUCAGUCCCUUCCGAAUUAUUUCUUGGCCUCCUUAGGUUCGCCCCCCUCCCCCUUAGUGUAGGAUAGAUUAGGUUAUAUAAAGUUGUCGUAUCCGCCAAAAAAAAAAAAGAAAACUAACAAUACUUAAAAAUGAAACCAGGUACCUUACAUCUUUGUAAUAGUAGAUUGACAUAUAUAAUUUGAUAUCAAAGUAGAGAACAAACUAAACAAGGAUUUAUUUAAUUAUGGCAACAUAAUGGAUAGAACUCCCAAGCUGCAGAAGGCAUACGUAAAAACCAUCAGAGCAACGAACAUAGAUCACUUGGGAAGCGUUAACAUGUUUCUGUACUAUAUUUAGUGCUUCGGAACCCAGACAAUGUGAUCCUCAGGAAGGAAAUGGCAGAUUGGAACAGUUCCUGGCUUCACCUUCAGCAGCUGAAAAGCCAAAUGCCUUGGGUUCCAUGCUGACGUAUCCCGGUGACAAACAGCUACAGCUUUGACUUUUGCUCCAUCGGCACCAACUAAAUUAACCAUAUAUGCAUCUGUAUUCUGUGUGGUGUGGCAGUAGAAAACUGCGUAGAAAUAGUUUUGCCUGUGGCAAGAAACUAUUUCUUUAUCGUUGUUGUUCAACUUGGAAACAGACACAAUACCAUAUUUCUGGACUUCUGGAUCUGUUUUCUGUGCUUCGUUAGAAAUUGCUAGAACAUCUUUGCCCAGCUUUGAAGUAGUGAAAUCAACCAUUGAUUCGAGAGAAGUCGCACAAUACUUGUCUUCUCCUUUCAUUGCGGGCACCUCGCAUUCUGCUAUCGUUUCCUUAAUAAUUCUAGCAUCUUGUGAUUGUGGAUUCAGUGAGUAUUUGUUCAAAAUUUCAGGAACAGAUUUUGAUGAGAAGGGAAUCGAAUUAGCAACCUGGCGGGGCAGGAAAGCCGUAGGACUUUUCACUGAUUCAACAAACUUCAUAUUCAUGCUUGAGCCGCGAUUGAGGUCCAUUUUCAAGAAAAAGACUUUCACUUUUGGGUCAAUAUGGAGCUCAUCUUCAGUAGGAUUUCCACAAUAAUGUUUGAAACUACAGCUGUCAUCAUAUGUUUUCAACCUGAAAUUGCCCCUUUCCGGCCACUUCCCUGUAUUUAUUGGAUGAGCAACAAAUUAGUACAACAUAUAAAUCCGGCCAGCUUUUAUUUCUGGUAAUGGACUACAAUGUCCCUGCGCAAAUUCUUCCAGCAAUAUCCCCCUUUUUAAGAUCCUUGUCAUAUGCUUGCUCAUGAUUAAUGGAAGAGUAAAAUUAUUAAAAGAAAAGCAUGUUAGAUCUUUUUCUUUUCUUUUUUUUUUUUAACACGGUACAAGAAAACCCCUGUAAUUAUUGAAGUACUUUUUCUUUUUGUUUUGUUUUAAGUGAAACUAGAAGUUUUCUAUUACAAUUUCUCCUUUUUUUUUUAAGGUUUUGAACUUGAUGAGUGUCUUUCAAUUCCCCCAGAAUCCAAGGGAAACAAACAAAGACGCAACUCGAGCAAUAGAAGCACAGUAAACGGUAGAUAUAGGAAAGGACCAUUUCUGAGACAAACCAUCUUUUAGCAGGUCUCUAACAGCUUUGGGCAUAGGAGUGUUUGGAAGCUCGGAUUUCCAGUAGGCUUCAAGAUCUGCAUGGUUUGCCCCAACUCCUAGCUGAAAUAUAUUUCACGAUACGGAAAAAGAGUUAUGCAGUCAGUUUGCACACUAUCCAAAGUGCGAGCAAAUUAUCUAUCUAAAAAUUAACGUAGCUUAACUUUUUCAGUAAUGUACACUCACAAAAAGAAAAGAGAGAAAGUAGAGAAGCUUCAGAAAUUCCAUAAUAGUUUAUGCGCACGAGCCACGGUAGGCUGCUAGUAUGCAAGACGGAGUGAAGAUAGUAAUAAAAGCCAAUAUAUUUGAGCGAGAUGGCACAAGAAACUGGGCAGCUUUAUUUAUAAGCGGAAGAGCCAAGCGGGACUCGGGGCAGGGACGGUUGCAGGUGCAACCGUUCCUGCCAAUUUUAGCUCAUUUUAACUGCGCGUAACAUUGGUUCAACUGCGCGUAACUUUUUUUUUCACAACAUGUAUUUUCACAACAGAUAGUGGUGGGCCCCACACUUGGCGCGAAUUUCGAGUUACAUGGUGUUAUUUCAACCGCACAAAAUUUUGAGGGCCAAUUUUCAGCCGCACAAAAUUUUAACCGUGCAGGGACGGUCAUACUGAUGACCGUCCCUGCCCCAAAUCCAGCCAAGUGCGAUUGCCAAUUGUUUGAGAGGGGGACAGUUUUGAUAUGGUGGCUGUACGGCACCAAUCAAGUUUUGACAUUGUUACUCUAAACAUGCACCUUAUCUACGAGUAGGCUUCUUGAGGGACAGUGAAGAUAAUACUGAAGGCAAAAAUACAUAAGUGAGAUUUCACAGGAAAUUGGCCGCAUUUUAGAUAAAUGAACUUAAUCAUCACCUACAAUUAAAUGUGUGACUAAGAAAACCGUCAUCUGUACCUUGAUUGUCACCAAGAAAACUGUAAUAUGUACUUUUAUUGUUACCAAAAAUCCGAUUGGUGAAAAUACUACCAACUUAUAACAUUGAGAAUUGAGUAUCUAGUAGUAUACCUAAAAAAGAAAAAAAAUUCCAUUUGAGAACCCUAAGAACAUAAUACUAAUAUCUCCAAAGCUCAUCAAAAUUCAGCAUAAUCAUGCCACAUGUAAAAGUGGGGUACAUGAUAUACAUGGAUGAGGAAAUUGUGGGCUAAUGUGGAGUGACAGGUGCCGAACCUGUGCAAUAAUAAAUCACUACUCGAAAGAAAAACAAAUUUUGCAUAUAGUGACGAGUAGGGUCGAAUCCACAAGGACUGAAGAUAAUUCGUUUCUUUUAGAAUUCAAAGUAUGGAGGUUUUCAGGAUUAAAUGCUAACUAAUUAAAUGCAAAAAUAAUUAAUUAAAAGAAAUAAUUAGAGAAACUCUAGCCAAGGAUACACUUCAGAAAUGGUUCAUGUACUGAUCAUCGAUUCACAGAUAAUUCCAAUAUUUAUUAAUAGAUUAGUUAUAGUUGUCAUGCACGCGAUAAACAACCAACCUUUCCUUAAUUUCUCGAUAGUUAAGGUACGACCGUUAACUAUUUCUCUAACUCGGAAACAACCUUAGGUACGACCGUAGGAUUUAAUUUCUAGAUUGCAUUAAUAAUUAGAAAAGUCCAAUCCUAACUAACAAACACGCUACGAGGGUUUGUUUAAACUAGAUCGUAUGUUCCCCUGACAUAAACCCAAUUACGCCAGUUGCUACUGGGAUGGAGAUAAUCGAACAAUUACGGAUUUAACUACCUCUAAUUAGCAAAUAGCCUACGUGAAUAAUUAAAUAUUGCGCACCUAUUCAAUCAUACACGAUAGCUAUACCAACAAUUAAAAGCAGAAAACAUAUAAAUACCAAUAAAUGAAGGAAAUAAUUAAAAAAAUUUAGAUCUCACAGUAAUUGCCGAACCAAAUCUUCAGUUGUCCUUUGACUAGAAUUAAGAAGCUAGUUUUCCAUUAAUAGAGAACCAGCCGUGCGAAAAUAAAACAAUCGGAGCUUUCUAAUGUUUUCAGAUGGGAAAAGGAAACUAAAGCUGAGCCCCCCAAUUACACGUGAAUCUGGCCCUUUUAUAUCUUCAGUAGCCGCCGCCCCCGAGAAAACUAACGUCUGACCUUAAAAAGCAAAAGCUAAGCUAAUGACUAAAUGCCCCUCCCGUAAAUUUGGCUUUUUUCCUCCUUUAUAGCGCCACCAGGAGCCAAGAAAACGUUUGACCCAAUUAACGAAACCAAAGCUAAUCUUUUGGAGUUUUAAUCCCAUGCUUCUCGCGGUUCACGUGGACCCAACCUUCUAAUUGCCCACUUUUGUUGCUACCAAGCCCGCGGGUCCGGCCUUUAGGUGAGUCUCCUCAGUUUCUGGCGUGGGCACGCUCUGAAAUGAAGGGUCUUCUGGAAAUUUGCCUCAAGAGAUUACUUUUAACACCAAUCACCUACAAUUCACACAAAUAUCAAAUAUGAGCAAAAUCUCAAUACGUAGCACAGUAAGUAGCCAAAAUUGGGACAAAAUAACAGUGCAAAAUGUGCCCAAUAAUUGCUCUAUCAAAUCCCUCCACACCUAGACAAUGCUUGCCCUCAAGCAUUUCAAAGUUCAGAAAUACAAUCAAGAAAAGAUAGGUCCUGCAGUAAUCUACACUAACACAAGCAUCCCACAUUCUUGACAAUGCCGCCAAAAUUAGAAUACACUAGAUAGGUGGUGAUCCGAAGAAUAUAAGCAGUAAUACUCGUCACCUUCAAGAAAAUGUAUGAAUACUAGGAACGCUCAAAUCAACAUUAGGAAAUGACAUUACCAUAGGCUUGCACAUUUAUCACAUCUCCACCACUGAAAAGUGAACUAAAUAUACAAAUCAAAGGGACUUUAAUAGGGUUGUAAUAGGGCUUAGGUAAAAGGCGGGAUAAGAAGGUAAAAAUAGGGUAUAAUAUGUCAAGAGAAUGUCUGAUAUCCACCACAUCACCACAACGCUUCAUCAGAGAAAUUUCACGAGCAAGGCAUUUUCAUUUGCCAUUUCCACUGUGCAAGUGUCAAAACUCUUCUCCUGUUCUCUUUUUUUUUUUUUUUGAACAAGCGGCUCACAAGGCGUGGGCACGUCUUGUAGGCCGGAGUCUUCUGCUCACGAGCUUUUUUUUUUUUUUAACGGAGCAGAUGUCUUGCAAGGCGUGGGCACGCCUUGUAGGCUGGAGUCUUCUGCCCACCAGCUCAUUGCCGACUUCUCCCCCUUCCCUUUUUUUCUUUUUAUCUCAGAUACACAGAGCACCGUACAACUUCUAUUCCGACAACACUCGCUACCUUAGAUUCAUUUGCCUUGCACAAACAACGGAAUUCAGACAUUUCUUGACGACACAAGGUUAAACAAGAAAGUCUAAAAAGGUCAUGGGUUAUCAAACACGGCUAAUCAAAUAAUAGUGAAGGAUAAAAGCUCAAAUAGGUUCACUACGGGGAGACAAGAUGAAGGGCAUGGUUUGUAGAAAGUUAAAGAAGGUUAAAUCCUAAAUGCCCUUAUCAUUUGAAAUGCAUCCAGUUCAACAAAAUGUGGUCUUGACAUGUACAAAAUAGCAAGUUCUAGAAUGCCAAUACCAUGUGUGAUACCCACUCAAUCAAACAAGAAUAGAGCGAACAAGGAUAAUGUGCUCAUACAAGGCCCAAAAGCUCCCAAAAGUUUCAAGAAUGAGUCAAGUCCAGCAUAUUCAAUAUUCAACACUAUUGUCAAGGAAAAACAAAAUGUAUAACUAGUAUGUAUAACCACAUAUCCGUGCACCUUGAUUGUGCAAUCCAUCAUAGCAACAUGCUCUAGCAGUUAACAAAUGUAGGACUAGAGAAGUCAACUAACUACACUUUUUUUCUUUUUUUUCUUCAUUUUCCUCUUCAUUUUUUUCUUUUUUUUUUGUGUUUCUUUUUUUUUUUUCUUAAAAGCAAAGCAAAAGGAGAUAAUAAUGGAAGUCAUCCCUCCACACCUAAUACCUACAUUGUUCUCAAUGUAGAAAAGAUGAAUGAAGUAUAAGGAGAAAAUGAGAGAAACUUCCCUGACCACCGAGAGGGUGCAGCGAGACACUAAGGCGGAGAAGGGUGGGGUGGCUAGAAUCCAAUGUGAGCAAAGAAAGUCGUCUGAUGAGAGAGAUAGUGAUGGUGGGGCGGGCAGCGGCGUGCGAUGGAUGGCGCGAGGGGGAGAGAGAGAGUUUCUAGCGGCGGUGGACAAGGGGGAAACCUUGGACUAAAACAAAACAAAGAAAAUUGAAAAGUAGAAGCUGAGACAAUGGAAAUUGAUAAAACCAUACAAGACAAGAAAAGAGAAAAGUAGAAAGUGGGAUUAGAGAGGGUCCUGGUCAAUCUUUGACUUUUGUUGGCGCAAAGGCUGGAAGGCGUGGGCGCGCCUUGGAAGCUAUAGUCUUCUGACCGUCAAUUCCAAAGCUUCAUUCCUUAGGCGUGACCAACGAAAGUGGGCAUGUCUAACUGCUAGCUUCCUGCCACAAAACAACAACCCACUAAAUGACACUAAUACUUAACAAAAAUUUCGAAAAUAUAAGAAAACUAAAACAAAAGAAGCCUUGGGUUGCCUCCCAAGCAGCGCCUUUCUUUAAUGUCUUUAGUUAGACAUCGUCAUGUUUAUUCACGGAGGAUAAAAUCGUGUAGCUCGUCUCAGUAUUUCAUCUUCUAUGUAUCCUUGAUAUCCCUCGUAAAUAGAGUAAUUCUUGAGCACACGAGGUAUGGUCUUCCAUGGAUUAGUAGAUGCCUCUAAACAAGUCGAUAAGAAUCUUAGUUCUUCACUUACUCCUCCAUUACGAACACUUAAUGGUUCGAGAUAUUUUUCCAUUGCAACUCUUAACUUAUUCCUGUCAUGAAACUCAAAAUUAUCUGGCAUAAUAAAAUCUAUUUCACUAACAGGAUUUAAAGAAUAAGAGUUCGAAAAAUAUUGACUAAGGAAUGGAGGAAAUGUCACCGCAUUUAGGGAUUGUUCACUGAAUUCAUUCACUUGAACAAUUUGAUAUUGGGAUCCUAUUUCUUCCACUUCAAUUCUCUUCUCAACUGCAUCUUUAGCUUCUUCUUCUUGAGACUCUUGCAGCUCCAUGUCAUUUGUCAGGAUAAUUGCACUCUCAUCAUCAUCAUGAUCGAUAAUCAUCUGUGAAGGCAAUUCUUCACUCAUUCGAGAAGUCAAUUGCGUUAUUCUAGAUGUCAUUUGAUCCAUUUGAUCUGCCAAGUUACGCAUGCUCGCUUGUGUCUCCUGAUGAAAUUGAUAUGUGUUAGUAGCUAAUAAUUCAAUCAUUUCUUCAAGAGACAUACCUGACAUAGAUGAUGGUUGUUGAGACUCUUGCUGUUGAAAACCUAUUGACCUUUGUUCAUAAUUAAAAUUGGAAUCAUCCCACCAUCCUUGAUCAUACCCAUUUGAAUAAGGGUCAUACCAUGUUUGAUAUUGAGGUGAAAAAUCUCCAAAAGUAUCGAUUGGAGCACCUGGGCCAUCUUGAAAUGCGGGAUAUAUGUCAGUUGAUUGACCUGAGGCAAAAUAAGUUCCACAAUUCGCAACAGCCUAUUGAUCAUUAGAAAAAACAUGAGUCUCAUAACCCCAUCUAGAAAUAAAAUCCACUCUAUCACCAAAAUACAGAAUAUUAGUAGCCAUAAAAAAAAGAUGAACUAAAAAAGAAACAAAUUAAUCAAGCGCCAGUCCUCGGCAACGGUGCCAAAAAUUAACAGGUGCCGAACCUGUGCAAUAAUAAAUCACUACUCGAGAGAAAUACAAAUUUUGCAUAUAGUGGUGAGUAGGGUCGAAUCCACAAGGAUUGGGGAUAAUUCGUUUCUUCUAGAAUUCAAAGUAUGGGGGUUUUCAGGAUUAAAUGCUAACUAAUUAAAUGUAAAAAAUAAUUAAUUAAAAGAAAUAAUUAGAGAAACUCUAGCCAAGGGUACACUUCAGAAAUGGUUCAUGCACUGAUAAUCGAUUCACAGAUAAUUCCAACAUUUAUUAAUAGAUUAGUUAUAAUUGUCAUGCACGCGAUAAACAACCAACCUUUCCUUAAUUUCUCGAUAGUUAAGGUAUGACCGUUAACUAUUUUUAUAACCCGGAAAUAACCCUAGGUAUGACCGUAGGAUUUAAUUUCUAGAUUGCAUUAAUAAUUAGAAAGGCCCAAUCUUAACUAACAAAUACGCUACGAGGGUUUGUUUAAACUAGAUCGUAUGUUCCCCUGACAUAAACCCAAUUACGCUAGUUGCUACUGGGAUGGAGAUAAUCGAAUAAUUACGGAUUCAACUACCCCCAAUUAGCAAAUAGCCUACGUGAAUAAUUAAAUAUUGCGCACCUAUUCAAUCAUACACGAUAGCUAUACCAAUAAUUAAAAGUAGAAAACAUAUAAAUACCAAUAAAUAAAGGAAAUAAUUAAAAUAAUUUAGAUCUUACAGUAAUUGCCGAACCAAAUCUUCAGUUGUCCUUUGACUAGAAUUAAGAAGCUAGUUCUCCAUUAAUGGAGAACCAGCCGUGCGGAAAUAAAACAAUCGGAGCUUUCUAAUGUUUUCAGAUGGGAAAAGGAAACUAAAGCUGAGCCCCCGAAUUACACGUGAAUCUGGCCCUUUUAUAUCUUCAGUAGCCGCCGCCCCCGAGAAAGCUAAUGUCUGACCUUAAAAAGCAAAAGCUAAGCUAAUGACUAAAUGCCCCUCCCGUAAAUCUGGCUUUUUUCCUCCUUUAUAGCGCUGCCAGGAGCCAAGAAAACGUUUGACCCAAUUAACGAAACCAAAGUUAAUCUUUUGGAGUUUUAAUCCCAUGCUUCUCACGGUUCACGUGGACCCAACCUUCUAAUUGCCCACUUUUGUUGCUGCCAAGCCCGCUGGUCCGGCCUUUAGGUGAGUCUCCUCAGUUUCUGGCGUGAGCAUGCUCUGAAAUGAAGGGUCUUCUGGAAAUUUGCCUCAAGAGAUUACUUUUAAUACCAACCACCUACAAUUCAUACAAAUAUCAAAUAUGAGUAAAAUCUUAAUACUUAGCACAGUAAGUAACCAAAAUUAGGACAAAAUAACAGUGCAAAAUGUGCCCAAUAACUGCUCUAUCAAGGAGGCAACAAAAUAAAUCAAAAUGUGGAAUCUCUUAUCUAUUUAAGUAGUUUUGUUAUGUCUUACUUGUACCUAAAACUAUUACGUUCUACAAUUAAAGCAUAUGGUUAUUGUUAUGAGCUUGUAACUUCGAUUCCUUAGCAUCAACUUGCGUUUAGUUUUAGCCGAGUAUCAAGCUAUGCAAAACAUACUUAGAUAAGUUUGGUAUACACACCGAAUUGCAUUCACAUAUUAUAAUUCCACCUAUAAACAGCAACUCUAAAUUAUAAUAUUUUUAAACAAUAGAUACAAACAUGAAAAUCGUUAAAAUUAAAGAGGUAAAUUAGUCAUUAGUUUUGCUUUUGUCGCUUAAGUUGUACAUCACUUAGUAUAGAAUUUUCCAUGUAGUAUAUUUCAAAGCACAUAAACAUAAUAAUGUUUGAUGAUAUAAGAAGAGCUUAGAUGAAAAUAUAUAAUAAUAUAAGAAAAGUCAUGUAAAUUGAAUAUAAUAAUAUUAGUUAAAGGUAUUUGCAUUUUACAUGGUAUGGGCUUCCUAAGGAAAUGUCAAGAAUAUUCUUAUUUGACAACUAAAAUGAUUGAAGUGACCAAAAUAAAUAAAUAUAAUAUGCAUCACAUUUUAACCCGUCAUGGUUUUGUGUUUUAUUACAUAAUCCCAAUUAUUUUAGUGCUAUACCACAUAACCCUCAUAUGAUUUUUAAAAUACAUAACCCCCUAUGGUUAAUUAAUAAUUUUAGAUUUUAUAGAUAUUUUAAUUGAUUUCAUUAUGAAAUACAAAUAUAGUCAUUUUGACACUUUAGUUCAAAUUAUGAGAGGAUUAUAUAAUUUUUUCAAACCACAAGAGAGUUAUAAAUUUACUAAUAUUUGGUUCCCAUGUGAGGGCCAUAUUUAUUGUCAGAUAGUCCAUUAGCGUAGGUCCAUAUGACAAUUUGGAAGUAUUGAUGACUUGAUGUCAAGAGGCUUGAACUAAAAGACUAUUUAAAAAAAAAAAUCAAUAAAACUACUUUCAUUUAGUCCAAACAAAAUACAAUAAAAAACGUACUAAAAAGUUUUCAAAUAAUUUAAACUUAAAGUUUGGUGCUACCUGGACUUUUCUAAAGUGCUAUAAAAACGCAGCAGGUUCACGACAGAAAACAGUUGACUAUUGAGAGGUUGUAUCCAGGAAUAUUUAUUAAGGAUUAAAAUUGAAUCCUACAAUUCUCAGACAGUUUAGUAAUUGCCCUUCACUUUCUUCGUCCUAUGAGUCUGGAGUGGAGUGGUGGUAGUGGUCGACAGUGGAGGGAGUAGAGUGGUGGUUGUGGAGAGGGAGGGAGGAGGGAAGAGGAAGAAGGGACAAUGUGUUUGGGGCCGGGGGAGGAAGAAAAGAAAAUUUUUUUUUUUAUAUUUCUUAAAUACCUAACUAUACAGAAGUUUUUUCACAAAUUUUAUAGUAAAUUACAACAAAAUUUUAUACAAAAAACCAAAAAACUCACCAUUUAAAUGGGGUACUGGUUUGACAAAAAAAAAAAAAAAAGGGGUAUUGGAUAAUCAGAUAACCCCCCUUCUUAUAUUAGCUAGGGUCACAAAGCUCAAGUUAUUUCCAUGAUUUCAAUGUGUUUCUCUUGGAUUCUAUCUCUCACAUAUAUUAAUUGCUGCGUUGGUUUUGUACUUGAUGUCCAUUUGGGGUAUAAGUUGGGCGAAUAAAAGUAUAAUUAGAAGGUGAAUAUAGGAACAGAUAUCUGUUACAAGGUUGCAGAAACCUUCAGAAGGACCCUGCAGAUGAUAAUCUUGCAAAAAAGGGUAGCCCCUAGAGGAUAUCUCUUAUAAUUUCAAGAUGUGAUGAUAAGGUUAGAGCAAUGGGCAUUAGCACACUGAUCGUUCGGACAUACGUUGGGAGCAUUGUUUAAGGUUUCCAUCAAUUGAGUAUGAUACGUGAAGACAAGACACUUCAAAUCACAAGAGCAACGGUUAAUUCCAAUUUUCACUCUUCAACUAUAUUUUUAUUUUCACUUUAAUUUCUAAAUUUUAAAGUGGAAUACUUUAUUUCUUAAAAAAAUAAAAUUUGUCUGCUUAAAUAAAAUGGUUGACGGAAAUAGGACAUAUUUUAUAUUUAAGUGAGAUACAUCUUAUGCUUUAAGAAUUAAAGUAGAACAAAUUUUAUUCAUAAAUAGAAUACUUUUUAUAUAUAUAUUUUUAGAACUAAACAGUGAAAAAUUUCACUUAAAUUCAAUAGAUUUUAUGUUUUAGAUAUAAAAGUGUCUCGUUUUCAAGUUUAGAUACCAAACUAGGGAUUCAACUAUAGUUAAACGGUGCAACAUAGAAUUAACUCCAAGAGGAAUUUUUUAGUUAUCUGGAAAGAGAAAUAUUUUAUAAAUCUGUCCCCUCCUCAUUAGUGGCUCAAAUUGAACACGGCAGGCUACUAGUGCCCAUAAUGCAUUUAACGUCAUCAUCGCUAAUACGGACGGAUUGUGGUGGCCGGGGUUGGCAUUUUGGGGGACAGUUGAUAGUGCCACUGGCGUGCUUCAAUUUGCCACCAUGACAGUGCCAUCUCAGCCGCCCCACUCUAAAAGAAAAGGAAAUGAAAAAAACUAAAAAUAAUAAUAGAUGUCUAAUGAAUAAUAACAAAUUGUAUUGCUGACGAGACCUUGGUCUAAUAAUUAAGUUGAGAUCCUCCUUCUUUUUUCCUAUUUGUUAAAUCUCAUUCAUUUUCUACUAAAAUAUUUUGAGGAAAGAGAAAAACAAAUUAUAUCUUUUGUGUAGUCGACUUGAACAAAAUACUAAAUAGCUUAGCUCGAUAUACUCGCAAAAAGAAGUGAAGAGACUUUUUGAAAUUAUAGAGAAAUUAUGUUGCAAAAAUAGACUUUUUUUUAAUAUUUUACUGUUGGAAAGAAAUUUACUUUCUUCUUUUUCUUUUCUUCUUUUUCCUCUGUUCUCGAGAAGGUAGUGUUAAAUUAAACUAGCAUGGCAUCAAAUAGGGCUGCAAAUGAAUCGAGCCGUUAAUCGAAAUCGAGCUCGAACUCGAGAUCAAAAUAUUAAACUCGUUAGCUCGCGAGCCGACUUACAAGUUCGAGUAUAUAUCUUUUUUUUUUAAUUUUUUAAUUUAAGUAUAUAUAUUUUUUAUUUUAAGUAUAUAUAUUUUUUAUUUUAAUAGUAAAAUUACAUAUAUAUCCUUAAUAUUUUAUUAUUUAUUAAAAAAUAUUAUUUUAUUUAUUUUUUAAAAAAUACAAUAUUUAUUUUUUAUUUUUUUCGAGCUCGAGCUCGAGCUUGAAAUUGUCAGCUCGUCGAGCUCGAGCUCGAGUUCAAUAAAAUUAAGUCAAGACUCGGCUCGAUUAGGUCAAAACUCAACUCGAUUCGACUCGUUUAAUUUGCAGCCCUAACAUCAAGUCAGUCUCAGCAAUCAAUAGCACUUAAAUGGUCCCAUGAUUAGGCGUGUCAAUUGAGAUUUUUGAGCUAGACUUUGGUAAGCCCAAGCUCAACUCACAAUAAAAAUAAUGUGUGUUUGGAUAUCAAUUUUUUUUAUCAAAAUAUUAUUUACUUGCAUCAUAAUUAUAAUUUUCAAUCAACUCUGUAUGUUCCUAAUAACUUUUUUAUCUUACAUACAUCAUAUCAUAAAAAGUGUUAUAAUAAUUAUUUCAAAUAAUCUCCUAUCCAAACACACUCAUCAUAAUUUUCUUAAAAUUUGCACUAAUGACAAAAGUUACAUCAUCAAUCAUACACCAAUAUCAAAGAACAUAUCUAAGAAGUACGGAGACUACAUAUUUGAAGAAUAAAUAAAAAUUAAAAUAAAAUAAUUGUAACUCCAAGAACAUUUGUGCAUGCUUACAAUCCAAAUGAAGAUGCUUUAAUCUAGUGUCAGUUUUGCUGAAAGGUAGGGAAAAUGAAAUAAAAUGUUCAAUUUGGAAUGAAACACACAUACAAUUAUCACUAUGUAGAUUCCAUAUUAACUUGGCCUAAUAAUAGAGUAGGUAAAAGUUCGCCCGUUAGGGGAUUGCUAUUAUUAUGGUAGAUCAACUUGCAUAAAAAAGAAAAAUUUUUAUAUAAAAACAUGGAUAUAGAUGCUGAGAAGGCCUUAGUUGAAUGGUUAAAAUUAAAACGCCAGAAAUUCGAGAUUUUGGAUUCAAAUUCCUUGUCCCCUCCUGCUUCUUAAGUCGCACAUCUCCCCUGAUGAUGAAAAAGUUUUUUUUUUUUUUUUUUUUUUUUUUUUUGUAAAUGGAUACAGAUAGAGGUCAGGUUCGGUCCAGAAGGUUGAUGUAUGUGUUGUAGAUUCAUCCAAAAGUUUGGCAUAUUUUGUUAUAGGAUCUAUUUUGCAAUCAUUCAACGUAAAAUAGUACACAAAAUUUGUACAUCAACCAUCAAUAAUACUCAUCGAGUACCUUUACGGUUGAGGAAAUAUUACACCGACAUAAUUGAUACUACAACUGGCAGAGAAGAGACUAAACAAGGAUUAACUUAUUUAUGGGUAGAUAAUCAGUCGCACUCCCAAGCCAAGCUGAUAUUGUCUACUUAAGAGGGGGAUUAUAAGUUCAAAUGGUUUUAUAUUUGAUAUUGUCUACCAGUUUAAAAAGGUUUAAGUCAUAACUAAGUAUUGUUGGACUGUCAUACUAAUAGCUUAGAACUAACUUGGAACCACCUGAAGGGAUAUAAAUUUCUAUCUGAGUUGUAAACUUGUAAUUUGUAAGUCUUGAAGGUCUUGAUCUUACACAUUUGAAUUUAAAAAAUUUGAAGUGGGUGCCACUACACCCUUCUAAUCUAAACGGGCCCCAUAUAUAACACAGUUGGGGGUAAUAUAUGUGCUCCCAAUUAUUAAAAAGCAAACAAAAACCUUACCAGCAUUUUGGUCCUAUGUGAGGGCCACAUCUAAUGUGAGAUUGUCCUUAAGCAUAGGUCCAUACUACAAUUUACAAGGAUUCAUGACUUGAUGUCAAGAGGGUUGAAUUAAGACUACUUUCUUGUAUGCUUAAAAAAAAGACUACUUUCUUGUACACCAAACAAAAUAUCGAAAAAACAUAUUUUCUAAAAAGUUUAUUGGGAUGAUUUGAACCCAAGGCUUGGCACUACCUGGACUUUUCUAAAGUGCUGUAAAUUUUUUUUGUUUGGGAUAUUCACAGCAAUGAUGGCUGGAUCACCUCAACCUACUUUAAUUUGCAGCCUGCCGACUUUUCUGCCCUGCCUUAAAAGAAAAGGAAAUUAAAAGUACUUAGAUAUUAAGAAAUGUCAAAUAAGAAACUUUACCUCUUGUGCAGUCAAAUUGGACAGAAAGCAGCUUCGCUCUAACCUAAACUAGAAGAAAGUAAAGUGGCUAUUUUGAAACUACACAGAUUGCAAAAUCUUAAGUAAUAGAUUACCAAAAGGAAAUUUACCAUCUAUUUCUUUUUCGUUCUGCUGAAAGUAGUUUAACCAGCAUGAUUUCAAGCCACAGUACUCAACACAACUUGAAUAGGCUCACGGCGAUGGAUCCCUUCGUGGACUUGACUCGAGUACGCAGCAGGUUCAGUGCAGUGAAGGGUUAAUCCAAGGAAUUAUAAGGAGAAAGUUUCAUUGAGUUCCUCACUCCACCACCAGUUUAGCAGUUACUCUUCACCUUCAGCGUCUCUGAGUCUGGCUCAUUUGUUUAUCAAUUUUGUUUGUUAUUCUGUCAGGCGCACAGAGUCUGCUGAAGUCAAGUCCAACGAGGAGUCCAUUAUCUUGAGCCUAGCUACUGGCUUCAAAUGAGCACAUUUUUUGAUGAAUUAUUUCAUUUUUAUCUGUCAAAAUAUAUAUAUAAUCUUUUAUGUAUGAAGUUGAAACUACUAAUUAAGUUCGUAUAUUUUCAAAAGUUAUCUUCUUAAACAUAUAAAACCAUUAUAUACAUGUAAUUAGGAAUACGAAAGUGAUACUUGAACUCCCAAAUUACUCUUUUGCAUUCGCUGAUGGCAUUUCAUUGAGUGAAUAGAUUAAUGUUAGAAAGGCUAACAUAGGAAUGCGAAUAUCACUCAUCACUACAAGAAAAUUACCAUUUAAUGACACUCAAAAAUGCCUCUUUUUGUAUGUUUUAGUGACAAUUUUUAAUCUAAUAGCAUUUCCCCCGAGUGUUGGCAAUAUCACUGCCACUAUAGUCUAGUGACACUUGAAAAGUGCCACAAAAGAGUUACUAUGAUAACAUUUUAACAUUUCAUUGUACUAGGGAUAUGUGUCAUGAGAAGAUGCCACUAUGUCAUUUUUUUUGGGUGUUUGCGAAUGCCAACAAUUUAAGUUUUGAUACAACUUUAAAUGCCACUAUUUAAAACUUUCCUGUCACUUUGAAAUGCCACUAAAAAAUUAAGAAAAUAAAAAAAUAAUUUGAAAUUAAAAAUCAAAGUACUCUUAUUGAUCCGGGUAAUUAAUUACAACUCAAGAAAAUGAAAGUUUCGCCAAUUAAACAAGUCACUAACUAAUAAAUCUAGUAAGAAAUUAUAUGACAACAAUAUAAACAAAUUCAUGCAUUUUACAAAUGAAACAUGUCUAAAGACAUUAAUCUUUUAAGCUGAUAACUUGGAAAAGAUCAUGUCUUCUUUGCUUCAUUAAUCUCUCAAAUGCUAUGUAAUCUGCAUUUAAACAAUACAAUGAAUAUAUUACCUCUUCUCAAGGAUUAGUUAGUAAAAAUAUUAACUCAACUCAAGAUAUUAGCAAUAGUGGUUGAAAAAUUAACAAUGAUCAAAGUGGGAAGUAAAAUGGGGCACCUUGAACUUGCCAUAGAGAUACUAAAGUGAUAGGUUGUCGAGCCUAUGCAAUAAUAAAUACCUGCUCAAACAAAAGUUAAUUUCUGCAGAUAGUAAUAAGUAGGGUCAAAUCCAUAGGGAUUGGGGAUAUUUGUCUCUUUUGGAGUUCAAACUAACAAUGGGGGGUUUUUAUAGUAAUGACAAUGAUUAAACAGUUCGAAUAAAAUCAAAUAGCUAACUAAAAAGUAAACGACAAGUCACUAAAAUUAGAUUAAUGAUAACUAAAGUUCUAGCCAAGAAAUAACUUCAGCAAUGGUUCACCUAAUUGAUCAUCAAUGCAAAGGCAAUUCCAAUUAUUUACUAAUAAAUAGGUUAUAACUGUCAAACAAGCGAUGACAGUCAACCCUUCCUUACUGUGUCGGUGAUUAAGGUAUACCCAUUAACCACUACUCUAAUUGAGAAAUAAUCAUAGGUACGCCCGUAAGAUUUAAUUCUCUAAUUGCCUUACGUAUUAGAGGAGUCCUGUUCUAACCAAAUAACGCACUACCAGGGUUAUUUUAUGUUAGCCCGCGUAUUCCCCUGACACAAACCCAAUCAUGCUAGUUGUCACUAUUUCAGGGCAAUUAAACAAUUACAGAUUUAACGCUCCAUUUGACAAUAGAUUACUAAAUUAACUAAUUAUCUGGAUCCAAGACAAUCAAUUAAUUGAAUAACCAUGAACACUGUAAUCAGAGAAUAUGCGAAUAUCAAUAAAUAAAAGAAAAAGAUAAAAUUAAAUCGAUCUCACAAUUUUUAGGCGAACCAAAGCCUCAGUUGUUCCUUGACUAGAAAAGGUAGUUUUGUUCAUCUUUAACGAAUAAAGCCCACAGGAGAUCGAAGCAACCGUAGCAGCCAUUGACUCCAAAAUUGAGAAAAUUCAAUUCGGUUCAGCAAUGAAGAAAAAGUCAAGAUUACAAAGAAUGCCCAAUUGCUUUUCUUUGCCUUCACAUCUGAUGGAAGCAAAAGCACAAUAAGAUGACAAGAGGAAAAGUCAAAAGAAAAGCUAAGCUAGAGGUCCUACCAUACGAAGAAAGAAAAACUACCCAAGAAAAGUCAAUGGAAAGCUAUUUAAUAUCUAGUUCCUACUGCUACUGUCCGGCGUCCGCGGCCAUGAAGAGACCGAAGAAAACUCUAGCCUUUUUAUCCUCUUUCCAUGUUGUCUUCCGCCAAAUUACCAAAGAGGGUCGUAUCCUCAUAUUUCAAAAAUGCCCUUGGACGCCUGCUACUUGAAUUCUUUUCCGAUGACUGUCAAAUUGGCCUUGGUUGUGGUAUUUUCAUUCUACUCCCUAAAAUAAAUGUAAAUUACGAAAAGUGAGUAGAGUCUAAUAACUGAUUCACAUCAAGUCAGGUAAUAGGGGAAAUUAACAAUAAAAUAAAUGAUAAAAUAGUAACCUAUCAAUUCCCCCCCACACCUAAACCCCUCUUGUCCUCAAGCAUAAGAACAAUAAACAAAUACCAAUAUUUGACAAUAGCUAUUGCUCCACCUACCAUAUUGCCAAGAUACCAAGAAAAAUAUAUCAAGCAUCAGCGAUCAAAAUCAAAGAAACAUCACUGUGAUUAGCUUCUAAACCACAAACUCCUUUAAUUGCAGGUUAACUAAUCUAAGAAGAAGGAAUGACGCACAACAUUUAUCAACAAAUGGUCUAACUAUUAACCAAAAUCUCAACAUUAAAUCCAUAAAUCGGUAGGCUGACUUUUAUUAUACACUAACACAACAUUCACUUCUUUUUUCAUGUUUUUCUAUUUUUCUGUUUUUUUAAUAGUAACACAAGACUUAGUCCCUGUCCAUUGGAGUUUUUUGACGCGAACUCCGACAUUUGUCAGAUGAAAGAGCUCGGUUACUCAGUUCCUAUCGCAUGUGACCACACACUCAUAGCAAUUACUACUUUUUGACGCGAGAAUUGACACUUUUGGUGAAAAUCCCCGAUUACUUGGUAGUAACUACUAGCGGAGUACAGUCAACUCUUAUUCACAGCUAAAUAACACAAAAAAUUCAAAAUAACACAAAAUCAAAAGAAAAUUUACAUCAGCUAGCUUCAUUUUCAAACAUGGAGAACGAAGGUUAAUAACCGGACCAAUUUACAUGAAAAUGCCAACAGUUAUUUUCUAUAUCUAGGAAAGUUAACCAAAAAUUAUAAAAGUCACACAGUCGUCGAUAUUCACCAUAGAGAUAUUCUUAGACUCAACCACAUCUACUUAAUACACUUCCAUUACUAAAACUUGGCAAUAGCAGAAAUAGAGACAACAAUCAAACAUCAAAUUUUGGCAUCACAUACGAGCUAAUCACUAAAAAGAAAGAAAGAUUGACAAAUAACAAACUAAAAUGAAAGCAAAAACAUCUAAAAAACUAAAUAGUAGAAAAACUAGCACAGCUGCCCCCUCACACCUAGACCCUACAUUGUCCUCAAUGGAGGAAUUAAAGCAAUUAAAGCGAAGAGGACAUCGAAACUUCCCUCUCGAGUGGCUACGAGGUAGGCGGGAACGGUAGAGGGAAACCGAUGUGGUGGAAGUACGCGCCCAAGUUCUUCACUGGUUGUCGAGGGAAAAAGUAGGAAUGGAUGCGAGAGAGAGGGUGGCGCGCGAAGUAGAUGCGACGACUGGUGGUAGAGGUUGCGCGAUUGGAGUGAGAGAGAUUGGAGUGGUGGCGCACGAUGGUAGAAAAUGAGGAAGAAAGAAGAAGAAGAAAGAAAAAAAAAAGAAAAGAAGGAAAAGAAGGAAAAAGAAAAAGAGAAAGAAUUUUUUUUUUAAUUUGCAUCUUGCAGAUCUAAGCUACAGUUAAACAAAUGAUUCUUUUUUUGUCUUUUUCGAAUUAAUUUAUUAUUUAUCUUUUUUAAAAAAUUUAUUUUAUUUUAUUAUUUUUUUAAAGAAAUUUUUUUUCCAAAUUCGAAAUUAGAGAUAAGAAGGAAAGCGAAAUAUUUCUUGAGAUUUGAAAACUUAUCUUUCUCGCGAAAAUAAUGCGGGCACAUUAUGAAGGCUAGAACCCUUUUGAUGAUGAGCUCUCCAUACGACUUGACGUAGGAGCGUCAUGAGGGUCCGAACCCUUCUGAUCAUGAGCUCUCCAUACGACUUGAUGCGAGCGCGUCAUGUCAGAGAGAUACCUACGGAUCAUCAAAAACGAGAAUUGAAGCCUGAAAUCAGUCAAACUCAAGGAAAACAUAUUUAAACUAAUAAACAAAAUCAAACAAAUAACUAAAAGAAAUUGGGUUGCCUCCCAAUGAGCGCCUUUUUUUAAUGUUUUUGGCUAGACAUUGAACAUUAUUCUUAAAUCUGGGUGUAACUCAAUUUUUCUUGUAAUCGAUGGCCCUCCUCCAGGAUCCAAAUAGCCUUUAAGUGCAUCCUUCUUUCUUAAUUUUCUACUCCUUUUCACCUCAUACAUUGCUUUCAUCCCCUUAUACUUGUUCUCAGUAAAUUUGAAUUUGCCUCUACAAGUAAACUCAGAAAAAUUCUUGCACAGAAAGAUUAAUAACAUGAAUAGCAAACCAGAGUAAGAGUUAACAAGAUGUUCCAUUGUAUCUAAAAUAUUAAAGUGGACUAGUUCUCCAUCAAAUUCCAUAGACAAUGUACCCUUAUUAACGUUAUUUUUGUCUGGGCUGUACUAAAAAAUGGUCUACCUAAUAGCAAAAGUAAAGGGUCGGGAGAAUGGUCAUCAUCCAUGUCAAGUACAUAAAAGUCAGCCGGAAAUACCAAUUCAUUAACUUUAACCAGCACAUCCUCAACCAACCCAUCAGGGUAUGCAUUUGUUCGGUCAGCUAAUUGGAUUAUUAUCUCAAUUUCUUUUAAUGGACCGAGGUUCAGAGAAACAUACAUAGAUUUAGGCAUUACGUUGAUCGAUGCUCCUAAGUCCAGCAGGGUAUUCCUAAUCAAAGUAUUACCUAUCUUAUAUGGGACAGUAAACCUACCUGGAUCCCCGUACUUCGGUGGAAGCUUCCUUUGGAGAACUGCUAAUACGUUCUCCCCCACGAUGACCCUUUCAUCUCCCCUCAACUGCUUUCGGUUGACACAUAGGUCCCUUAAAAACUUUGUAUACUUCGACACUUGAUUGAUGGUGUCUAACAGGGGAAUAUUGAUCUUUGUCUUGCGGAACACCUCCAGGAUCUCCUUUUCCUUAUCCUGCUUCCACAGUUUCUCUAACUUACUAGGAAAGGGAGGCGGGUUAGUUCUAACUGUAAUGACUGGAUUAGGAAGUACCUUUUGAUUUGGGCCAUUGCUGUCCUCCUUCUCAAGCUCAUUCUCGAUCCUUUCCUCAUCUUUGUCCUUGGGAAUCGUGAGUUCGGGCUCUUGAAUUUCCUUCCCGCUCCUUAAAGUCAUCGUACUUAUGUUCUUCAAGUUCAAUUUUAGGUUGAGACGCAAUUUUUCAUAAACUUGGGAUUCCAGGUGAUUGAUUGCCACUGCCAUCUGAUUCAUCUGAUUUUGCAUUACUUGUACCUAUUCCAAUUGAUUUCUUAUGUUCUGCAGUUCGGAGUCUGUCUUUUGCUGAUGUUGCACGGUGGUAGCCAUAAGUUGUUUCAUCAUUUUCUCCAAAGAUGGACUAGAACUUAGUGGCGGAGAUGGUCGGGGUUGGUACUGCUGCUGGUACCUUUGUUGUCUAUUUGACACAAAGUUAGGAUGCCUGUUCCCUCCAUAGCUGAGGUUAGGAUGGUGUCUUCAGCCGAGAUUAUACGUAUUCGAGUACGGUUCAUAGGGCAUUCUUGGCGCAGGCGCGUGAUCAGCCAUGUUCACUUUCUCUGCACUUUGUUCUUGAAUUAUCGGGCACAUAUCUGUAGAAUGACCCAUAGUAGUGCAAAUUCCACACACCUUGGCCUGAGAUGCGUUUCCUACAACCAGUUGCCUAACAAACGAGGUUAACUCCGUCAACUGCUGUCAGAUAGAAGAUGUCUCUACCUCAUUUACCUUGCGUAUCGGGACAUCCUCUCUCGUACCAAACUAUUGUGAAUUCUCGACCAUUCCCUCAAUUAGCUCCCAUGCUGCCCGAGGGGUCUUGUUCACCAGUGCCCCUCCACUCGCAGCAUCAAUGAUACUCCUGUAUCUGAAGAUUAGCCCCUCGUAAAAAUAUUGUAUGAGUAACUGCUCACUUAUUUGGUACUGAGAGCACUUGAUGCACAAUUUCUUGAAUCGCUCCCAGUAGUCGUAGAGUGACUCCCCUGGAUGCUGUUUGAUACCACAGAUCUCCUUUUUUAGACUUGCAACUUGGGACGCGGGAAAAUACUUGUCUACAAACUUUUUCUUCAACUAGUCCCACGUGGUGAUACUACCUGGUGGUAGGUAGUACAACCAGUCUUUUGCGAAGUCCUUCAAGGAGAAGGGGAAUGCCCUCAUUUUUAUUUGCUUUUCUGUGAUACCCGGGGGUUUCUACUAUUGCACACGAUAUCAAACUCUUGCAAAUGCUUAUAUGGCUCUUCACCUGACAAACCAUGAAAGGAUAGUAAAAGAUGAAUUAGACCAGAUUUGAAUUCAAAUGGAGUAUUAUCAUUUAAAUUUGGGAAAAUAAUACACAAAGGCUGUUGAUUUAAAUCAAGAGCAGCCAACUCCUUUAAUGUUCGUGCGUUUGUCAUAGUGAAUUCUUCUUGAUCCGAGUCACUUGAAGUGUCAUCAAACGAAUCUGUUGGUUCAACUUCUAACUCAGGUCUCUGAGAUGCAGCACUGGAGUACUUUUCCCUGAGUUGUCUGGUCUAUUUUUGUGUUCUCCGUGCGGUCUUCUCUAUCUCAGGGUCAAAAAUUAAUUCACUUGUACGAGAAUAACGAGGCAUACACUCAAAAGGUACUAGAAAAUUAGAACAAAAAUAAACUUAAAAAGAAACAAAUAACUAGCACCAGUCCUCAGUAACAGCGCCAAAAAUUGACAGGUUGUCGAGCCUGUACAAUAAUAAAUACCUGCUCAAACAAAAGUUAAUUUCUGCAGAUAGUGAUAAGUAAGGUCGAAUCCAUAUGGACUGGGGAUAUUUGUCUCUUUUGGAGUUCAAACUAACAAUGGGGGGUUUUUAUAGCAAUGACAAUGAUUAAACAGUUCGAAUAAAAUCAAAUAGCUAACUAAAAAGUAAACGACAAUUCACUAAAAUCAGAUUAAUGAUAACUAAAGUUCUAGCCAAUAAAUAACUUCAGCUAUGAUUCACCUAAUUGAUCAUCGAUGCAAAGGUAAUUCCAAUUAUUUACUAAUAAAUAAGUUAUAACUGCCAAACAAGCGAUGACAGUCAACCAUUCCUUACUGUGUCGGUGAUUAAGGUACGCCCGUUAAUCACUACUGUAAUUGAGAAAUAAUCAUAGGUACGCCCGUAAGACAUAAUUCUCUAAUUGCUUUACGUAUUAGAGGAGCCCUGUUCUAACCAAAUAACGCACUACCAGAGUUAUUUUAUGUUAGCCCGCGUAUUCCCCUGACACAAAUCCAAUCAUGCUAGUUGUCACUAUUUCAGGGCAAUUAAACAAUUACAGAUUUAAUGCCCCAUUUGACAAUAGAUUACUAAAUUAACUAAUUAUCUGGAUCCAAGACAAUCAAUUAAUUGAAUAACCAUGAACACUAUAAUCAGAGAAUAUGCGAAUAUCAAUAAAUAAAAGAAAAAGAUAAAAUUAAAUCGAUCUCACAAUUUUUAGGCGAAUCAAAGCCUCAGUUGUUCCUUGACUAGAAAAGGGAGUUUUGUUCAUCUUUAACGAAUAAAGCCCACAGGAGAUCGAAGCAACCGUAGCAGCCAUUGACUCCGAAAUUGAGAAAAUUCAAUUCGGUUCGGCAAUGAAAGAAAAGUCAAGAUUAGAAAAAAUGCCCAAUUGCUUUUCUUUGCUUUCACAUCCGAUGGAAGCAAAAGCACAAUAAGACGAAAAGAGGAAAAAUCAAAAGAAAAGCUAAGCUAGAGGUCCUACCAUACGAAGAAAGAAAAACUAUCCAAGAAAAGUCAAAGGAAAGCUAUCUAAUAUCUAGUUCCUACUGCUACUGUGCGGCGUCCGCGGCUAUGAAGAGACCGAAGAAGACUCCAGCCUUUUUAUCCUCUUUCCAUGUCGUCUUCCGCCAAAUUACCAAAGAGGUCGUGUUCUCAGAUUCCAAAAAUGCCCCUGGAUGCCUGUUACUUGAAUUCUUUUCCGAUGAUUGUCAAAUUGGCCUUGGUUGUGGUAUUUUCAUUCUACUCCCUGAAAUAAAUGUAAAUUAUGAAAAGUGAGUAGAGUCUAAUAAUUGAUCCACAUCAGGUUAGGUAAUAGGGAAAUUAAUAAUAAAAUCGUAACCUAUCAUAAAGGCAUUCCAACAAAGAAACCUCAACACUCGCCAAUAUUUCUAAAAUAAAAAAAGGAAAUAGUACCAUCAAUUUAUAUUUAAUCCUAAAACUUGAGAAAAAGAGUAAAUCAUCUAGUAUUUGAACCAUAUAGUACCUAAUGCUUGACCAUCUUUGAACCUACAACCACACCUUUUGGUCUGCGUAGAAAUUAUACAUCACAAAACUAGCAUCACAUACAAGGUGAAUGGGAUGUUGGCACAUUUCACCACAUAAUAAUUAACUGAUAACAACAUGCACUGCACUUUUUAUUAUUUUUUGGGGGCAUUGCACCAACAUAGGAUGACUUAAUGUAAAUGAAUUCUAAUUGAUACUUAGUUGUCUAAUCAUACCUAUCAUUACAAUUUAACACACAUUUUUGUUAGAAUAUGGCAAAUAAAGACACUUCAUACUAUAUGAAUUUCACUAAAAGUCCUACAAUUAUGUUUUUGAAAUGCUAAGUAAUAUGCUUUUUUUUCCUGGCCUACUGAUUGUGCUUUACAUUUCCAAGGUUUAUGCAAAGAGCAUCAUACUAUCUCUCUUAGUCAAGUAAUACAAUUCUUUCCCUUUCUUGAGACAAAUUUCCAAAAGCAUCUCUAAACCUAGCUUGGCAAAAAAAAAAAAAAGAAGAGAUCAUGUUAUUAACACUAUGAAAGUACAAUGAUACAAUGAUUGUGAAAGAAAGAAGAUUUUAACACUAGAGUAAUCAAUACAACUACUCAAAGGAAAGAAAAAAAUUGAAAUAACUGAUAUUUCUUGUCUUAGAAUUGUACCCAUAAUCACGAAAUAUAAAAUGAUAAAAUAGACAAAAACCUAUAAACUAUUGUUUUGUUCUAUGGAAUUUAGAGAGGACAAAAAGUACCUUUAAUGAUUUCUUGUGAUGGUAGAUAACAAUGGAAUUGAGAUGCUAGAUGAUAGGGUUUGUGGAUAAAGAGACUUGUAGAGAAUGCAAGAUUGAAAAAAUUUUAGUGAGUUUCAAUGUUUGAGGGAUUUACUUUGAUACUUAUCAGUUAAGAGAAGGAGUAAAUCAAGAAAGGAAACCUCAUCAAUUAGGCAAGAAAAUCUCAUCCACUUAGCAAACUGUGUUUUUAUUUUCAUUUUUUAAGAAAAUGCCAGUAAAACUUUUGAUCUAAUGACAUUCAAGUGCUAUUGAUUGUUAAAAUUGACUUCAUGCCUUAAUGGUUUAAUUUAACACUACUUUCUCGAGAACAGAGACAAAAAUAAAAAAAAGAGAAUAAAUUUCUUUUCAAAAGUAAAAUAUUAAAAAAAAUCUAUUUUUUUCACAUAAUUUCUUUAUAGUUUUCAAAGUCUCUUCACUUCCUUUUGCGAUUAUAUCGAGUUGAACUAUUUAGUUUUUUGUUCAACUUGACUACACAAAAAAUGUAAUCUAUCCUUUUUUUAAAAUAUUUUAGAAGGGGAAUGGUGAAAUUUAAGAAAUGAAGGAGAAAAAAGAUUUCAGCUUUAACUAUGACAUCAAUAUCUCAGCAAUACAAUUUGUUAUUACUUGCAAGACAUUUAUUAUUACUUUUAGUUAUUUUCAUUUUCUUUUCUUUUAGAGUAGGGCGGAUGAGCUAGCACCGUCAUGGUGGCAAAUUGAAGCACGGCAGUGGCACUAUCAACUAUCCCACCAAAUGCUGACCCCGGCCACCACCAUCCGACGUGAUUACCAAUUCAAAAGGAAAGAAAAAAUUAUAUCACUUCAUAAGCAGCCCGUAUUAGCAUGAUGUUAAAUGCAUUACGGGCACUAGUACCCCACCAUGUUCAAUUUAAGCCACAAAUAAAGAGGGGACCGAUUGAUAAUCUUUCUUGAUAACUGAAAAUUCCUCUUGGAGUUAAUUCCAUGCUGCAUCAUGUAAUUAUACUUAAAUUCCUUUUUUGGCAUCUAAACGAAAUGGAAAUCGGGUUUUCCAUUUUUGAAAUAUACGAAUUUGGUCCGAAUUCGAUAAUGAAUUUUCUGAAUUUGAAAUCAAAAACUGUAAGAGAUAUCCCAUAGGGGUUACUUUGCAAGAUUAUCAUCUGCAGGGUCCUUACUGACGGUUUCUGCAACCUUGUAACAGAUAUUUGUUCCUAUAUUCACCUUCUAAUUAUACUUUUGUUAUCCCAACUUCAACUCGAAAUGCACAUCAAGUUCAUAACCAAUGGAGCAAUCAAUAUAUGACAUGAGAGCUAUAGAAUCCAAGAGAAACGCAUUGGAAAUCAUGGGAACAACUUCAUGGUUUGUGAACUUGCUACGAGUACGGUUAUCGGAAUAAUUAAUUUCUUUGUUCGCCAUUAAAGAUGACAUUUCAUCAUAUGCUUAGUGUGGUACCCAGAAUCAUCCUCCUCAAGAUGAUCUCUCCCGGACACUUUCGAAUCUGAGUAGUCAUCUUGUAGUUUAGAUGUCCAGUGAGCCGAGGACAUUCAUAACAAGAAGUGAUUGAUGCGACACAUUACAAGCUUUUGCAGGUCUAACCUCUUGCACUAGUAGAUCUAGAGUCGACCUAUAGCUGCACCCUGCCCUAUCAAUGCGGCCUGAAACCCAAGGACACCUCUCACGUUUCACUAUAAUUACCCCUCUUUUCUUAGACCCCAGAGGUAACUGUUUCUUAAUUCUCACAUGUAACUUAUGUCUGAGCUGUUAACUCCUGCUAAGUUAAGCAUCGGAGCCAAAUUGGGGGAAUACUCCAUCUCUGCUUUUGAUAUCAUACAGGAAAUCCGAACUAGAGUUCAUCGAUCUCCAGUCUUCUUGGGAGUUUCGACCGUGACUCUACAAUUGGCACUGUUCGUAGGAAGUGAAGUAAAUACAGUUGCUCUACUUUCUCAUGACUAAGACUUGCUCUAAUCGUGGAAACAAGAACCCCCGAACUUUUGGGAGCCGUAUAGCCAAUCCAAGGGAUUAGGACAUACUAGAGAAUUCACAGCCUCAUGGAGAGGUCAUAGCUCGAGUGGCCAAGUUUGUGGCCUCCAGUUCAGGGUUUUUUGAAGAGAUUGUUAGGCAUAUGAAAGGUAAGGAUAGAGGCGAAUCUGUUCAGAGAUAACCCGAAGAGUCUUCUUUGUCUUCUUUCGAGGGUGACUCGGAUGACCAUCACAUACUCCAAGAGGAAGAAGGAAAAGAACCUUUCUAAAUUGCAAGGCAAAGUGCAUUCUAAAGUUUCCUCAGUUUUCGAGAGCACUGCUCAAGAACCCAUUCAAGAGGGAUGACACAAGUGAACGGUCUAGAUACGGAUCGACCCUUUACGGAGAUAACAUGCCCCCUUCACCCCUAACAUUAACGAAGAAGUUUUUCCAACGAACUUUGAAGAGGUGAUUUUAGUCCCGCUGGGUGAACCUUCCGAACUGAAGAAGUGUUUUGUCUUCGGCAAGGCACUGGGACGAGGUCACCUGCUUAGGUUACAGGAGGGGCUGAAUCCCCCGGUGUAACUUCGAAACUUAAGUUAGUUCGGUAGUGAAAAAGUAAUAUAGUGGAGAAGAUCAGUAUAGUUUUACCAGAAAUUAGUCAUCCUCCUUCUCAGUAGAGGUGUUGAGUAUUUAUAGAAGACUGAUUUGAAGAGGAACUGUUGGCACGAGUUCCGAGAGAUCUGAUACGGAUAUCAUAUCAAUUUGAUAUGAUAUCCCUGCGAAAAGGUGCGUCGGAACAGGUAUUAGAGUCAGGCGGCGCAUGUGUCAGAACAGCUCUCCGUCAAGUGUCAGAUGUGUCAGGGGUCACAUCAUCUUUCCACAGUUGUCAAGUCGUUUGGGCAUCACCUCGGCUCACGCUUCGAAGAUCUCCGCCGAGGUGAUAAACGGGUCAGGACUACCUCACUAAAUGACGCGCCGAGGUGGCACUUCCAGUAGUCUUGCAGGGUGAGGCCCCACCCUAUCCGGGCUGAAACGACCAUCCUCACUAAGCCCCCCAAGCUUCGAGAAGGGCGAGAUCGUGGUUUCCCGAGGUCGUUGCUUCCCGAAGUUGACAAGCGUGUAAGGCACGGGAUCCAGCAAUCAUGGCCAUGUGGAUGGGACUGCUGAGGAACUGACAUGAUGGCUGUCAAUCGUGACGGCAGGUUCAUGAACAGGCUCGAGAUCAGCAGGACGAACAGCCUUUUCAUUAAUGAGGAGAGAGAGAAUGCGCCCUCGAGAAUCUCAAAGAUACCGCCUCUUCAUUUUCCCCCUGGGUGCCUAUAAAUAGAAGCCCCUUUUCACCGUUUCACUCUUUACCAAAAAUCUAAAAUCACCUUAGAGCUCUGUUCCUGUGUCCUUUCACUUCGGCAAUUCCUCGAGGCAGAAAGACCCGACCCCUCCGAGGAGAGAACUGCGUCCGAUGUCGGGGAAGGAGUGCCGAGGCGUCUCACCGAGCCGGAACAUCUGGAGGGCAUCACGAGGAGAUCGAGGUCGAAGCCGAGGUCCUGUACAAUGAUGAUCUCGGGAACGAGGUCCCUAGGGACGAGGGCGUGCAAGAGCCUUCCACUCCUCCGAACUUGACAACACUUAAUUACGGCCAGAUGCCAGCCUUCAGUAGUAUUAUGGGACAAGCCUCCGUAGCCGAGGUGGUCCGCAAGUAUCAUUGGAGAAGGGAUUACAGCAUCUAUUUGCCCCAACCACACCAGUCAGCCGCAUUGCCACCGAAGGGUAGGGUGGCCAUCUACGUGGACCAACUGGAGGCCGGGCUCAGAGUGCCAACAACAAAGUUUCUUCGGGAAUGCUUGAGGUAUUGGGGGGUGAGGAUCACUCAACUCACCCCGAAUACCAUUCGUGUCCUCGUCGGCUUUCAACUGCUUUGCCGACAUCAGGAAAUAGAGCCCACUGUCAACCUCUUCUGCCGUUCUUACUCGCUUAAGAACAGCGGGAGCGAGAAGAGUUGGUUUUACUUCGGGAAUAAAGUUCCGAAGUUAGUGGUAGACGCCUCGAGCUCGAUAAAGGAAUGGAAAAGAAACUUUUUCUUCGUCCCGGCAGAAGACUUCCCACGGGGAUUCUGGUGGAGGCCUCCCACCUCAGUCAAAGAGACGUCCCCGGGCAUGUUAGAGGAGCGCAACUUCCAGAAGUUAACGGGGUCGGACCUCAGGAUUAAUUGCUGGGACUUUCCCGAAGUGGUGGUCGUAGAAGGCGGGAUCAGCCGAGUCUUGAUCAGCUCGGACCACCCCGUCUUCUUCUCUACUAGGUUUCAAAAACCUUGUACUUUUCCAUUUCCCUUUUUUGUUUAUUCUUCAUGAAUUCUAACUAACUCUUUUUCACACUAUGCAGUGGUGAAGGUUUCCGACCUGAUAACCUCGGAAAACAUCGAGGUGGUGAAGAGACCACCCAAGAAGCGUAAGGAUGCUGCUGAACCCUCCACCAGGCCUGCCAAGAACACCACUGCAGCUACGGGCGACCGCGAGCCUGCCGUGGUGAUAGUGGGCGAAGGCUCCCAUACCUCGACCACUCUCGGAGGUUCCCGAGCCUCGGCUAUUCCUGUCCCUAUUCGAGGGGUCACGAUAGCCACUCCACCUUGGGGUCAGGGCGUGACUGCGUUCCCGGAUAACCCCGUCACGAGGUCUUCGCUAUUCAACCUCUACCAUGUGCCUUCCAAAGCGGCCGGGGAGGACAAAAGGCACUCCGGAGCACAUUGGUGUCCCGAGUGGGAGGUGAACGUCAAUGACCGCUGCAAGAACCCCCUGGUCGUACAUGAGCUUCUGGUGCAUUCGGUGUUGCCGCGAGAUAACACUUAUGCCAGAAAGCUCACUCCAGGUGAGCUGAUGCAAAGUGCCUCGGUCUCAUGGGCCUCCACCACGGCCUUCUUUGUUGAGAUGAUCCAACGUUACGGACAUUUCAUGAAAAACUACGAGCCACCUGCCGAGUUCCAGAAGAAGAUUGCCGACCUGGAAGAGAAGCUGAGGGCAACCGAGCUGGAGCGCGACAAAGCCGAGGCAGCGAAGAAGAAGGCCGAAGUCGCGAACAAUUCCCUGAUAACUGCCCUUGAUGAGGAGAGAGAGAAGGGUCCAAAAAGAACAGUCGACCAAGGAGGCAAUAGACAAGGUCGGGGUCACUGCCGUGGAGGCCUUCCGGAAGUCGGAGUUUUUCACCCACGACCUCGGCGAGCUCACACGCCCAAACUUUAUGUUCGACUACACGUCGGCUGUUAACGAUGCUAUGCCCUUUCUCUCUUCUGAGCAGCUGGAGUCCCUUCAAAGCGCUCCUCACUACAACGAAGAUGCCAAGGAGCUGUGCGACCGUAUGGCCGAGGGCGUCCAAGCUGAAAAAGAUCUAGCCGAAGUUCAUGUUGAGUUCAACAAAUGACUUCAGGAGUUUGAGCUAGACGGUGAUGGCCUUGAAGGGAAUCAGUCCGGCGGAGGAGCUGAGGGACAGCAGGACGCCGAGGCGGCGAAGAAGAGACUAUGGGGGAGUAAGGCUCCGGGGCAGGGAAUGCUUAGAAGCAUCCCUUUUUUCCAUGACCUCGGUCUUCUACUUUUUGUACUUGUGCUUCAAUUCAAUUGACUUCAUAUUUUUGCAAUCUUUUUAAUUGAGUUCGGUUUUCUUUUCUUUACUGCUGUUGUCCCCUUAUUUUUCACUUGUAAUGAAAUGGGAAGAAGUGAGAAAUAACUCAAAACUUAAAAUUAAAAGUACGUACCCUUCAAGGGUAAUACAGUUUAAGAUUUUCAGCAUGCCGAGUUCGGAGCACCCGAAAUCCAUCUCGAUAUGCCAAUUUACAGUAUCCAUUUUGGCUGGACUCAACGACACGGUAUGGUCCCUCCCACUUGGGGUUCAGUUUACCCUGGGGUUUAGCUCGGCUGACCGAGUUCUUCCGGAGCACAAGGUCUCCCGGAUUGAACCGCAAGUGUCUGAUCCGAGCAUUGUAGUAGCCAGUUAGGAUAUUUUUUUAAAGAGCGACUUUGGCUGCAGCCAUAUCACGCUUCUCUUCGGCGAGGUCGAGGUCAACUCGCCGUUCAUCUUCAUUAACUUCAGCGGCGUACGCUGCCAUUCGUGGGUUCGGAGUGAUGAACUCGGCUGGGACGACAGUUUCGGACCCAUAAAUUAAAGAAAAUGGAGUUUCUUGGGUUGCUGACCUCGGCGUGGGUCGAUAGGACUACAACACGCUGGAAAUUUCUUCCAUCCAGGACGACCCAACCCGGUGGAGCCUGGUCUUGAGGCCAUAAAGGAGAGUGCGGUUGAAGUUUUCGGCCUGUCCAUUGGCUUGGGGGUGUCCAACCGAGGUGAAAUGCUGUUUGAUUCCCAAGUUUUCGCACCACGCUUUGAAAGGAUUAUCUGCGAACUGCCGGCCAUUAUCCGAGAUGACCACCCGGGGUAGGCCGAAGCGAUAAACCACGCUCUUUCAGAAGAAUUUUUGAACGGCUGCUCCGGUGAUACUUCUCAGAGGCUUUGACUCGACCCAUUUGGUGAAGUAAUCUACUGCCACCACUACGUAGGCGUAGUUGCCUGGAGUUCUAAGAAAUGGGCCGAUUUUGUCAGUCCCCCAUUGCUCGAAGGGCCAUGGCGAGGUGAUGGGAAUCAUGAAAUUAGUCGGCUGGUGGUGCUCAGGGGCGUGGUACUGGCAAGACGGACAACUAAGGACCAUGACCUGGGUAUCCACCCUCAUGGUGGGCCAGAAAUACCCAAGCAACAAAACUUUUUUGACGAGCAUCCUGUAGCCGACGUGAGCACCACAAAAUCCCUCGUGUAUGUCUUGCAGGAUUCUGUUACCUUCUUCCUGUGUAAUGCACCGCAGCCAAGGACCGAGGUACGACCUCUUGUAUAAGAGAUUUUGCCCAAAAGCGUACCGAGCUGCUUUGCGCUGCAGCUUUCUCAACUCAGCUCGGUCCUCGGGGAGCUCCCCCUGGCUGAGAAAUCGGAUCAAAGGCUCCAUCCAGAUGUCCCCAAGAUAGAUAGGGUACACGACCUCUCCUUUGUACCUCGGCUCGGCCAAUACUUCUAUGAGAACCGUCUUGUUCAGGUCAGAAAAAGAGGUAGAAGCGAGCCGGAGAGGGCAUCAGCCCUCCUGUUUUGUGACCGCGGUAUUUUUUGGAUUUCAAAAGACUCGAAAUGUGCCACCAAUUGGAGGACCUUGGAGAGGUAGCGGUUCAUCACCUCUUCCCUGGCCUCAUAUUCGCCCAGUAUCUGGCACACAACGAGUUAGGAGUCGCUAUAGACCAAAAUGUGCGCGGCCCCGAGUUUACGAGCUAGUUGUAGGCCGGCAAUGACUGCUUCGUAUUCGGCCUCAUUGUCAGAAGCGGCGAAGUCAAACCUUAAGGCGUAUGAACACACCUCUCCCUGGGGGUCUUCGAGGAGUAAGCCCGCCCUACUACCCUCACUAUUAGACGAGCCAUCCACAUGCAAAAUCCAACGUUGGAGCUCGGCGGCAGCCGAGGUGGUCUCCUUCACCUCAUCAAAAGUGAGUUCGGCGAGAAAAUCCGCAAGGGCCUGUGCCUUGAUUGCGGUACGAGACUCGUAAGACAAGUCGUACUCCCCCAGCUCGAUGGCCCAUUUAGUGAGACGUCCGGAAGCCUCUGGCCGUGAUAAAACUUGCCUGAGGGGUUGGUCAGUUCUCAAGCAGAUGUGGUGAGCUAAGAAGUAGGGCUUAAGCCUGGGGGCUGUAUGGAUUAAGGCCAGCACGAGUUUCUCCGCUUGACUGUAUCUGGUCUCCGGACCUCGGAGGAUUCGGUUGACGUAGUAAACUGGCAUUUGAACACCUUCCUUCCUUAUCAACACGUCGCUCACAGCUUCGACCGCGGCAGACAGGUACAAAAACAACUUGUCCCCUGGCUGAGGCGAGGUGAGUAUUGGGAGGUGGUGUAGGUACUCCUUUAACUGAUCAAAGGCCUGUUAACAUUCUUCAGUCCAGAAGAAGCUAUCUGCCUUCUUCAGAGUCUUGAAAAAGGGCAACGCCUUGGAAGCUGACUGCGAUAGGAACCUGUUCAGGGCUGCCAACCGGCCUGUCAGCCUCUGGACGUCACGGACGCACCGAGGUGAAGACAUUUCUUGGAUCGCUUUCACCUUAUCCGGAUUUGCUUCGAUGCCUCGCCUCGAGAUGAGGUAACCCAAAAACUUUCUCGAAAUUUCCCCAAAAACACAUUUCUUGGGGUUUAACAUCAUUCCCGUCUUCCGUAGGACCUCAAGGACCUCUUUCAGGUCAGAAAGGAAGAUGGAGGUCGUCCGGCUCUUGAGGAGGAUGUCAUCCACAUAGGCUUUAACAUUGCGGCCGAUCUGGGAUUUGAAAGCCUGGUUGACCAGGCGUUGAUAUGUGGCCCCGGCAUUUUUUAGUCCGAACGGCAUGGUGGUGUAGCAAUAUGUGCCUUGGUCAGUGUAGAAGGCCGUCUUCUCUUGGUUCUCCUGACUCAUUCCAAUCUGAUGGUACCGCUUGAAAGCGUCAAGAAGGCAAAGGAACUCGUAACCCAUUGCUGAGUCCACCAGGGUGUCGACUUUGGGCAACGGGUAGCAGUCUUUGGGGCAGGAUUUGUUUAGGUCGGUGAAGUCGACGCACAUUCUCCAAGCCCCGGUGUCCUUCUUGACCAUGACUGGGUUGGAUAGCCAGGUCGGAUAUUGGACCUCCCGGAUUAUCUUUGCCUGUAGGAGCUUGUCCACUUCUUCACCGACAGCUCGGCUGCGCUCAGGGUCGAGGUGCCUUCUUUUCUGUUUGACCAAACGAAUUUGGGUAUCGACGUUCAACUCAUGUACUAUAAGGUGAUGCGGGACCUCUUGGACCUCAUCUGCGACCUAGGCGAAGACGUCCUGGUACUUUCUGAGGAUGUCCACCAUACCUUUUUUGAUCGGGUCAGGCAAUCGGGUGCCGACGCGGAUCGUUCGCUCCGGCUUCAUAAGGUCUAGGAAAACCUCUUCCACCUCAUCUCCAGCCCCCAACCUCGGAGCCUUCUCAGCCUGCUGAGGGUCGAGGCAGUCUAUUGAGAGAAUGUUGGAUCUCUUCUCGGACCUCACAUCGGAGGUCGAUGUGGAGGCUGCUUGUAAGGUGGCGAGAUAACACUUCCGGGCAGUGCAGACGUCGCUGUUGACCUCGGCAAUUCCCGCGGGGGUAGGAAACUUGAAACUCAGAUGGUAUGUGGAAUAUACCGCUCGCAGAGCAUUAAGUGUGGGUCGGCCCAGGAACAAGUUGUACGGGGAGUCAGCCUUAACCACCACAAAAUUGAUUGGGAUGGUUCGACGGCGGGGGUGACGCCCCACAGUUACUGUCAGAGUCACCAUCCCUUCAGGAUGCACGAUGUGUCCCCCGAAUCCCACCAGGGGGUUCUUACCGGGGUCAUGUGUUCUUUGGCCAACUUAAAGCUUUCAAAAGUGCGGAGAUACAUAACGUCCACCGAACUCCCUGGGUCGAUGUAGACCUUCUUCACAAUAUAGUUAUUGGUGAGUAUUUCAAUCACCAAGGCUUCAUGGCUACUUGAUGCAGCCGGAACUAGAUCGGUGGGGCCAUAAGAAAUGACUUUAGAUAGGCGAGAACUUGACUCGGCUUGAUCCGGGUUAGCUUGCCUAUAGGUCCUUUUCCGGGAGUUCUGACUAUCCCCUCCCGUCGGACCUCCGGCAAUAGUGUUGAUGACUCCAGCAAUGUUUGACCCAUAUCCUAACCUCUGGCCUGAGGAUCCGUCUCGGGGAGGCCUUUUUGUCUUCCUAGGUUCCUCAGGGGGUCGGCAGCUGCUUCUCGACGUCCGCCUUUCGUUUCGGCUUUGGUCACCUCGUCCAUCACGCCGGUUAUCAUUACGCUGAUGACUUCCACCUCGGCGGACAAACUGCUUCAAGUGUCCCUGUCUGAUGAGGUUCUCGAUCUCCCUCUUGAGGUCGUUGCAAUUCUCGGUCUCAUGCCCGAUAUCUCGGUGAUACAGGCAGUAGAGGUUCGAGUUCCUCUUGUUUCUGCUACCAAACAUCCUGGGAGGUGCCUUCUCGAGAUUGUUCUGUUCCAUUACGAAUAACACCCAAGAUCGGGUGGUGUUCAGAGGAGUUAACUCAGACUCGGGGAUGGGUGACUUCCCCUUAGAAAUCCUGUCAAACACACUGCGGCGAUCUCGGUUAGGGCUUUGGAAGCCACUCCCUGUCCCCGCUUCACUUCGGCCCGCGUCUUUUCCCCUUCGGAGGUCAGCCCUCGGGCGAGCGGCUUGGACCUCUUUCUUCAUGCGGUUGAGGUCUUCUGCUUGUAUGUCCUUCUCGACCUUCAACCAUAGUUCGUGGAGCGUGCGGGGAUACUUCUUGUGGAUCCCCGUAUUGAAUACCCCGGCAACGAGCCCAUGGAUAAAAGCAGCAAUGGUAACCUGCUCAUUGGGGUCAGGUAUCUGUACGCUUUCCUCAUGGAACCUCUGGACGUACGAUCGAAGUGACUCUCCUGGGUUCUGUUGCAUAUUCAGCAAGUAAGCCGAGAUCCUGGUCGUAGGUCGGAGGAGACAAACCGAUGGAGAAAUCUCUCCACUAAUUCCCCCAGGGUUGAGAUGCUCCUAGGUUCUAAACCCCAGAACCAUUUUCGAGCUAUCCCCUGGAGGAACACUGGAAAAGCUCGGCAUAUGACGGGGUCAGGGAUGCAAUAUAGGCGAAAGGCCGAGAUAAAGGCAUGGAUAUGAUUCUCGGAUCACCUCGACUGUCAUAAGAUUGUAUCGAGGGGAGUUUGAAAUUUGGAGGAAGCCUUUCCUCGUUGAUAUCAUCAGUAAAAGGAGGGGCUCUCAUGUAGUCCAUCCCGGGCCUUCCUAGGGGUCGAGGUUCCUCCUUAGGUCGUCGUCCCAAGAGCCCUCGGGAAAAUGCCUUGGAUAAGGAGGCUACCUUAGAGGUGGCCUUGGAAAAUGCCCGUUUUGAAGCGCUUCGGCUGAGGCGCCUUCCAUCAGACUCCUCUUCAGAUGAACCUUCAGGAGAUCUAUCUGACUUCCUUUUAGAAGACUCCGCCUUCUGCUUGCCUUGCCUUUUUAGGUACCUCCCUAACUCCUCGAAGAUGUUGGGGUUCUCGGUUACAAACUCAACCAUACGGGUUAUGGCUUGUUCAUUUGCGGGCUGAGUCCUUGAAGACUCCUGCCCUUCGGAAAUAUCUUCCUGUUGAGCUACAUUGCUUUGCUCAGCCCCAAUAGUGAGAGCUUUCCUGCUCCUAGAACGUGUAGGCUUCAUAUUCUAAUAUCUUCACGUUCCCACAGACGGCACCAAUUGAAGAGGUGAUUUUAGUCCCGCUGGGUGAACCUUCCGAACUGAAGAAAUGUUUUGUCUUCGGCAAGGCACUGGGACGAGGUCACCUGCUUAGGUUACAGGAGGGGCUGAAUCCCCCGAUGUAACUCCGAAACUUAAGUUAGUUCGGUAGUGAAAAAGUAAUAUAGUGGAGAAGAUCAGUAUAGUUUUACCAGAAAUUAGUCAUCCCCCUUCUCAGUAGAGGUGUUGAGUAUUUAUAGAGAAUUGAUUUGAAGAGGAACUGCUGGCACGGGUUCCGAGAGAUCUGAUAUGGAUAUUAUAUCAAAUUUGAUAUGAUAUCCCUGCGAAAAGGUGCGUCGGAACAGGUAUCAGAGUCAGGCGGCACAUGUGUCAGAACAGCUCUCCGUCAAGUGUCAGAUGUGUCAGGGGUCACAUCAUCUUUCCACAGUGGUCAAGUCGUUUGGGCAUCACCUCGGCUCACGCUCCGAAGAUCUCCGCCGAGGUGAUAAACGGGUCAGGACCACCUCACUAAAUGACGCGCCGAGGUGGCACUUCCAGUAGUCUUGCAGGGUGAGGCCCCAGCUUAUCCGGGCUGAAACGACCAUCCUCAAACUUCAAAUUCCCAAAUGUUCCAUUCUAUGAUGGAAAAGGUGAUCAUGAAGACCAAGUCCAUGCCUUCUUAUCGGCAUUCAGACUGUAUGGGAUCCCCAACGCAGCGAUGUGUCGGGCUCUUCAUCAUUUCGUUAAGACUUAGUAGUUGAGAAAUUUAAUGGCUAGUCUUCUCAUGCAUGGUAUGCACCGAUCUUUAGAAUCGGCAUAGUAUGCAAGGGCAAACGCCACCCCCAAGUUUUUGAGAAUUUUCUUUUAGCUCCUAGGAAAUUUUAUAAAUUUUCAUUAAAAAUCUCUCUCUUGCACCCGUAGAUUAUCAGUUUUCAGUGUAAUUCUAUGAUUAUGGCUUGUAUGUUUUUUUUUUCCUCUUCUAGCGCUUAGCUAUUCAAUCUUGAUAUCUGAUUACAGCUCAAAAUUUUGUUAUCACUGCCUUAUUUUAACAAAAAAUAAUAAUAAAUUUAGUGACAUGAAACACAACAAUGAAGCUGCGUAUUCAUUACUGAAUCGAAAUAUGCAUUAGUUAUUUAUUAAUAGGGUUAUUAUUACUUUACCUCUUAACAUUCGGUGUCACUAUCAAUUUCUCCUUUAACCCUUUUAGUCAUUUUACUCCCAAGACUAAUGGUCAAAUUUAACAGAGUUUGUUAAUUAAAGUGAAAAGAUACAUUUAACCCUUAAAAUUAUUAUCACUUUACUCUCAUAAACUAUAGUCUGAUUAUCAAUUUACCCCAUAGAGUUAUUUUUUAGACAAUUUAUUGCACUAUUAAACCAAUUUAGCCAGUUAAAGAACUCUAGAAGAAAGUACUCUUUUUUUUGUAUAAUAAAAAUAAAAAAAAUGUAGAAUAACUCUUCUUGUUUUUAGUAUCAAGAAAAAAAAUAUCAAAUUGUUAAUCUCUUUCUUCUUAAUAAUCUUAUUAAUAUUGAAAAGAAAAGAAAGAUGUGGAGGAGGAGGGGGAGGGAGAGAGAGAGAGAGAGAGAGCUCAAUUCUUUUUUUAAAAAAAUAAAAAUAAGAAAAAAUUACGUACUUUUAUUAUUUUAAAAUUAUUUCAUUUUUUUGUUUACUACCAAAUUUCAAUCCUGAUCUUGAUAAUCUUAAAGUAAUACGAUAAUGUUAGACUCUUCUUUAUUUUCUUUCUUUACAAAAUCUAAUUUUCUUUCUCCUUCUUUCCUAUCUCCUUUUCUUUUCCUAGCAUUAAUAAGUGUGAAAAAAGAAAUUUGAGAGAUCCUUUUAUUUUUACGUUUUUGGAUCCUUUAAAGUGAAAAAAAGGAAGAAUAACCUUUCCAACCAUUUCAUUUUUUAAUUAUAUAUAAAAAUGGUAUAUAUAUUUUAAAAAUUUUGAUCAUACUAGUUAGAUUAACGAUGAGAUAAAAUGCUUAAAAAAUAAUGUUAAGAAUUAAAGCGAUUGUAUCAUUAUAAUUUCAAGGGAUAAAAUGGUAAUAACAAUAUGAUAAUGCUAUAAAAUAAAGAGGUAUUUUCUGUCUAAAAUUUCUUAACAUGUUGAGUUGAAUUACUUAUGAAGGUGAACUGACUAAAAGAUAAUAUUACGGGGCAAACUGAUAGUAGUGGUAUAGUUUAAGAGAGUAAAGUGAUAAUAACCACUACAAGAAAUUUGGCCUUUUGUAACAACAAAAAGUCAUGACUAAAAAUCAAAAAGUCGUCAUUAUAUGAGUAUAGUGACGACUUUUUCCAUUGUCACAUUGUUUUCACUAAUUCUAUAUCACAAAUGGGUACGUGUGACAACCCUUUGAAAGUCGUUACUAAAUCUUGUUAUUUAAUGAUGAGGACAAAGUCGUCACUAAUGAUUAUCAUUCUGUGACAAAUUUUCUUGUCACUAUUUCACAUAUUUUUUGUCAUAAAUGGAGCAAAAGUAGUAACAAAUUUGAAGUCUAUAGUGAUGACUUGAACUUGUCACUAUCAGUCCUAGUAUUCAGUGACAGGAAUAAUCGUCACUUAGUGAACUUGCAUAUAGGUUGUCACUGAACUUUAUCUUAACAAACUGCAAUUGUUCAUCAUUGUCACGGUAUUUCCGACAUUAUAGCGAAACUCAAUUUGACAAAAAGGCAUGGUAAACUUGCAUGCUAGUGACAACCUUCCUUUGAAAGUUGUCACUGAGUUUUGUCUUCAAGAGUUGACAUUGACCAUUACAAAUAUAGUAUUGCCAUGGCAUUUUCAACAAUUAUAGUAAAACAUUCAAUUUGACAAAAGGCAAAAUCAACAUAAAAGAUAUGUCGCAAACUCAUAUAUAUGAUCAUAACACAUCUUUAAAUUAAUAUAAACAAAAGUGAAUCACAAAUGUUGGGUCCCAAAUCCCACAUAAUCAGUUCAAGUAAUAAUAACCAAUACAUAUACUUCCCAAGAGAUAGAGUACUAGAUUUCUAAACUAAAGCAUAUAUUACAGCACCAAUGUCAGAUUUCAGUCAUCUCUAUCAGCAUAUCCAAUAGUCUUCUCAUGAUCACUAUGAAGCUGGACUGCAUUGAAAAUAAACUAUUAAAUGCAUUAGAGUAUACUUUAAUCAGAAAAUAUGCUAUUACAACCUUACACUACUGAAUUUGAAUGAAUAAUCAACAUAUGUUGCAAACAGGUCAGUACUUUUAACAGCAUAAUCAACAUAUUCGAGUUUAUUCUGAGAACAAGUUCGAAAAGCACAACUUUUGCCAUUCCACUUUUGCAUAUUGGCCAGAAAAAAAUCACUAAUACUAUACUCUUCAAAUUCAUAUCCAACAUGACAAUUACAUGGAAACUCAAAUUGGGACUUUGUGCCAGGCAAUUUCAUUUGUUGAAAUAGAUAAAAGUGGGAUGAUUGAGAUAAUUUAAGACAAUUACAUGAUCACUUUGAACAAUUCAAAUAAAGCCACACCAAUAAUUUAUUUUUCACAGUUAUGAACACAACUACAUACAACAAAUUCCUUCUAAAAAGUUUUGCAGGAAUGUUAUAAAUUUUGUUCCAUCUCAAAAUAUAGUUGAAAAGGAUGCGGCAUCUCAUCAAGAAUUUAACUAGCCAAUGCCGCCAUGUUCAAAACUCAAAGGUGCAAAGUUUAGUAACAUUUAACUUCCAAAUUGCAUAGCCCACGACCCUUUGAAGUCCCAGGUGAUAUAUCAUGUGGAAAACAGAUAUAUCUUAUGUAGUUUUGAAAAUGCUUUCAAUCAAAAACAUCCCUUCUAGUUUAAUAGCUGCACAAGAGAACAACUAAACUAACAUUUUUCUAGCUUCAGUUCUAAACCAACCAUUUACAAAAUUUAAAUGGUUUACAAAACGAAUAGCAAAAGAUAGGGAAUCGACUCACAGUGUUGUCUUGAAUUUUCAAGAAUCUACGCAAUCUUUAGAGGAAAAGACAAUCUUCUUGCCAAGAGAAGGGCAACCGAAAAGGGCUAGCUUUUUCAAGUCGUUGUGUGACAUCCAUCUGAAAAUCCAAUUCACAAGAUUGAGAUGGAGAAGAUACAAGCUAGGAAACUCAAUACAUUGAAAAUGCUUUACUAAUCUCUGUGACGUAUAAAACUUGCACCAGAAGAAGCUAGAGCAAGAACUUAUUAGAAGGCCAAGUAAUGGUAGACUGUUUCACUCCAAAUUCAACAGAAUAUGCAACAUACAAAGAAUUACCCCGGUACUUUAGCAAUCUACUCCACUCUGUAAUAGUACAAAUAUUGAGCACAACUUAAAAAGUUACUCAUUGCUUCACAUCAAAGUACCAAAAAAAUUUUUUCCCUCAGUUACCACGUCACUUGAUAAUUUUAUUGUGUUUUUGAAUGCAAUGACUUGUUAAAAUGAAAAUAGUCAAGCAUAACUACAACUUGAGCACAAAUGGCCAUUAAAUUAUGUGAUCUUCACAUGUAGCACAUAAUUGAAUUUGCAACGAAUUGCAAUGUACCCUCAAUAUUCUUGCAACAACGUCCUUAACCACUCUACUUGAUUUCAUCUACUUGAUUUGAAAAUAAAAGCAUGAUGUCCAUCCUCUUGUUUGCUUGCUAACUCACUUCCAUUUACAGUUUUUCUCUUCUUGCUUUCUCAAAGAUUAGUUACAAACAGGACAAAAAGGAUUAAUAGCAGGGCAGUAGUAGGCAAAAGCCAAAAAAAUGAACGGACACAAGCUGGCAACCUAGCAACAAAAUUUCAUCAAAACACUUGUUGUUCACAACAAACAAGAAAAAAAAAAAGGAACAGCCACUACAAAGGGAAGAGGAAGAUGUCAGGAAAUGGAAUAGGCAACCUUCUUGUCCACAAGUUUGAAGAAAGCAAGGUUCCAUCAGAUAUCCAUUCUUAAGCAUUGUAUAACUAAUCCUAAGUUUGAGAUAAAAAGUUAGAAUCUUCUUUCUGUUCCCCUCUUAAUAGUUAAUACAUUCAAGUAAGUAACCCAAAGAAAGCAGAACAUUCAUUAGUCCAUGCCAAAAAUACCAUUCCUACAAUUGCAUUAACAUGACUACAAGCAACUCACCAGGGCAAAUUAUAAUCUAAGUACACAAGAGAAAGCAUAUUACUAGAAAAUUUAUCCGAUUAUUCUCAUAAUGAGAUUGAAGAAUUCAAAAAAUCACAUUUGAUGUCUAGAAAUCAACCACUCAAUAUUUAUAGAUUAGCGCUUCAAUAUACAAACGCAAGGAAUUCAUAGAGAAUCUAGGAUGCCAAGAACGAGCAAAUUAUAUCUUUGCCUUAUGAAAAGAAUAAAAAUCCUUACUUUGCAAUCUCCUGAUUAUCCUUUUUUUUUAUCAGUAACAAGAAGUACCAGCGUAUAAUCCAUUAAACCCAGAAAAAAGGUGCCACCAAAUAUUUUUAAGAAAUUCCUUAGAUUGAUUUGAAGACCUAGAGCAACCAAAACUGUAGAUAGAGUCUCAAUCAACUAUGUAUCUCAACAUGCAUAACUUUCAACUGCAACAUCUGAGAGCCUAAAUUGCAAAUAACAUAAUUUAGCAAAACAUGAAUCUAAGAGAAGCAUGAACUUGGUGGUGCUGAACCAUAACCUCCAGAUCCACGGCCAAAGCCAGGCCUUCCACCAGAACCCCUGAAAGCAGGCUGGUUGCAAGAGCUCCACCUUUCUCACCACCAAACUUACCAGGAGGUCCACGGGGACCAGCACGAUACCCUCCCUGUGCACCAAAUUCACUAUCCCUCGUCCAAAAAGACAACAGCAGGGGAAGAAAGAGACAGAGAACAAGAGAGGAUAUGUUCUACUUCCUGAAUUACAAAUCUACCCGUCCACUAGAGAGACUAUCUUUUCUAAGAAAUGUUUAUGCAGCCUUCUGGAAAUGCUUGGAAAGCAGCUUCACAAUCUCAGUAAAUCCAACUUUCUCCUUGCCUUCAAAUAUGGUCUUCAGCUUCUCAUCACAGUAGAUCUCUUUCUUGUUGUUUGGAUUCUGAAGGUUUUUGGAUUUGAUGUAAUCCCAGACUUUCCUGACGGCGUCAGUGCGGGAAGUUUCAGGUGCGCCAAGGAACUAGCGGAGAGCAGGAGAGACAGGCUGCUUCUUCAGGAUGCCAUUUCUGCGGCCAGAAGUUUUAGCAGCGGCGGAUCCAGAAGUGGUGGAGGCGACGGAGGUCUUAGCGGCUGCCAUAAGUGCUCUGCAGCGGUUUCCGAAAACCCCAGCGGUCGACGCCAUAGAGAGAGACCCUAGAGAGAGAAGAAAGAGUGAGAGAGUGAGGGGACUGGGAGUCUGUGAGUGAAGAAGGCAGGCAGGGUGGAGGGAAAAUAUGAGAAAAGACCAAAAACGAUGUCGUUUCUGCUUCUUUUGUUCACGCACAUGUACUUCUUCAAUUUUCAGCUUCCCGCUUCCAUUUUAGCUAAGACCAAAAAAUAACACUUUCAUCCUCUUUUGUACGGCUAAUUGAUCAAAUUAUUGUUCGAAAAAAAAUCACAACAAUAAAGUUAUUAUUUUGAGCUUUUUUACUUCACAAGUUGUAUCUGGAACUUUAUUUGUUACAUUAAAACUUUGAAAAUUUAGUGUUUUUGGAUAAUUUUUGGAAAAUUUAGUGUUUUUGGGAUUAAUUUAGUGUUUUUGAAAAUUAGUGUUUUGGAAUAUUUAGUGUCUUAUUAAUAAUAUGUUUAUGAUUCAAAAAAAUCUUUUAAUGCAAAUAUUUUUGGUAUUGAUUUAAUAAUUUUAUUAAUUAUGUACGAAAUUGUGGUCUGACAAGACCUAACAAGCUGCUAGUUGAUCAAUUAACCAAAAUAGUUUGCUAAUACAUGCAUAAAACACUAAAUGUAUUUGGUACAAAUACCGAUUUAUAAACCAUAAAUAAUGUGAUUAUUGUAAUUAAUAAUAAACUCCAUCCAUGCGAUUGUCAAGAUUUUACUUAAUUUCAUGUUGAAUUUUAUUGUUCUUUGCCAUUAUUUUCACACUAUGCUAGUCAAUAAUUUUCCAUGUGUUGUCAAGACAAUUAGAUAGGGAAUCCAUGAUAUUUUUUAACCUUAGCUAAGUUCGGUACAAGUUAUUGGCUAAGUUUGGAACAAUUAUAAAAAUAUGUAUAUAUAUUUUAUUAAAAUAUCUUUCUCAUUUUGCUAAUGAAAAACAUCAACUAAAGUGUAAAGGAUAGGGUGCCAUAAUAGAAUUAAUGAAAUCGGUUUAUCACAUACGAGACUAAAUUGUAAAAGAUAAGGUGUCAUGAUUGAGUUAAUGGAAUCAAUUUAUUACAUAUGGGGCUAAAAUGUAAAAUUUAGGGUGUCAUAAUAAGAUUAAUAAAAUUUAUUUAUCGCAUAUAAGCCACAUUGAAAAAAUUAGGGUGGCAUAGUAGAAAUAAUGAAAGUGAGUUAGGAACAAGCACUUUAAAAAUAUGUUUAUGAUUCAAAAAAAGAUAUUUUAAUGCAAAUAUUUUUUGUAUCAAUUUAAUAAUUUUAUCAAUUAUGCACGAAUUGUGGUCUGACAACACCAAACAAUUUGUUUAGUUGAUCAAAUAACCAAAAUAGUUUACUAAUACAUGCAUCAAACACUAAAUCUAUUUGAUACAUGUACUGAUUCAUAAACCAUAAACAAUUUGAUUAUUGUAAAUUGUAAUACAUAACAAACUCCAGUCAUGAAAUUGUCAAGAUUUUUACUUAAUUUCAUAUUAAAUUUUAUUAUUCUCUUCCAUUAUUUUCACACUAUGUUAAUCAGUAAUUUUCCAUAUGUUGUCAAGAGAACUAAAUAAAGAAUUCAUGAUAUUUUUUAACUUUAUAAUAAGGUAUUAGCUAUGUUUGGAAUAAUUAAAAAAUAGGUAAACAUUGUUUUUUACAAUACAUUCCUCAUUUUGCUAAUGAUAAACACAACCUAAAGUGUAAAAGCAUAGGGUGCCAUAAUAGAAUUAAUAAAACUUUUCUUUAUCACAUACGAGGCUAAAUUGCAAAAGAUAAGGUGUCAUGGUAGAGUUAAUGAGAUUAGUUUACCAAAUACGGGGCUAAAGUGUAAAAGUUCGGGUGUCAUAACAUAAUUAAUUAAAUUUACUUGUAGCGUAUGGGCCAUAUAGAAAAAAUUAGGAUGGUAUAUGGAGUUAAAAUGUAAAAGUUAGGGUGUCAUAAUAGAAUUAAUAAAAUUUAUUUACAACACAUGGGCCAUAUUGAAAAAAUUAAGGUGGUAUAUGGGGUCAAAAUGUAAAAGUUAGGUGUCAUAGUAGAAUUAAUAAAAUUUAUUUACAACACAUGGGCCAUAUUGAAAAAAUUAAGGUGGUAUAUGGGGUUAAAAUGUAAAAGUUAGGGUGUCAUAGAAAAAUUAAUAAAAUUUAUUUACAAAACAUGGGUCAUAUUGAAAAAAUUAAGGUGGUAUAUGUGGUCAAAAUGUAAAAGUUAGGGUGUCAUAGUAGAAUUAAUAAAACUUAUUUACAACAUAUGGGCUAUAUUGAAAAUAUUAGGAUGACAUAGUAGAAUUAGUGAAAGUGAGAUGGGAAUAAAUGCUUUGGACAGUGACGACUAGUUGUUGUCACUAAUUUAGAACUGGCAACCAUAUUGUGACGAUAUUUUAAGUUGUCACUGUAGGACAAGUUUCAGUGACAACAUGUUUUCCAGUUGUGACAAUGGUGAUCUCCCGCCACACUGGAUAGUUGCGCGCCUUCCAUAUUGUAACGACUUAUCCCGUGUUGUCACUGUUGAUGGGUGAACCCACGAUCAAGUAUGACGACAUUAAAAGUCAUUCCUAAAGUUUCAAUUGUGACAACUUUCUCUCUUGUCGCAGAGAAUGUUGUCACAAAAGGCCAAAUUUCUUGUAGUGAACCCAUAUUAAUAUGACUACUCAUUUCUCUAUUCUUCUCAUUCAUACAAUCUUAAGGGCAAAAAGUUGACCAUUCUCAAAUCUCAAACUCUGAAAAGCAAUCAUAUUUGAUCAGGAUGUAAAUUGAAAAUACCCAUAUACAUACUAUUGCUAAGAUGUGUGAUAUUUGCACUCUUAUAUUAGCCUCUCAUAUUGAAAUUCACCUACUGAAUAAAAGGCCAUCUAUGAGUGUGAGUGGCAAAUUUGGGAGUGGAAAUAUCACUUUUUUGUGUCUAAUUAGAUGCACGUAUUGGUUUUAUAUGUUUAAGGAGAAAACUUUUGAAUAUAUACAAAAUUAAUUAUUAGAUUCAACUUCACAUAUAAAAGAUCCCAUGUAUUUAGGACCAAGUACAUAAAUUUGAAAUUUGGCAGACAAAAAAUUGAAAUAAUUAAUUAUUGAAUAGAUCACAUGUAUUUAGUUUUGAAAAAAAUUUUCUUGGCAUAGUAAAUAGAAUUUUGAAUAAAUCAACAUGUAAUGCUAAUGCAAUUAAUAACAAGUUGAACUUCACAGAUUAACAACAAAAUAGCAAGGUCAAAAAUAUUUAAAGAGGAAAACUUUAAAUUUUUGAUAAAACAAAAGUUAGGUGUACAAUUCAAUUUCAUUAAAUCUAAUGAAGCAUAAUAAAGAUCUUCAAUGAAAAUUUUUGAAAUUUCAUAGGGACUAAAAACAAUCAAAAACUUGGCUGUCCCCGCAGCUUCCCGACGCCCCUGAAAAAUUGGCCACAUGCAUGGUUUAUUGCCCCGCUCAAAACGAAUGAUUGGCAUUCUGAAAGAUUAUUUUGCUGAUGUCCAUGAAAAGAUUUAUGUGACAUCCUAUAAAACUGAUGGGGACAAAUAUUCAAAGAAUUUAUUGUAAUUAUUAUUAUUAGAAUAGGAAAGAAGAAUCUCUUAUCCAUCUGUCCCCUCCUCUUUGUCUGCAUUGAACAAUGUUCUGUAGUAUAAGCAGGAAUGAUUGUACAAUUUAAACUAGUAAAGCUAAAAUCAACCAAACAACUGAACCACUAACAAUACUUAAAAAGGAAACCACCAGCAUUUGGGCUGGUGGCCACCACCUAACUUGGUGAGGUGGGUGUGUUGUGCACCUUUUUGAUUCGGUGAUGGUUCAGUCCUUUCCGAAUUAUUUCUUGGCCUCCUUAGGUUCGCCCCCCUCCCCCUUAGUGUAGGAUAGAUUAGGUUAUACAAAGUUGUCGUAUCCGCCAAAAAAAAAAAGAAAACUAACAAUACUUAAAAAUGAAACCAGGUACCAUUACAUCUUUGUAAUAGUAGAUUGACAUAUAUAAUUUGAUAUCAAAGUAGAGAACAAACUAAACAAGGAUUUAUUUAAUUAUGGCAACAUAAUGGAUAGAACUCCCAAGCUGCAGAAGACAUACGUAAAAACCAUCAGAGCAACAAACAUAGAUCACUUGGGAGGCGUUAACAUGUUUCUGUACUAUAUUUAGUGCUUCGGAACCCAGACAAUGUGAUCCUCAGGAAGGAAAUGGCAGAUUGGAACAGUUCCUGGCUUCACCUUCAGCAGCUGAAAAGCCAAAUGCCUUGGGUUCCAUGCUGACGUAUCCCGGUGACAAACAGCUACAGCCUUGACUUUUGCUCCAUCGGCACCAACUAAAUUAACCAUAUAUGCAUCUGUAUUCUGUGUGGUGUGGCAGUAGAAAACUGCGUAGAAAUAGUUUUGCCUGUGGCAAGAAACUAUUUCUUUAUCGUUGUUGUUCAACUUGGAAACAGACACAAUACCAUAUUUCUGGACUUCUGGAUCUGUUUUCUGUGCUUCGUUAGAAAUUGCUAGAACAUCUUUGCCCAGCUUUGAAGUAGUGAAAUCAACCAUUGAUUCGAGAGAAGUCGCACAAUACUUGUCUUCUCCUUUCAUUGCGGGCACCUCGCAUUCUGCUAUCGUUUCCUUAAUAAUUCUAGCAUCUUGUGAUUGUGGAUUCAGUGAGUAUUUGUUCAAAAUUUCAGGAACAGAUUUUGAUGAGAAGGGAAUCGAAUUAGCAACCUGGCGGGGCAGGAAAGCCGUAGGACUUUUCACUGAUUCAACAAACUUCAUAUUCAUGCUUGAGCCGCGAUUGAGGUCCAUUUUCAAGAAAAAGACUUUCACUUUUGGGUCAAUAUGGAGCUCAUCUUCAGUAGGAUUUCCACAAUAAUGUUUGAAACUACAGCUGUCAUCAUAUGUUUUCAACCUGAAAUUGCCCCUUUCCGGCCACUUCCCUGUAUUUAUUGGAUGAGCAACAAAUUAGUACAACAUAUAAAUCCGGCCAGCUUUUAUUUCUGGUAAUGGACUACAAUGUCCCUGCGCAAAUUCUUCCAGCAAUAUCCCCCUUUUUAAGAUCCUUGUCAUAUGCUUGCUCAUGAUUAAUGGAAGAGUAAAAUUAUUAAAAGAAAAGCAUGUUAGAUCUUUUUCUUUUCUUUUUUUUUUAACACGGUACAAGAAAACCCCUGUAAUUAUUGAAGUACUUUUUCUUUUUGUUUUGUUUUAAGUGAAACUAGAAGUUUUCUAUUACAAUUUCUCCUUUUUUUUUUAAGGUUUUGAACUUGAUGAGUGUCUUUCAAUUCCCCCAGAAUCCAAGGGAAACAAACAAAGACGCAACUCGAGCAAUAGAAGCACAGUAAACGGUAGAUGUAGGAAAGGACCAUUUCUGAGACAAACCAUCUUUUAGCAGGUCUCUAACAGCUUUGGGCAUAGGAAUGUUUGGAAGCUCGGAUUUCCAGUAAGCUUCAAGAUCUGCAUGGUUUGCCCCAACUCCUAGCUGAAAUAUAUUUCACAAUACGGAAAAAGAGUUAUGCAGUCAGUUUGCACACUAUCCAAAGUGCGAGCAAAUUAUCUAUCUAAAAAUUAACGUAGCUUAACUUUUUCAGUAAUGUACACUCACAAAAAGAAAAGAGAGAAAGUAGAGAAGCUUCAGAAAUUCCAUAAUAGUUUAUGCGCACGAGCCACGGUAGGCUGCUAGUAUGCAAGACGGAGUGAAGAUAGUAAUAAAAGCCAAUAUAUUUGAGCGAGAUGGCACAAGAAACUGGGCAGCUUUAUUUAUAAGCGGAAGAGCCAAGUGCGAUUGCCAAUUGUUUGAGAGGGGGACAGUUUUGAUAUGGUGGCUGUACGGCACCAAUCAAGUUUUGACAUUGUUACUCUAAACAUGCACCUUAUCUACGAGUAGGCUUCUUGAGGGACAGUGAAGAUAAUACUGAAGGCAAAAAUACAUAAUUGAGAUUUCACAGGAAAUUGGCCGCAUUUUAGAUAAAUGAACUUAAUCAUCACCUACAAUUAAAUGUGUGACUAAGAAAACCGUCAUCUGUACCUUGAUUGUCACCAAGAAAACUGUCAUAUGUACUUUUAUUGUUACCAAAAAUCCGAUUGGUGAAAAUACUACCAACUUAUAACAUUGAGAAUUGAGUAUCUAGUAGUAUACCUAAAAAAGAAAAAAAAAUUCCAUUUGAGAACCCUAAGAACAUAAUACUAAUAUCUCCAAAGCUCAUCAAAAUUCAGCAUAAUCAUGCCACAUGUAAAAGUGGGUACAUGAUAUACAUGGAUGAGGAAAUUGUGGGCUAAUGUGGAGUGAUAGGUGCCGAACCUGUGCAAUAAUAAAUCACUACUUGAGAGAAAUACAAAUUUUGCAUAUAGUGACGAGUAGAGUCGAAUCCACAGGGACUGGAGAUAAUUCGUUUCUUUUAGAAUUCAAAGUAUGGAGGUUUUCAGGAUUAAAUGCUAACUAAUUAAAUGCAAAAAAUAAUUAAUUAAAAGAAAUAAUUAGAGAAACUCUAGCCAAGGAUACACUUCAGAAAUGGUUCAUGUACUGAUCAUCGAUUCACAGAUAAUUCCAAUAUUUAUUAAUAGAUUAGUUAUAGUUGUCAUGCACGCGAUAAACAACCAACCUUUCCUUAAUUUCUCGAUAGUUAAGGUACGACCGUUAACUAUUUCUCUAACUCGGAAACAACCUUAGGUACGACCGUAGGAUUUAAUUUCUAGAUUGCAUUAAUAAUUAGAAAAGUCCAAUCCUAACUAACAAACACGCUACGAGGGUUUGUUUAAACUAGAUCGUAUGUUCCCCUGACAUAAACCCAAUUACGCCAGUUGCUACUGGGAUGGAGAUAAUCGAACAAUUACGGAUUCAACUACCCCUAAUUAGCAAAUAGCCUACGUGAAUAAUUAAAUAUUGCGCACCUAUUCAAUCAUACACGAUAGCUAUACCAACAAUUAAAAGCAGAAAACAUAUAAAUGCCAAUAAAUGAAGGAAAUAAUUAAAAUAAUUUAGAUCUCACAGUAAUUGCCGAACCAAAUCUUCAGUUGUCCUUUGACUAGAAUUAAGAAGCUAGUUCUCCAUUAAUAGAGAACCAGCCGUGCGAAAAUAAAACAAUCGGAGCUUUCUAAUGUUUUCAGAUGGGAAAAGGAAACUAAACCUGAGCCCCCCAAUUACACGUGAAUCUGGCCCUUUUAUAUCUUCAGUAGCCGCCGCCCCCGAGAAAACUAACGUCUGACCUUAAAAAGCAAAAGCUAAGCUAAUGACUAAAUGCCCCUCCCGUAAAUCUGGCUUUUUUCCUCCUUUAUAGCGCCACCAGGAGCCAAGAAAACGUUUGACCCAAUUAACGAAACCAAAGCUAAUCUUUUGGAGUUUUAAUCCCAUGUUUCUCGCGGUUCACGUGGACCCAACCUUCUAAUUGCCCACUUUUGUUGCUACCAAGCCCGCGGGUCCGGCCUUUAGGUGAGUCUCCUCAGUUUCUGGCGUGGGCACGCUCUGACAUGAAGGGUCUUCUGGAAAUUUGCCUCAAGAGAUUACUUUUAACACCAACCACCUACAAUUCACACAAAUAUCAAAUAUGAGCAAAAUCUCAAUACGUAGCACAGUAAGUAGCCAAAAUUGGGACAAAAUAACAGUGCAAAAUGUGCCCAAUAAUUGCUCUAUCAAAUCCCUCCACACCUAGACAAUGCUUGCCCUCAAGCAUUUCAAAGCUCAGAAAUACAAUCAAGAAAACAUAGGUCCUGCAGUAAUCUACACUAACACAAGCAUCCCACAUUCUUGACAAUGCCGCCAAAAUUAGAAUACACUGGAUAGGUGGUGAUCCGAAGAAUAUAAGCAGUAAUACUCGUCACCUUCAAGAAAAUGUAUGAAUACUAGGAACGCUCAAAUCAACAUUAGGAAAUGACAUUACCAUAGGCUUGCACAUUUAUCACAUCUCCACCACUGAAAAGUGAACUAAAUAUACAAAUCAAAGGGACUUUAAUAGGGUUGUAAUAGGGCUUAGGUAAAAGGCGGGAUAAGAAGGUAAAAAUAGGGUAUAAUAUGUCAAGAGAAUGUCUGAUAUCCACCACAUCACCACAACGCUUCAUCAGAGAAAUUUCACGAGCAAGGCAUUUUCAUUUGCCAUUUCCACUGUGCAAGUGUCAAAACUCUUCUCCUGUUCUCUUUUUUUUUUUUUUUGAACAAGCGGCUCACAAGGCGUGGGCACGUCUUGUAGGCCGGAGUCUUCUGCUCACGAGCUUUUUUUUUUUUUUAACGGAGCAGAUGUCUUGCAAGGCGUGGGCACGCCUUGUAGGCUGGAGUCUUCUGCCCACCAGCUCAUUGCCGACUUCUCCCCCUUCCCUUUUUUUCUUUUUAUCUCAGAUACACAGAGCACCGUACAACUUCUAUUCCGACAACACUCGCUACCUUAGAUUCAUUUGCCUUGCACAAACAACGGAAUUCAGACAUUUCUUGACGACACAAGGUUAAACAAGAAAGUCUAAAAAGGUCAUGGGUUAUCAAACACGGCUAAUCAAAUAAUAGUGAAGGAUAAAAGCUCAAAUAGGUUCACUACGGGGAGACAAGAUGAAGGGCAUGGUUUGUAGAAAGUUAAAGAAGGUUAAAUCCUAAAUGCCCUUAUCAUUUGAAAUGCAUCCAGUUCAACAAAAUGUGGUCUUGACAUGUACAAAAUAGCAAGUUCUAGAAUGCCAAUACCAUGUGUGAUACCCACUCAAUCAAACAAGAAUAGAGCGAACAAGGAUAAUGUGCUCAUACAAGGCCCAAAAGCUCCCAAAAGUUUCAAGAAUGAGUCAAGUCCAGCAUAUUCAAUAUUCAACACUAUUGUCAAGGAAAAACAAAAUGUAUAACUAGUAUGUAUAACCACAUAUCCGUGCACCUUGAUUGUGCAAUCCAUCAUAGCAACAUGCUCUAGCAGUUAACAAAUGUAGGACUAGAGAAGUCAACUAACUACACUUUUUUUCUUUUUUUUCUUCAUUUUCCUCUUCAUUUUUUUCUUUUUUUUUUGUGUUUCUUUUUUUUUUUUCUUAAAAGCAAAGCAAAAGGAGAUAAUAAUGGAAGUCAUCCCUGUAGACACCAAAUUUUGGUGUAAUUUCAUUUGCUGUUUAUUUUUAAUUUUUUCAUUUUAGUUUUAUUCGAUUUUUAGUUUUAGUUUCUAGUUUUAUUUUUAUUUUUAAGCUGUUAGCAUAGAAUCUCUUGGAAAAUGAAUGAAAAUGAGAAAGUGAAAAGAAAAGAGGAGAGAAAAGAAAAAAAAAGAAAAUUGCCCACAAAAUAUGUUUUAUGUCUUCUAAAUUCAAUCUUUUGGCAUUUUGUUUAUUUUUGUUAAGUUAUUUUGAAAAAAAAAAAGAAAAAAAAAAGAGAAAAACGAUGAAAAUAGGAAAUGGAAAAGAAAUGGAAAUUGCACUUUAUUGUUCUAGUUUAUUUUUCAUCAAAUGUUAAUUAUUUUGUUUUGGUUAUUUUUUUUUAUUAUUAUCAAUUUUGUUUGUUUCAAAAAAAAAAUCAAAAAAUCAAAAAAUCACAAUUCUAUUUCUGCCGAAUCCAUUUCCAUUUUACAUUCCAGCACCUUCCAUCUCUAUGCCGACUUAUAACCACUAAUGCACUCCACUAUAUCACACACUAGUAUAUCAACUACCAUCCACCACAAUAUAUUUCUUUUCAAUGGCUUUUCAGCCGUGAGUGAGCAAGGCUUCCUGGGCCAACUUUAAAACAAAAACAUCUCCAAUUCUGCCGGAUGACAUCUGAGUCUCCACUCACACCCCAUUUCCCUUCAUUCGUGACUUGUUUCCCAUUUGAGCAACUCCAACAUUCCAAAACACUUCCUCUCCAGCCUCUGCCUUGGGACCAUCGACAGAAAGUGCGAGAGAGAGAGAGCGGCAACCGUUCAUCCGAGAGGGAAGAAAAGGAUCCGCGAGCGGCAAAAAUUUUUCUGGUUCCGUCCGUGAGUUGAAGUAAGACAGAGAGAAGCUGUGAGCGAGCUUCACCCUUCUGCACUUCUGUUCUACCAGCUGCAAUCAAGUUUCCAGCCGCAACAACCACCAUCUCCACCGACAACCACAGCCACACCAACCCAAAACAGAAAACCUGUCGCGUGCUUGUGAGCCGAGAGGAGGAAAACAUUUUCCAGAUUUUCGUGUGAAAGCUUGACUAGUUGUGAGUUAUUCUUUAAUGGGGUAUGUGUACACCUCUUGGCUUGUAAUAGAUAGAGCUUUGGCGAGCAAUUUGGUCCAUUUUCCCCUUCCCCUUUUGUUUUAAUUAGUGAAUGUAAUAAGUUCAUUAGUUUGGUUGCAUGCCUUUGUGUUACGUGUUACUUGCUUUAUUAGGUUUUGCAUCUAGUCGAGCAUGUUAAGUGUUACGUGCUACGUGUUUAUGGGCGUUUGGCAUGUCUACUAGCUUUCUGUAGUGUAGAUGAAUGGAAUGGAUGAAUGUACGUUUCCACUAGUCCGACGCUAGUCGGAAUUCAUAGAAUGGGCUAGUCCAACGCUAGACCCUUAGGGAUUUCCCCUCAUUAGCAUAAUCAUUUGCUUGUUCACCACAUAUCAUGCAUUUUUCUUAGUUUUAUCACUUGGCAUGCUCCUCGAACCCCCUUUCCCUUCAUUUUAGGAUUUUUGCAUAUCAUGAUAGUUGUAGGGUCCAUUUGCUUGAGGGUCCCUUUCUGAUAAGGGAAACGAGCGAGUGUGGCUACUCGAUAGCCUUAGCACACUAGUUUUGCCUUCUAAUCAAAGGGAAAAUCGAAGUCGACAAGUUAGGAGUCAUUCCCAUACCCGACCUGAUGCAUUCCCUUAGGUUCAUUCAUUCUCAUUUAUCACUCACUCAUUCUUUUCAAUUCACAUUUCCUUUCCUUAUUGUUCAUUUUGAUUUCUACUUCACGAAAUUGCAUUUAAUUACACCUAUAUGCACUUAUCACUAUAUUUCAUACACUUGCACACAAAUACUUGGAAUUUUCAUACAAUUGCACACGUGCACCUUUUCAUACACUUGCACACAAACACUUGGAUUUUUAAAUUUCUUUUCAUACACUUCCACACUUGCACAUUUGAGUCUCAUUUGCAUUAAUCGACCUCUAUGGGGUUUUCCUUUGUUGGCCGCCACAAUUCAUGUGGUUUGGGAUCAAAAGCCUCACGAGAGACAUCGUAGAAUUUAGGAUUGCAUUUUUCUCUCCGUUUUGCAUUCAUAUAGUCAUAUCCAACGUGCGAACAUAUAUUGGGUAGAAAAUUAGGAAAGGUAAGGUUAAGUCGCGCAACUAGCCUUGGCUAGGUCAAAGGGGUGCCUUGGAUUCUAUCCUUGCCUUCCCCUUUGUCAAACGUGACCCCCGAACCUUUUUCUUUGGCUUACGUGGACUAGGAGUCGUUUUAAAAAGGGUUUUACUACUUUGUCUUUAAAAAACACUUUUUGGGUGACUUGGUACACCCCAAAUCUAUACCAAGUGGCGACUCCGUUUUCAUAUUUAAAAAACCCUUUUUAAAAUUUCAAUUGGCCAAAUCGUCGCUUUCCAAAGUCCCAUGGCCUUUUUACCUUUCAUUUUGCACACGUUCACACCACACUUCACACACACAUCACUCACACAAUUCACACAUUCAAAAGUGGGGCGCGACAAUCCCCCCACACCUAAUACCUACAUUGUUCUCAAUGUAGAAAAGAUGAAUGAAGUAUAAGGAGAAAAUGAGAGAAACUUCCCUGACCACCGAGAGGGUGCAGCGAGACACUAAGGCGGAGAAGGGUGGGGUGGCUAGAAUCCAAUGUGAGCAAAGAAAGCCGUCUGAUGAGAGAGAUAGUGAUGGUGGGACGGGCAGCAGCGUGCGAUGGAUGGCGCGAGGGGGAGAGAGAGAGUUUCUAGCGGCAGUGGACAAGGGGGAAACCUUGGACUAAGACAAAACAAAGAAAAUUGAAAAGUAGAAGCUGAGACAAUGGAAAUUGAUAAAACCAUACAAGACAAGAAAAGAGAAAAGUAGAAAGUGGGAUUAGAGAGGGUCCUGGUCAAUCUUUGACUUUUGUUGGCGCAAAGGCUGGAAGGCGUGGGCGCGCCUUGGAAGCUAUAGUCUUCUGACCGUCAAUUCCAAAGCUUCAUUCCUUAGGCGUGACCAACUAAAGUGGGCAUGUCUAACUGCUAGCUUCCUGCCACAAAACAACAACCCACUAAAUGACACUAAUACUUAACAAAAAUUUCGAAAAUAUAACAAAACUAAAACAAAAGAAGCCUUGGGUUGCCUCCCAAGCAGCGCCUUUCUUUAAUGUCUUUGGUUAGACAUCGUCAUGUUUAUUCACGGAGGAUAAAAUCGUGUAGCUCGUUUCAGUACUUCAUCUUCUAUGUAUCCUUGAUAUCCCUCGUAAAUAGAGUAAUUCUUGAGCACACGAGGUAUGGUCUUCCAUGGAUUAGUAGAUGCCUCUAAACAAGUCGAUAAGAAUCUUAGUUCUUCACUUACUCCUCCAUUACGAACACUUAAUGGUUCGAGAUAUUUUUCCAUUGCAACUCUUAACUUAUUCCUGUCAUGAAACUCAAAAUUAUCUGGCAUAAUAAAAUCUAUUUCACUAACAGGAUUUAAAGAAUAAGAGUUCGAAAAAUAUUGACUAAGGAAUGGAGGAAAUGUCACCGCAUUUAGGGAUUGUUCACUGAAUUCAUUCACUUGAACAAUUUGGUAUUGGGAUCCUAUUUCUUCCACUUCAAUUCUCUUCUCAACUGCAUCUUUUGCUUCUUCUUCUUGAGACUCUUGCAGCUCUAUGUCAUUUGUCAGGAUAAUUGCACUCUUGACGGGUAUUUUACAUACGUGCAAGCUAAAAAAUACCGAAUUACACCCGUUCACUGCAAGUAUACAGAUCAACUAGUAGUUUAGGGUAUAUAUCGGGUCGAUUCCACAGGGAAGAGUGAACAAUUACCGGUAUUGCUAAAGCUUCUCUAUUAUUUAGACUAUCAAUAAAUUAUAACAAGUAAAACCUACUGAACUUAUGCAAGAAAAUAACAAAUGAAAGCUCCUUAGGUUGUGGUAUCCCUAACUACUCAUGCAAGUGCUAUUUUUUGAUCAUUGAGUACUACAUCUAAGCUAGUUAUGGUGUAAUUUCCUUAUGCAUUUGAAUCCUACUUUCGUAGUGAAUCAAUUAUACUCAUAACUAAUCCAUACCUAUUCUCAUGGUUAUGAAAUUAGUUACAAGUUCAUUUCUUCAAUGAAAUUACAUAAAAUUAAUCACCAAAACCCCAUAGGUGCACCUCUACUCUCGUGAGUGUACUCCCCAUGUUUAGCACUUAUUGAACUAAUAUUAAAUCUCAAUUUUCAUUGCAGAAAUAACACCUUAGAUAAUCACAAUUAAUGGUACCAGAUUAAUCAUGAUUUAAAGAGCUAAAGUGCUAAAUAACUUGCUCAAAUUAUGGCAGUCAAUUAGCCAAAUAAUAAAUACUAACAAUCAUAGAAAGUUCAACCAAACCCAAGGUAUAAACUUUAAAGACACAUAUUAAAUAUAAAAUCCAGAACUUGCAUAAUAACCAUAGUUAAGAAUCCAAUACAAAAGAUAAAGAAUUGGAGUAGAGAUAACCCAUGUCACUUGAGCUUCAACUCCUCCUUCUUCAUCUCCAUCUUCAUCCUAAUCUACCUAUUAUACAAGAAUGGAUUAACUACACUUACUACACUAUAUAUCCUACACUAAGGAAAUGGAAGAACUACAUUUCUGCACUUCAAGCUCUCUCCCGUAUGUUUUUUUUUUGUCUUCCCAAGUGUCUCUGCAUAUAAGCUGAUGAAAAUCUCCUUUCUAGUCCAAAAUUUCUGCUCUAAUGAUUCUCAAUUCUCCAUUUGUUAAGGAAGUCAAAAACAAUGACUUUUGACUUGGAAUAAGCCAUAUUGUAUGCUCUUUUUGUCUUCUGAAGCAUGUGCACCGAAUUCACUUGCAACUUAUAGCUGGAAAGUAGUCUGAACACAAGAGAAUUGACUGAACAAAUUGCAGAAUUUCGGCCAGAAAACGCGCCUACACAAAACGCGGUUACAAGUCACGUUUUGUGUACUCGCGUAUUCACUUUGGCCUUACUUCAUCUGUGAUUUUCUCUAUCAUAAAGGCCUAACUGGCUUUUGUACAAAACACAAAAGUUGUAGCCCUUUGAGUUAGCUUUUCAAUGCUUCAAGAAUCAUCCAAAUCGGAGCUUUGUAGCCUGAGAUAUGAUCAUAAUACUAAACACUGGUCAGAGCUCUGUUUUCCACUUUGGACAGCUGAGUUGAAUUUCGGUAUUUCAACUUUUGGGCUAUGAAAACGGCUGAAUUGGACUUUGAUGUUUUCAUACCAAAUUUAGAUCUCUUUCUUAGCUUUAAAUUGGUAUAAAGAUCACCUCAAUCUGAUCAAUGUAGCUCCAGAUAUAGUCGAAAUACUGAAGAGUGUCAAAACUGUCUUGACUUGCAUUUCCUUACUUAAACGUUUUUCACUUCAUUUUUCUUUUUACCACUUUGAAUUCAUCACCAAAUCUCUAUUUUUCACUUCAAUUGGCAUCCUUUGGUGGUUGAAUCAUCAUUCCUGCAUAAAAAUGAAGUUUUUACUAUUAAAAUCAAUAGAAAUGCAAUAUUAGCCACUUUUACCAAAAAUGUAUAUUUUUACCAAAACCUUAGUUAUUUUAAUUAUAAAACUAAAUAAUCAAACCAAAUUAACUAAUAAAAUGCACUUAAAAAUACGUAAAAUAAAUCCUUAUCAAAUACCCCCACACUUGAAUCAUUGCUUGUCCUCAAGCAAUAAAAAAAAUACAAACCAACAAUGAUCCAAAAUUUGAAAAUAAACAUAUGUAGCAUUUCAACUUCAUUUCCUAAAAACAAAGUAAAUAACCAUUAUGCAAUUAUUCAAUUAAGUUCAAGUACUCAUAAUAUCAAGUAAAGGAGAGCCAAUUAUACCGUAAUUAUAACAAGUUUAAUUCAAUUUCUCAUUCUUACUUAAUUUCAUACGCAAGUAACUCAUAUGGUCAAUAAUAUGCUUCCUAAACUCAUGAUCUUUUUUUUAUUCAAAUUUAAAAAGGGAUUUAUUUAUAUAAUAUAGCUAAAUAUUACUUAAGUUGUGAAAGUAUCUUUUUACGCGAGGAUCGACAUUUUUAGAUGAAGAUCACCGGUUACUCAAUACUUCACAUACUCAAGUUGUUUUGCAUACUCUUAAUUCAAGUACCGUUUUACGUGAAAGUCGACAUUUUUAGAUGAAGACUCCCGGUUACUAAGUACGAGAAUCAUUGGAGUAGAAUAAAUCUUAUUCAUUUUUUUUUCUUUUUUCAUUUUUUCUUUUCAUUAUUUUUCAUUUUUCUCUCUUUUUUUUUUUAGUAAAAAUAAUAAACAUUCCCUCAAUUGAUUAAUCAUGAGAGGAGUGUUGCAAUUACUGACCAUAUUUAUCACUUAACUUAUAAAAUCAAAUGAAGCGAAGAAAUUUCAUCAAAUAUGCAAAAAAAUAUAGGCAUAAUUUUCUCCACUUUAAAAGAUAUACUUUUUUACAAAUGCAAAAAUUAUAAUCACAUAAUAGUCAUUUCCAAGUUAAAUGAGAAAAGAAGUGCUUAAAUCACAUAUAUUUAUUUCAAAUGUAGAAGGAAUUUGAACUACUAAUGGUAUGGAACUUGUUACCCCUUGGAUAAAAUCGAAAAAACUUUAAACAUUUUUGGGGCAAGUUUGCAAUUUCGGACAAGAUUUUAGAAAAAUUGUGAAUUUUAACACAAGUCUCAUAUUUGCAACUAAUAAGUCAAUCACAUACAAUGUAUAUAAUCUCAAUUCUCCCCCCACACUUAACAUACACAUUGUCCUCAAUGUGUAAAAAGGAAAAUCAAGAUAAAGAAAGUAAUACUCCCCUAUGAUGUGAUUGAAUAUGAAGUAUCAAGGUACGUUGUUCACCUGUCUUCAUCGCUUCAUGAAUUCCAUUUGGUAACCAUUAGUGAUAUAAACUUAAAAAUGGAAAUUGAGAAACAAAAGUGAUAACAAAGGCUUAAGAAAACAAAAUGGCGAUCCGUAACUUCAAGUCUUUGUUUUGGUGAUGUACCUAUAUAAAAUACACAAUAAACUAUGCAAGGUAUAAUAAAAUACAUGAGGCAAAGAAAAAGAAUGCGCAAGAAUGUCAUGUUUCCUUCAUUCUGGGGCAGAAUUGAAAACGUUGCUUACGUUUUCAAAACGUGGCAUAAAACGUGGCUCGAUGGAGCGUUUUCAAAACGUGGCUCGAUGGAGCGUUUUCUGCCACAUUUUCUGUUGCAAAUUUUUGCAGAAAUGCCAACUUUGAAAAAUUACACAUCUUUCUCCAAUUACUCAAAAUGCAUCAUAGAUCAUUAUUUCGACAAAAUUAUCAAUGCACGCACAUGUAAAAUGAUCAAAACAUGCAUUCUAAACCUCUUUAAUGCAUCAAAAACCAUAAUUACUGAAUUUGAGGUGUUGAGAUCUUUGAUCAAACUUCGCAUUUUUCACCUCAUUUGGUCACUUUUGCAUCUUUUUCCAAAACCUACAAAUGAAAAAUAACAAAAUAACUCAAACUCAUACUUUAAACAUAAAAUCACUCCAAAGUAACACGAACUUAAACAAAUAUUGGGUUGCCUCCCAAUAAGCGCUUCUUUAAAGUCAAUAGCUUGACUAUUUCACCUCAUUUUUCAAGGAGGUUUAGUUAACGAAUAAUCCACCAUUUUUGGCCUUGGUGGAUCAUUGUAAGGUGACUUAAUAGAAAAAGUCACAUGAUCUAAUAAUCUGAGAGAUGGAAGUGACUUAUAUAUUCCAAAUGUUUCAUAGAUAUUACCUUGAAUAUGCACCACUUGAGAACUUACCAAAGGAAAUGUCAUGAGAGUAUCUUGGGCAGGAAUACCUUUAGAACCUAUACUUUCAAUGCACUCCUCAAGAGGGGUGAAAAACGAGUCGUUAAAACUCUCUUCUUGAGGUUCAAAGUUAGUUCCAAAGAUAUUAUCAUGUGAAAUGGAUAUUUGCUCAUUGAAACACAAUUGAGAUUCAUCAUUUUCAUUAAAAUGCAACCCAUUUUCACAUACAACAUUCCCACCAUUCAUGCUAGGAUCAUUUUGCAAAUUAUUAGAGGAAAUAACUUCACACAAUGCAUUCAAUUGCUCAAGUAUUCUACCAAAGUGAGAAGCGUAUUCAUCUAUUCUUUCCUCAAUCCUAUCAAAACGGUCGAAAGUUGCAUUUGCUAGCUUUUCUAUUGCUGAAUCAAAUUGAUUAGAAAAAUUUUCUACAGCUAGCUCCCAAGAUGCAUUAGAAUCAUUAGCUAAUGGUUCACUUUCUAACUCCCAAGGCAGAGGUGCAUUAGCUAACUUCUCUAUUGCCAACUCCCAAGAUGGUUUUGAUUCAUAUUGGACACUUCCAGGUUGGUAAUCAUAAAAACAUGAAUAAUCACUAUAAGUACAUUGAUCAUCCCAACCAUAAGCAGGAGAAUUGCUCCAAUUAGCACUAUAUUGAUCAAAAUAGGGAUUGUAAUGCUCUAAUUCAUCAUAAUAAUCCACAUUUUGUGCUUGUCUACAUGUAUUAGAAGCAUGAUAACCUCCACACAAGUCACAAAUCCAAUGAUAAGAAUUAAAAGCAUUAGCAUUCCUCCCUUGCUUAAUUUCAUGCAUAAUUGUGUCCAUUUGAACUUGUAACAUCAUAACAUCAAAUUUAGCCUUUAAGCACCUUAAACCAUCUUCAAAAGACAUACAUUCAGUAAAUUCUUGGUUACCUCUAUUGAAGGAGCUUUGCACUUGGUAACCAUCCAUUGCCAAUCUUCCACUUCUCAAACUUUGUCCUCCAAAUUGACCUACCCUUCUCAUUACCUAAAAUUGCUUUUAAACAACCUCAAAAGCAAAAUUAGUAAGAAAAAUAGGUAAUGAAACACAUACACAUAAAAUACAAAAAAUAACAGAAAAUAACAUUCAUAUUAUAACUAAUAUUAUGUCUAAACUAAUAAAGUUGCUCUUCACACCGAUAUUGCCAAAUCAUCCCCGGCAACGGUGCCAAAAACUUGACGGGUAUUUUACAUACGUGCAAGCUAAAAAAUACCGAAUUGCACCCGUUCACUGCAAGUAUACAGAUCAACUAGUAGUUUAGGGUAUAUAUCGGGUCGAUCCCACAGGGAAGAGUGAACAAUUACCGGUAUUACUAAAGCUUCUCUAUUAUUUAGACUAUCAAUAAAUUAUAACAAGUAAAACCUACUGAACUUAUGCAAGAAAAUAACAAAUGAAAGCUCCUUAGAUUGUGGUAUCCCUAACUACUCAUACAAGUGCUAUUUUUUGAUCAUUGAGUACUACAUCUAAGCUAGUUAUGGUAUAAUUUCCUUAUGCAUUUGAAUCCUACUUUCGUAGUGAAUCAAUUAUACUCAUAACUAAUCCAUACCUAUUCUCAUGGUUAUGAAAUUAGUUACAAGUUCAUUUCUUCAAUAAAAUUACAUAAAAUUAAUCACCAAAACCCCAUAGGUGCACCUCUACUCUCGUGAGUGUACUCCCCAUGUUUAGCACUUAUUGAACUAAUAUUAAAUCUCAAUUUUCAUUACAGAAAUAACACCUUAGAUAAUCACAAUUAAUGGUACCAGAUUAAUCAUGAUUUAAAGAGCUAAAGUGCUAAAUAACUUGCUCAAAUUAUGGCAGUCAAUUAGCCAAAUAAUAAACACUAACAAUCAUAGAAAGUUCAACCAAACUCAAGGUAUAAACUUUAAAGACACAUAUUAAAUAUAAAAUCCAGAACUUGCAUAAUAACCAUAGUUAAGAAUCCAAUACAAAAGAUAAAGAAUUGGAGUAGAGAUAACCCAUGUCACUUGAGCUUCAACUCCUCCUUCUUCAUCUCCAUCUUCAUCCUAAUCUAGCUAUUAUACAAGAAUGGAUUAACUACACUUACUACACUAUCCUACACUAAGGAAAUGGAAGAACUACAUUUCUGCACUUCAAGCUCUCUCCCGUAUGUUUUUUUUUGUCUUCCCAAAUGUCUCUGCAUAUAAGCUGAUGAAAAUCUCCUCUCUAGCCCAAAAUUUCUGCUCUAAUGAUUCUCAAUUCUCCAUUUGUUAAGGAAGUAAAAAACAAUGACUUUUGACUUGGAAUAAGCCAUAUUGUAUGCUCUUUUUGUCUUCUGAAGCAUGUGCACCGAAUUCACUUGCAACUUAUAGCUGGAAAGUAGUCUGAACACAAGAGAAUUGACUGAACAAAUUGCAAAAUUUCGGCCAGAAAACGCGCCUACACAAAACGCGGUUACAAGUCACGUUUUGUGUACUCGCGUAUUCACUUUGGCCUUACUUCAUCUGUGAUUUUCUCUAUCAUAAAGGCCGAACUGGCUUUUGUACAAAACACAAAAGGUGUAGCCCUUUGAGUUAUCUUUUCAAUGCUUCAAGAAUCAUCCAAAUCGGAGCUUUGUAGCCUGAGAUAUGAUCACAAUACUAAACACUGGUCAGAGCUCUGUUUUCCACUUUGGACAGCUGAGUUGAAUUUCGGUAUUUCAACUUUUGGGCUAUGAAAACGGCUGAAUUGGACUUUGAUGUCGUCAUACCAAAUGUAGAUCUCUUUCUUAGCUUUAAAUUGGUAUAAAGAUCACCUCAAUCUGAUCAAUGUAGCUCCAGAUAUAGUCGAAAUACUGAAGAGUGUCAAAACUGUCUUGACUUGCAUUUCCUUACUUAAACGUUUUUCACUUCAUUUUUCUUUUUACCACUUUGAAUUCAUCACCAAAUCUCUAUUUUUCACUUCAAUUGGCAUCCUUUGGUGGUUGAAUCAUCAUUCCUGCAUAAAAAUGAAGUUUUUACUAUUAAAAUCAAUAGAAAUGCAAUAUUAGCCACUUUUACCAAAAAUGUAUAUUUUUACCAAAACCUUAGUUAUUUUAAUUAUAAAACUAAAUAAUCAAACCAAAUUAACUAAUAAAAUGCACUUAAAAAUACGUAAAAUAAAUCCUUAUCAACUCUCAUCGUCAUCAUGAUCGAUAAUCAUCUGUGAAGGUAAUUCUUCACUCAUUCGAGAAGUCAAUUGCGUUAUUCUAGAUGUCAUUUGAUCCAUUUGAUCUGCCAAGUUACGCAUGCUCGCUUGUGUCUCCUGAUGAAAUUGAUAUGUGUUAGUAGCUAAUAAUUCAAUCAUUUCUUCAAGAGACAUACCUGACAUAGAUGAUGGUUGUUGAGACUCUUGCUGUUGAAAACCUAUUGACCUUUGUUCAUAAUUAAAAUUGGAAUCAUUCCACCAUCCUUGAUCAUACCCAUUUGAAUAAGGGUCAUACCAUGUUUGAUAUUGAGGUGAAAAAUCUCCAAAACUAUCGAUUGGAGCACCUGGGCCAUCUUGAAAUGCGGGAUAUAUGUCAGUUGAUUGACCUGAGGCAAAAUAAGUUCCACAAUUCGCAACAGCCUAUUGAUCAUUAGAAAAAGCAUGAGUCUCAUAACCCCAUCUAGAAAUAAAAUCCACUCUAUCACCAAAAUACAAAAUAUUAGUAGCCAUAAAAAAAAAGAUGAACUAAAAAAGAAACAAAUUAAUCAAGCGCCAGUCCUCGGCAACGGUGCCAAAAAUUAACAGGUGCCGAACCUGUGCAAUAAUAAAUCACUACUCGAGAGAAAUACAAACUUUGCAUAUAGUGGUGAGUAGGGUCGAAUCCACAAGGAUUGGGGAUAAUUCGUUUCUUCUAAAAUUCAAAGUAUGGGGGUUUUCAGGAUUAAAUGCUAACUAAUUAAAUGUAAAAAAUAAUUAAUUAAAAGAAAUAAUUAGAGAAACUCUAGCCAAGGGUACACUUCAGAAAUGGUUCAUGCACUGAUCAUCGAUUCACAGAUAAUUCCAACAUUUAUUAAUAGAUUAGUUAUAAUUGUCAUGCACGCGAUAAACAACCAACCUUUCCUUAAUUUCUCAAUAGUUAAGGUACUACCGUUAACUAUUUUUCUAACCCGGAAACAACCCUAGGUAUGACCGUAGGAUUUAAUUUCUAGAUUGCAUUAAUAAUUAGAAAGGCCCAAUCCUAACUAACAAAUAUGCUACGAGGGUUUGUUUAAACUAGAUCGUAUGUUCCCCUGACAUAAACCCAAUUAUGCCAGUUGCUACUGGGAUGGAGAUAAUCGAACAAUUACGGAUUCAACUACCCCCAAUUAGCAAAUAGCCUACGUGAAUAAUUAAAUAUUGCGCACCUAUUCAAUCAUACACGAUAGCUAUACCAAUAAUUAAAAGUAGAAAACAUAUAAAUACCAAUAAAUGAAGGAAAUAAUUAAAAUAAUUUAGAUCUCACAGUAAUUGCCGAACCAAAUCUUCAGUUGUCCUUUGACUAGAAUUAAGAAGCUGGUUCUCCAUGAAUUAAGAAGCUAGUUCUCCAUUAAUGGAGAACCAGCCGUGCGGAAAUAAAACAAUCGGAGCUUUCUAAUGUUUUCAGAUGGGAAAAGGAAACUAAAGCUGAGCCCCCCAAUUACACGUGAAUCUGGCCCUUUUAUAUCUUCAGUAGCCGCCGCCCCCGAGAAAGCUAACGUCUGACCUUAAAAAGCAAAAGCUAAGCUAAUGACUAAAUGCCCCUCCCGUAAAUCUGGCUUUUUUCCUCCUUUAUAGCGCCGCCAGGAGCCAAGAAAACGUUUGACCCAAUUAACGAAACCAAAGCUAAUCUUUUGGAGCUUUAAUUCCAUGCUUCUCGCGGUUCACGUGAACCCAACCUUCUAAUUGCCCACUUUUGUUGCUGCCAAGCCCGCUGGUCCGGCCUUUAGGUGAGUCUCCUCAGUUUCUGGCGUGAGCACGCUCUGAAAUGAAGGGUCUUCUGGAAAUUUGCCUCAAGAGAUUACUUUUAACACCAACCACCUACAAUUCAUACAAAUAUCAAAUAUGAGUAAAAUCUUAAUACUUAGCACAGUAAGUAACCAAAAUUAGGACAAAAUAACAGUGCAAAAUGUGCCCAAUAAUUGCUCUAUCAUGGAGGCAACAAAAUAAAUCAAAAUGUGGAAUCUCUUAUCUAUUUAAGUAGUUUUGUUAUGUCUUACUUGUACCUAAAACUAUUACGUUCUACAAUUAAAGCAUAUGGUUAUUGUUAUGAGCUUGUAACUUCGAUUCCUUAGCAUCAACUUGCGUUUAGUUUUAGCUGAGUAUCAAGCUAUGCAAAACAUACUUAGAUAAGUUUGGUAUACACACCGAAUUGCAUUCACAUAUUAUAAUUCCACCUAUAAACAGCAACUCUAAAUUAUAAUAUUUUUAAACAAUAGAUACAAACAUGAAAAUCGUUAAAAUUAAAGAGGUAAAUUAGUCAUUAGUUUUGCUUUUGUCGCUUAAGUUGUACAUCACUUAGUAUAGAAUUUUCCAUGUAGUAUAUUUCAAAGCACAUAAACAUAAUAAUGUUUGAUGAUAUAAGAAGAGCUUAGAUGAAAAUAUAUAAUAAUAUAAGAAAAGUCAUGUAAAUUGAAUAUAAUAAUAUUAGUUAAAGGUAUUUGCAUUUUACAUGGUAUGGGCUUCCUAAGGAAAUGUCAAGAAUAUUCUUAUUUGACAACUAAAAUGAUUGAAGUGACCAAAAUAAAUAAAUAUAAUAUGCAUCACAUUUUAACCCGUCAUGGUUUUGUGUUUUAUUACAUAAUCCCAAUUAUUUUAGUGCUAUACCACAUAACCCUCAUAUGAUUUUUAAAAUACAUAACCCCCUAUGGUUAAUUAAUAAUUUUAGAUUUUAUAGAUAUUUUAAUUGAUUUCAUUAUGAAAUACAAAUAUAGUCAUUUUGACACUUUAGUUCAAAUUAUGAGAGGAUUAUAUAAUUUUUUCAAAAAGUCUUGCAUCUCCUUGUUCCAAGAAUGCCCUUGAUUGCCUGCUAUUUGAACUCUUUUCGGAUAAUUGUCAAAUUGGUCCUUAUUAUGGUAUUUUCGUUCUACUCCCUGAAAUAUAUGCAAAUUACGAAAAGUGAGUAGAAUCCAGCAAUUAAUCCACAUCAAGUCAGACAAUAGGGGAAAUUAAUAAUAAAAUAAAUGAUAAAAUUGCGCGCUAUCAUUAGUCAUUAGUUUGUUUUUGUCGCUUAAGUUGUACAUCACUUAGUAUAGAAUUUUCCAUAUCGUAUAUUUCAAGGCACAUAAACAGAAUAAUGUUUGAUGAUAUAAGAAGAGCCUAGAUGAAAAUAUACAAUAAUAUAAGAAAAGUCAUGUAAAUUGAAUAUACUAAUAUUAGUUAAAGGUAUUUGCAUUUUACAGGGUAUGGGCUUCCUAAGGAUAUGUCAAGAAUAUUCUUAUUUGAAAACUAAAAUGAUUGAAGUGACCAAAAUAAAUAAAUAUAAUGUACAUCACAUUUUAACCCGUCAUGGUUUUGUGUUUUAUUACAUAAUCCCAAUUAUUUUAGUGCUAUACCACAUAACCCUCAUAUGAUUUUUAAAAUACAUAACCCCCUAUGGUUAAUUAAUAAUUUUAGAUUUUAUAGAUGAGUACUUUUGAUAUUUUAAUUGAUUUCAUUAUGAAAUACAAAUAUAGUUAUUUUGACACUUUAUUCCAAAUUAUGGGAGGAUUGUAUAUAAUUUUUUCAAACCACAAGAGAGUUAUAAAUUUACUAAUAUUUGGUUCCCAUGUGAGGGCCAUAUUUAUUGUCAGAUAGUCCAUUAGCGUAGGUCCAUAUGACAAUUUGGAAGUAUUGAUGACUUGAUGUCAAGAGGCUUGAACUAAAAGACUAUUUUUUUAAAAAAAAAAAUCAAAAAAACUACUUUCAUUUAGUCCAAACAAAAUACAAAAAAAAAAAACGUACUAAAAAUUUUCAAAUAAUUUAAACUUAAAGUUUGGUGCUACUUGGACUUUUCUAAAGUGCUAUAAAAACGCAGCAGGUUCACGACAGAAAACAGUAGACUAUUGAGAGGUUGUAUCCAGGAAGAUUUAUUAAGGAUUAAAAUUGAAUCCUACAAUUCUCAGACAGUUUAGUAAUUGCCCUUCACUUUCUUCGUCCUAUGAGUCUGGAGUGGAGUGCUGGUAGUGGUCGACAGUGGAGGGAGUAGAGUGGUGGUUGUGGGGAGGGAGGGAGGAGGGACAAUGUGUUUGGGGCCCGGGGGAGGGGGGGGGAGAAAAGAAAAAAAAAAUUUUUUAAAAAAGAAAGUUUUUUUUUUCAUAUUUCUUAAAUACCUAACUAUACAGAAGUUUUUUCACAAAUUUUAUAAUAAAUUACAACAAAAUUUUAUACAAAAAACCAAAAAACUCACCAUUUAAAUGGGGGUAUUGGUUUGACAAAAAAAAAAAAAAAUGGGGUAUUGGAUAAUCAGAUAACCCUUCUUCUUAUAUUAGCUAGGGUCACAAAGCUCAAGUUAUUUCCAUGAUUUCAAUGUGUUUCUCUUGGAUUCUAUCUCACAUAUAUUAAUUGCUGCGUUGGUUUUGUACUUGAUGUCCAUUUUGGGUAUAAGUUGGGCGAAUAAAAGUAUAAUUAGAAGGUGAAUAUGGGAACAGAUAUCUGUUACAAGGUUGCAGAAACCUUCAGAAGGACCCUGCAGAUGAUAAUCUUGCAAAAAAGGGUAGCCCCUAGAGGAUAUCUCUUAUAAUUUCAAGAUGUGAUGAUAAGGUUAGAGCAAUGGGCAUUAGCACACUGAUCGUUCGGACAUACGUUGGGAGCAUUGUUUAAGGCUUCCAUCAAUUGAGUAUGAUACAUCUUAUGCUUUAAGAACUAAAGUAGAACAAAUUAUAUAUAUAUAUAUAUAUAUAUAUAUAUAUAUAUAUAUAUAUAUAUUUAGAACUAAACAGUGAAAAAUUUCACUUAAAUUCAAUAGAUUUUAUGUUUUAGAUAUAAAAGUGUCUCAUUUUCAAGUUUAGGCACCAAACUAGGGAUUCAACUAUAGUUAAACGGCACAACAUAGAAUUAACUCCAAGAGGAAUUUUUUAGUUAUCUGGAAAGAGAAAUAUUUUAUAAAUCAGUCCCCUCCUUAUUGGUGGCUUAAAUUGAACACGGCAGGCUACUAGUGCCCAAAAUGCAUUUAACGUCAUCAUCGCUAAUACGGACGGAUUGUGGUGGCCGGGGUUGGCAGUUGGGGGGACAGUUGACAGUGCCACUGGCGUGCUUCAAUUUGCCACCAUGACAGUGCCAUCUCAGCUGCCCUACUCUAAAAGAAAAGGAAAUGAAAAAAUCUAAAAAUAAUAAUAGAUGUCUAAUGAGUAAUAACAAAUAUAUAUCCUUAAUAUUUUAUUAUUUAUUAAGAAAAAAUAUUAUUUUAUUUAUUUUUUAAAAAAAUAAAAAUAUUUUUUUUUUAUUUUUUUCUAGCUCGAGCUCGACCUUGAAAUUGUCAGCUCGUCGAGCUCGAGCUCGAGCUCGAGUUCGAGUUCAAUAAAAUUAAGUCAAGACUCGACUUGAUUAGGUCAAAACUCGACUCGACUCGACUCGUUUGCAACCCUAGCAUCAAGUCAGUCUCAGCAAUCAAUAGCACUUAAAUGGUCCCAUGAUUAGGCGUGUCAAUUGAGAUUUUUGAGCUAGACUUUGGUAAGCCCAAGCUCAACUCACAAAUAAUGUGUGUUUGGAUAUCAAUUUUUUUUUUUUUAUCAAAAUACUAUUUUACUUGCAUAACAAUUAUAAUUUUCAAUCAACUCCGUAUGUUCCUAAUAACUUUUUUUAUCUUACAUAUAUCACAUUAUAAAAAAUGUUAUAGUAAUUAUUUCAAAUAAUCUCCUAUCCAAACACACUCAUCAUAAUUUUAUUAUAAUUUGCACUAAUGAUAGAAGUUACAUCAUCAAUCAUACACCAACAUUAAAGAACAGAUCUAAGAAGUACGGAGACUACAUAUUUGAAGAAUAAAUAAAAAUUAAAAUAAAAUAAUUGUAACUUUAAGAACAUUUGUGCAUGCUUCCAAUCCAAAUGAAGAUGCUUUAAUCUAGUGUAAAUUUUGCUGCAAGGUAGGGAAAAUGAAAUAAAAUGUUCAAUUUGGAAUGAAACACACAUACAAUUAUCACAAUGUAGAUUCCAUAUUAACUUGGCCUAAUAAUAGAGUAGGUAAAAGUUCGCCCGUUAGAAGAUUUCUGUUAGCAUGGUAGAUUAACUUGCAUAAGAAAGAAAAAGUUUUAUAUAAAAACAUGUAUACAAAAAGGUUUAAGUCAUAACUAAGUAUUGUUGGACUGUCAUACUAAUAGCUUAGAACUAACUUGGAACCACCUGAAGGGAUAUAAAUUUCUAUCUGAGUUGUAAACUUGUAAUUUGUAAGUCUUGAAGGUCUUGAUCUUACACAUUUGAAUUUAAAAAAUUUGAAGUGGGUGCCACUACACCCUUCUAAUCUAAACGGGCUCCAUAUAUAACACAGUUGGGGGUAAUAUAUGUGCUCCCAAUUAUUAAAAAGCAAACAAAAACCUUACCAGCAUUUUGGUCCUAUGUGAGGGCCACAUCUAAUGUGAGAUUGUCCUUAAGCAUAGGUCCAUACUACAAUUUACAAGGAUUCAUGACUUGAUGUCAAGAGGGUUGAAUUAAGACUACUUUCUUGUAUGCUUAAAAAAAAGACUACUUUCUUGUACACCAAACAAAAUAUCGAAAAAACAUAUUUUCUAAAAAGUUUAUUGGGAUGAUUUGAACCCAAGGCUUGGCACUACCUGGACUUUUCUAAAGUGCUGUAAAUUUUUUUUGUUUGGGAUAUUCACAGCAAUGAUGGCUGGAUCACCUCAACCUACUUUAAUUUGCAGCCUGCCGACUUUUCUGCCCUGCCUUAAAAGAAAAGGAAAUUAAAAGUACUUAGAUAUUAAGAAAUGUCAAAUAAGAAACUUUACCUCUUGUGCAGUCAAAUUGGACAGAAAGCAGCUUCGCUCUAACCUAAACUAGAAGAAAGUAAAGUGACUAUUUUGAAACUACACAGAUUGCAAAAUCUUAAGUAAUAGAUUACCAAAGGAAAUUUACCAUCUAUUUCUUUUUCGUUCUGCUGAAAGUAGUUUAACCAGCAUGAUUUCAAGCCACAGUACUCAACACAACUUGAAUAGGCUCACGGCGAUGGAUCCCUUCGUGGACUUGACUCGAGUACGCAGCAGGUUCAGUGCAGUGAAGGGUUAAUCCAAGGAAUUAUAAGGAGAAAGUUUCAUUGAGUUCCUCACUCCACCACCAGUUUAGCAGUUACUCUUCACCUUCAGCGUCUCUGAGUCUGGCUCAUUUGUUUAUCAAUUUUGUUUGUUAUUCUGUCAGGCGCACAGAGUCUGCUGAAGUCAAGUCCAACGAGGAGUCCAUUAUCUUGAGCCUAGCUACUGUCUUCAAAUGAGCACAUUUUUUGAUGAAUUAUUUCAUUUUUAUCUGUCAAAAUAUAUAUAAUCUUUUAUGUAUGAAGUUGAAACUACUAAUUAAGUUCGUAUAUUUUCAAAAGUUAUCUUCUUAAACAUAUAAAACCAUUAUAUACAUGUAAUUAGGAAUACGAAAGUGAUACUUGAACUCCCAAAUUACUCUUUUGCAUUCGCUGAUGGCAUUUCAUUGAGUGAAUAGAUUAAUGUUAGAAAGGCUAACAUAGGAAUGCGAAUAUCACUCAUCACUACAAGAAAAUUACCAUUUAAUGACACUAAAAAAUGCCUCUUUUUGUAUGUUUUAGUGACAAUUUUUAAUCUAAUAGCAUUUCCCCCGAGUGUUGGCAAUAUCACUGCCACUAUAGUCUAGUGACACUUGAAAAGUGCCACAAAAGAGUUACUAUGAUAACAUUUUAACAUUUCAUUGUACUAGGGAUAUGUGUCAUGAGAAGAUGCCACUAUGUCAUUUUUUUUGGGUGUUUGCGAAUGCCAACAAUUUAAGUUUUGAUACAACUUUAAAUGCGACUAUUUAAAACUUUCCUGUCACUUUGAAAUGCCACUAAAAAAUUAAGAAAAUAAAAAAAUAAUUUGAAAUUAAAAAUCAAAGUACUCUUAUUGAUCCGGGUAAUUAAUUACAACUCAAGAAAAUGAAAGUUUCGCCAUUUAAACAAGUCACUAACUAAUAAAUCUAGCAAGAAAUUAUAUGACAACAAUAUAAACAAAUUCAUGCAUUUUACAAAUGAAACAUGUCUAAAGACAUUAAUCUUUUAAGCUGAUAACUUGGAAAAGAUCAUGUCUUCUUUGCUUCAUUAAUCUCUCAAAUGCUAUGUAAUCUGCAUUACAAUGAAUAUAUUACCUCUUCUCAAGGAUUAGUUAGUAAAAAUAUUAACUCAACUCAAGAUAUUAGCAAUAGUGGUUGAAAAAUUAACAAUGAUCAAAGUGGGAAGUAAAAUGGGGCACCUUGAACUUGCCAUAGAGAAACUAAAGGCAUUCCAACAAAGAAACCUCAACACUCGCCAAUAUUUCUAAAAUAAAAAAGGAAAUAGUACCAAUCAAUUUAGAUUUAAUCCUAAAACUUGAGAAAUAGAGUAAAUAAUCUAGUAUUUCCUAAUGCUUGACCAUAUUUGAACCUACAACCACACCUUUUGGUCUGCCUAGAAAUCAUACAUCACAAAACCAAUAUCUCUUACAAAGUGAAUGGGAUGUUGGCACAUUUCACUACAUAAUAAUUAACUGAUAACAACAUGCACUGCACCCUUCAUUAUUUUUUGGGGGCAUUGCACCAAAAUACACUACAAGAAAAUUGCGUUUCUGUGACAAGCGAAAGUCGUCACUAAAAAUUCAGAAGUCGUCACAAAAAAAGUCAGUGACGACUUUUACUGCUGUCACAGAGCUGUCACUAGUUCUAUGUCACAAAAGGGAGUCCAUGUGACGACUUUUGAAAGUCGUCACAAACGAUUUCGCUUUUGUGAUGACUCUUGUCGUCACUCAUUGUUGUACAUUUUGUGACGACUUUUAUUGUCACUAAGCUGGCUAAAUUCUUGUCAUAGUCAACCCUUGGAAUUGUCACAUUAUGCUUCCGUUCAGUGACGACUUUUGUUGUCAUUGUUUUCCAUCCAUAAAAAGUGACGACUUUCUAGUGUCACUAGUAAAACUUGUUGGCAGUGACAACUUUUUUAUUGUCAUUUAUUUUUUGUAAAAAGCAAUAAGCUAAUGUUAAUUACGCAACAUAGCUGCCAACAAUCACAAAACGUUCAUUGAGUACCAAGGAGAAAAAAAAAGCCAACAUACGAAAAGAAAACCAACAUUCAUUUCCAAUAGAAGAUCAACCCAAAUACAUAUAUAUAUAUAUAUAUAUAUAUAUAUAUAUAUAAAUGUUGCCUCAAAUGAGUCAUAAACCAUGCACCAUCCAAAAUAAGCCAUUCAGUUACAAUACUAGUGAUUUCCCAUCCACAAUAGAGAGUAGUAAAGUUCUAUACAAAAAUAUGAGCACGAUUCUCAUCUAGAACAAAACAUGAGCACGAUAGGCCUUGUAGUCUUCAAUUCAAAAACCAUCUUCACAGCAAUGACUGGCUUCUUCUUCUUGGGAAUCGUGUUAGAACCUACACGUUACCAAAAUUGAAGCAAUGAGCACUGGUGUUAAAACUGGAACUACACUUCUAGAUAGGCACCAUAUUAUAAAAACUAAUGUCACUCUAAUUUGAAAUUAUAGCAAUUUAAGUAAAUUGCUUAACACAAAAAUAGAGUGAAAUUAUAUAUAUUGAAUAGUAAGCAAGAACAAACCAUUGACAGUUAAUUGCGUACUACGAAAGUAUACAACUAAUCUAUUUCUCUAUUGAAUCUUUCUUGUGGACCAAGAAUAAAAGCGUAGCUUGAUAAAGGCACUAUUAAACUUUGUACAACUAUAAAAUCUCGAAAGUUACCCAAAGUAUAAAUCAAACAACAUUGUUGUGAUUAUUAUUCUGCAUUUUCAUGAAGAGCAUGUCCGAACCUCAAACUUUUAACUAUUCUUGAUCACAGAUGAAACAGGAAGCUAAAAAACCAACUUUUUUUUUAGGGUGGAUCACUUAAAAAAUGGAAUGACAAUUGAUUUAGGGGUGCAAAGUUUAUUAUUUAUUGAAAGAUUUUCUUCAGAGCUUAGGCAACUUCAGCUGUCAGUAUUAUGAGGUCCAUUAAUUGUGGAUGAGAUACAACAUGUGGUAGUAGCUUGGUGGAAGAUUCCACUAACACAGUAACCUUGGAAAUUAGCUCUGGAAUGGGACCUGUCCCAGAAGUGUUUUUGCUGAUCUACUUGUAUCUAGUAUAGGCUUUGCUUUACUAUGUAAAUCUACAUUGCCCCCCCCCCCAAAACACACAAAACACCAAAAACGCCACCAAAAGAAAGGAUCAACUAAGCAAAUGCAUAUAUUCAUUUAGCCCAAUCCGCCAUAUUUUUUGUUUCAAGAAAGCUCCAAUGUGGUGGAGUACAACUGAACCACGUUCAAGAGUUCUAAGAGAACUUUCUAGUUUACAUUGGAUAUUAUGUGCACAUCAAAACUCCUUAAUCUCUAUUAACAAGAACAUGUUCACUUCAGAAUGAGAAAGUAUUAUGUGCAUAUCUAAUCUCAGAUAUAGAUUUUCAGUGAUAAAAGGAUUAGGCCCUAACAAUAAACUAACCACAGAAUGAGAUGCAUUCAGGACAAACUUACUUCAGGACUAAUGUACCACUUGCUAUCAGGACUUCGAUGAGGAUGUGAAUCAGAAUUAAUGAGCCCAUAAAGCAAACCACGGCUCACAUUAAUCCUAUUCAAGGAGGCCAAAAUUUCAUCCACCCGAACAAAUGCAUCAUCGUCUGUCUUCAUGACAAAUUUUGCUGAAACAACCUGUGUCUGUUCAAAAGAUUUAAGUCAAAGAGGCACUCGAAACUUUCCAUGAGCUUUAAAGAGACAGGACAUUACCCCAAAUACGCAUAUAGCUAAAGUCUUCCAUGUGAUAAGGCUAUAGUAGUCAACAAAUGGCAUCAGUUGGAUGUCACCAUAAGUUUUCGCCUCGUUCCAUAGCUCCUCAUUCACCACCUGGUUUUUAUGCUACAAAGCAGAGGUGACACUUUCAUCAUAUUGUCCAACAAAUGGCAGGUUAAAAUUCAGAAGUCAAAUGCUUGGGACAUGACUGAAAAAAAUGGUAUAUGUUUAACUAAUACAAUGAACCGCUCUUCCAUGAAGCAACAAUUCUUUUGUAAAAAGAGACAAAGUUGUUCCCUUUAAUAGUGCCUAUCAAAGAAUCUCAUCUCUUCAUUAUGGCUCACCUGUGCUGUUGAUGCUAUAUUCUAGAAUCAAGCAUGUAAACUCAAGAACUACAGUGUGCAAAUGAAUUGCUAAAAAUUGGUAGAGUUUCAGGAUUUGGACAUGUCCUAAUCCUGUUUCUAGAAGUAAUAGUUCACAUCAAUGGCUGCAGAUAUGCAUGCAGCAGUACUUGUGAUACUUUCUCCCAUUUUGUAGGGCAGAGCAUGUCAUACCCUUCGGGGAAAAAAAAAUCUCACAAUGUGUAGUUAUUAGAAAGAAAGCUAUGAAAUUCAGAGGCAGUCCUGAUAUGCUAAUCAGAUUUACAAGUUCAUCAACCAAAACUUGAGACAGGGAUAGGGAAAGAUAAAAUGCAGCAAUGAGCAUUGAACGAAUGCCCUGUUACGGCCUGCUGUUAGACCACUUGGGCAUUUCAACAAACAGUAAACGAACAUGAAAAAUUCCAGCAAUUCUUUGCUCAAAUGAAGCCACGGUUGGCCCCAAAAUCAUCAGAAGUACAAGGGAUUUCAAAUUCAAUCAUGAUAUAACAUGCGCAUGCUAAAAUUUGAACAAUCAACGGGGCAAUUGCAAUAAACGAAGCCAUGGCAGACAUGCUUAAAGGACUUGGGAAGGAACUGAAAUUCAAAGAAAAAGGGGCGACUUAUAGUGCUCUUACUUGAGCGGUGGCGACGGCGAUUAUGACGAAGCCGAAGACGGUGAGUUGGAAUUGGAAGAUGACUAGGUCUGAUUUCGUCCAAGAGCCUUCAUCUAGUGUUACAGAGAACGGUAGCAGCCCAGGAGGUUGUGCGCGGUGUUGGCGAUGGCAGGCAGCAGCAGAGCGGACGCGGACUGGUGGUGACCUGGUUCUUCCUCCUCUGUCCGUUGCCGCGUCUUUCUCUCCUGAUCUUCCCGUCAGCCGCCACUCUUCCUUCACUCUGUUUUUUUUCUUUUCACGCUCAAGGCCUCCCUUCCAAGAACCCUAGCUGCUUCUCUGCUCUUCUGUUUCUCUUUUUCUCCUCUAAAACCUAGCCGCCCUUUCUCAGGCUUCCCCCUCAGCUUUUCUUGCUCACUUGUGCGCCGCCCUUUUUUUCUCCUCUAUUUUGUUCUUUUUUUCUUGUUUUGUUCUUUUCCCUCUGUUUUGUUCUACUGCCAAAGCCCUCCUCUAUUUUCCUUCACCUGAGCUGGUGCUAAAGAGCUCGACGCGUUUGCGGGUCAAUAGAGGGGAGAAAGGGCUAUCGUCAGUGGUGAAGGAAAUGCUGAAGAAUAAAUUAUGGUGCUGGAUAGCUCGGACUUCAGCGGCUGAUGGUGGUGGAUUGCGGCGGACUUCAGCGGCUAACGGUGGCGAGCGGCAUUUCGAAUCUACGGGAAGGAAGGGUUAGUUCACCAUAGGAAGGAAAGACUGAGAAUGAAAUUUGUCUAAGUGUUGGAAGAGAGAAGCGGCGAGACUUUUGUUUGUAUGUGAACAACCAAAACGACGUCGUUUUGUAGAGAUUUCAGCCACCCGCCUGGCGCCUCUUUCAGAUUUCAGACUGGCGCUCUUUUUUUUUUGACAUCUAAGCACGUCUUUGAGAUUCCAGGAUUCACGCCUUUAGCUUCAUACAUCUUUUUUCUUUUUUUUUUUAGCCAAAUUUUUUUUUCAGGUUUCUUUUUUCAUACUUAAUCUCUUUUUUUUCCUUAAUCUCAUCUAUAAAUAUCAAAUAAAUUAUUUGAUAUUGGUUUCUUUUUUGUGCAUGUAUAUAUAUGUAUGCUUGUUUGUGUCUAUAUACAUCUUUUUGGGUUUGGACAACUCAAUAUACAUAUUAUUUAAGAAAUUACCUUACAAUAAAACUUACACAAUAAAACAUGUUUCAAAAAUUUAACAUGCAUAGAAUCGCUUAUAUACAGUAUAACACUUCUUACUCAUGCUUAUCCUACUCUUUGUCUAUUACUUAGUUUUUAUAAUAAAUUAAAAGAAACAUGUAAUCAAAUAUUCUGUUAAAUGUGUUACAACUCUCAAUCUUAUUGCACGACAGAUAUUUUACUGAAUAAUUUUAAUUUCGUAUAUACCCAUUCCAUAUGAAAAUAAUUAUUACUUAUGAUGUAUUACACGUUAUACUAAUCUUUCACAGUGCUAACAUUAGACUACAAAUUAUAUUCAAUUACACUUUUUCAAAUUAUUUCAGUUAUUGAUUUUUGGGGGUUGUUAUAAGGAAUAAUAAACAAUUCGUGAAAACAUUUUUAUGCUCAGACAUGUCUAUUAUGUCAACUUAGCAAAAAUUACAAAUAUCUAAAAAUAGUUUGUUAUUAUAUCAUUUGCAUUUUGCUAAUACGUAAUGAAUAGGGGCUAAAUUAUAAAAUUAGGGUGUCAUAUCUUCGGUGCUUUUGCUCAUAUAAAAGAAUUGGGGGCUAAAUAAUAAAAUUAGGGUGCCAUAGUAGAAUUAGUGAAAUUUGAUGAAAAUACUAUAGAAUUGCUUAUAUACAGUAUAGCACUUCUUACUCAUGCUUAUCUUACUCUUUGUCUAUUACUUAGUUUUUAUAAUAAAUUAAAAGAAACAUGUAAUCAAAUAUUCUGUUAAAUGUGUUACAACUCUCAAUCUUAUUGCACGACAGAUAUUUUACUGAAUAAUUUUAAUUUCGUAUAUACCCAUUCCAUAUGAAAAUAAUUAUUACUUAUGAUGUAUUACACGUUAUACUAAUCUUUCACAGUGCUAACAUUAGACUACAAAUUAUAUUCAAUUACACUUUUUCAAAUUAUUUCAGUUAUUGAUUUUUGGGGGUUGUUAUAAGGAAUAAUAAACAAUUCGUGAAAACAUUUUUAUGCUCAGACAUGUCUAUUAUGUCAACUUAGCAAAAAUUACAAAUAUCUAAAAAUAGUUUGUUAUUAUAUCAUUUGCAUUUUGCUAAUACAUAAUGAAUAGGGGCUAAAUUAUAAAAUUAGGGUGUCAUAUCUUCGGUGCUUUUGCUCAUAUAAAAGAAUUGGGGGCUAAAUAAUAAAAUUAGGGUGCCAUAGUAGAAUUAGUGAAAUUUGAUCAAAAUACUAUAGAAUUGCUUAUAUACAGUAUAGCACUUCUUACUCACUUUCUUACUCUUUGUCUAUUACUUAGUUUUUAUAAUAAAUUAAAAGAAACAUGUAAUCUAAUAUUUAAUUUGAAAUGUGUUACAACUCUCAAUCUUAUUGCACGACAGAUAUUUUACUGAAUAAUUUUAAUUUCGUAUAUACCCAUUCCAUAUGAAAAUAAUUAUUACUUAUGAUGUAUUACACGUUAUACUAAUCUUUCACAGUGCUAACAUUAGACUACAAAUUAUAUUCAAUUACACUUUUUCAAAUUAUUUCAGUUAUUGAUUUUUGGGGGUUGUUAUAAGGAAUAAUAAACAAUUCGUGAAAACAUUUUUAUGCUCAGACAUGUCUAUUAUGUCAACUUAGCAAAAAUUACAAAUAUCUAAAAAUAGUUUGUUAUUAUAUCAUUUGCAUUUUGCUAAUACAUAAUGAAUAGGGGCUAAAUUAUAAAAUUAGGGUGUCAUAUCUUCGGUGCUUUUGCUCAUAUAAAAGAAUUGGGGGCUAAAUAAUAAAAUUAGGGUGCCAUAGUAGAAAUAGUGAAAUUUGAUCAAAAUACUAUAGAAUUGCUUAUAUACAGUAUAGCACUUCUUACUCUUUGUCUAUUACUUAGUUUUUAUAAUAAAUUAAAAGAAACAUGUAAUCUAAUAUUUAAUUUGAAAUGUGUUACAACUCUCAAUCUUAUUGCACGACAGAUAUUUUACUGAAUAAUUUUAAUUUCGUAUAUACCCAUUCCAUAUGAAAAUAAUUAUUACUUAUGAUGUAUUACACGUUAUACUAAUCUUUCACAGUGCUAACAUUAGACUACAAAUUAUAUUCAAUUACACUUUUUCAAAUUAUUUCAGUUAUUGAUUUUUGGGGGUUGUUAUAAGGAAUAAUAAACAAUUCGUGAAAACAUUUUUAUGCUCAGACAUGUCUAUUAUGUCAACUUAGCAAAAAUUACAAAUAUCUAAAAAUAGUUUGUUAUUAUAUCAUUUGCAUUUUGCUAAUACGUAAUGAAUAGGGGUUAAAUUAUAAAAUUAGGGUGUCAUAUCUUCGGUGCUUUUGCUAAUAUAAAAGAAUUGGGGGCUAAAAAAUAAAAUUAGGGUGUCAUAGUAGAAUUAGUGAAAGUUGAUGAAAAUACUGUAGUAUACAAUGAUGCAAAAAGUUGUCACAAAAUUGGAAUCGGGUAGACUUUCAAUGACAACAAGUUAUGUUGUCACUGUAGAGAGAGCGUUUGUGACGACUUUAUUUGAGUUGUCAUAAAUUCAUUUCCCGCGGCAUCAAAUGAGAUGCGCGCCAACUAUUUCGUGACGAGUUGAGAAUGACAACUUCCAAUGUUGUCACUGAUUAUGCUUGUGCUGUACUCAUCUGUGAUGACACCUAAUGUCGUCACUGAAUUAGGUUAUCUGUGACAAGAUUUUUGUUGUCACAUAAAUUUUUGUCACUGAAAAAUAUAUUUCUUGUAGUGAUAGGAUGACUUAAUGUAAAUGAAUUCUAAUUGAUACUUAGUUGUCUAAUCACACCUACCAUUACAAUUUAGCACACAUUUUUGUUAGGACAUGGUAAACAAAGGUACUUUAUACUAUAUGAAUUUCAAAAGUCAUACAAUUAUGUUUUUGAAAUGCUAAGUAAUAUGCUUUCUUUUCCUGGCAUACUGAUUGUUCUUUUCAUUUUCAAGGUUUAUGUGAAGAACAUCAUACUAUCUCUCUUAGUCAAGUAAUACAAUUCUUUCCCUUUCUUGAUACAAAUUUCCAAAAGCAUCUCUGAACCUAGCUUGGCCAAAAAAAGAAAAGAGAUCUUGUUAUUAACACUAUGAAAGUACAAUGAUACAAUGAUUGUGAAAGAAAGAAGAUUUUAACACUAGAAUAAUUAAUACAACUGCUCAAAGGAAAGAAAAAAAUAGAAAUAACUGAUAUUUCUUAUCUUAAAAUUGUACCCAUAAUCACACAAUAUAAAAUGAUAAAACAAACAAAAACCUAUAUACUAUUGUUUUGUUCUAUGGAAUUUAGACAGGAAAGAAAGUACCUUUAAUGAUUUCUUGUGAUGGUAGACAACAAUGGAAUUGAGAUGCUAGAUGAUAGGGUUUGUGGAUAAAGAUUUGUAGAGAAUGCAAGAUUGAAAAAAUUUUAAUGAGUUUCAAUGUUUGAGGGAUUUACUUUGAUACUUAUCAGUUAAGAUAAGGAGUAAAUCAGGGAAGGAAACCCCAUCAAUUAGGCAACAAAAUCUCAUCCACUUAGCAAACUGUGUUUUUAUUUUCAUUUUUUUUAGAAAAUGCCACUAAAACUUAUGAUCCAAUGACAUCUAUAUCUAUAUAAAUUUGAGAAGUGAUUUUUAGCAACAAACCUCCACACAUCUUCCCACUACCAAUUCUAUUUUUCUAGCAUUUCACAUUUAAUUUAAUUUAUAAAAUAUUCCUCUUAACUUUCACAUCUACUUUUCACAUUUGAAAUUGUUGGUUACUUUUUAAAAUCAUUUCAUUUCAAAUUGUUGGUUAAUGUGCAUGUUAUCCUAUUUGACCUUCAACCCAUCACGUUUUCGAUUGCCUUCCGUUAUUUAUGAUUCUACUCCAAUUAAAACUUCUAUAAGACCAUAACAAGAUAUAACAUCCUUUCAUACUUUCUUAUUAAUUUAAAUAAGUAAGAUUAUUUACAUUCCAUUUUUUGUUAUUCACACUUCAAUAAUCAUUUUGAUCAUAUAGUUUUCAUUAAUUAGACGGAAAAUGGAGUGCAAAUAACAGUUUCCUAAGUAAGAAGUGGCUUCCAUGCCUUUCUAAUUUAAAUAAAUAAGAAGUGGCUCCACUUAUAUAAGAAUUUGGUUUGAAAUUUAUUAGUGGGAAGGUAAAUAAAGAGAAAACAUUGCCAAACUUAGUAAAAGUAAAAAAGUAAAUGAUAAUAUUUUAUCUUUUAACUUAGUAAUCCUAAGUAAAAGAGCAAAAUUAAAUAGAAAACAAAAAGGAAAUAAUGUCGUGGAUUUAAAAAAUCAAGAAUGGUAUCAUUCAUGAAAUCUAAAUUAUGAAAUCACUAAAUAAAAAGCCCAAUCCUAGGAUUUAAUUACUCGAUUGCAUUAAUAAUUAGAAAAACCCAAUCCUAACCAACAAACACGCUACGAGGGUUUGUUUAAGUUAGAUCAUACGUUUCCCUAACAUGAAGCCAAUCACGCUAGUCGCCACUGGUAUUAAUCAAUUAAACAAUUACGGAUUCGAUCAAUUAAUUUGGCAUUAGUUCAUUAGAUUAAUUUGAAUAUCGGGCCCUUGACAUUUAAAUAACAUAACAAGCAUAAAUAAUUAAAUCAGAAAACGUACAAAUACCAACGAAUAAAAGAAACAAAUAAAAUUUAUUCGAUCUCACCGAUAUUUGGAACCGCGCCUUCAAGUUGACCUUCGACUAGAUGAGAAACUUAGCCACGCCUCAUGAGAAAAUCUCCAAGUAAUUUAAUUGAGGUCCAGGCCAUCAAAGGAGCCAAGAAAGAAAAGAAAACUAAAACUAUGCUAAAAGCUUCGAUAAGAACUAAUGAUAAAAAAACUAUUCAUUCCAGAUCUCUAUACGUCUGCUCCUUUUUAAAGCCAAAGAGGACUAAUGCCUCUCCUAGUGCGUGGAUCCCGCCGAAUUAAGAGUCAAAGCCCAAGAAGGGAACUCUGCCGAAUUGCUUCUUGCUUCCCAUCUCUGUACGUUACUUUCUUCUUAAGAGCCAACUGACUAAUGCCCUUUUCCUUUCCUCUGUGGUCCCUGCCGAAGUCAAAGGUCCAAGCCUUGAAAUUCUCUCUGCCGAAGUCUCUGGUUGUAGUCUUCUUAGUCAACAAAAAUAAAGGAAUAGGAGUCCAGUUCUUUUCAGCACUGUGGCCUGGCCUGUGGCUCGUUUGAAGUCUCAAUUAUUUCCAAAAAAACCCUCAGGUUUGGUAGUUUUCUGUUCCCUUUCUAAAAUUAAGUCCACAAACCAAAUAUAAGUAGAUAUCCGCAAUUAACACAAUAUUUGGCAGGGAUAAAAGGGAAAAUUACUAAUAAAAUUACUAACAAUUAGCACCCUAUCAAUUCCCCCCACACCUGAACCAUGCUUGCCCUCAAGCAUGAGAACAACAAUUGAGCACCGAAAUUUAAUAAUGGCUAUUGCUCCAACUACCGUAUUGCCAAGGUACCCAGAAAAACAUAUAUCAAGGUUCACAAGUUAAGAUCCAAGAAAAAUCACCUCAAUUAGCUUCCCAACCACCAACUCCUCCAAUUUAAAGCAAACUAAUCUAAAAAAAAGGAAUGGUUGCUCACAUUUAUCAGCAAAUGGUCCAACUACUAACCAAAAUCUCGACAUUAAGAUCACAAACCGGCAAGCUGACUUAUUCACAUACUAACACAAUCUUUAUUUUAUUUUAUUUUAUUUUUCUUUUUGUUUUGUUUUUGUUUCUUUUUCUUUUUUUCUUUUUUUUUUGAGUAACAAAAGACUUAGUCUAUAGCCCUUAGAGUCUUUUGACGCGAACUCCAACAUUUGACAGAUGGAGGAGCCCGGUUACUUAGCUCCAAUCGCUAUGCGACACGCACUUAUAGCAAUUAUUACCUUUUGACGCGAGAAUCGACACUUUAGGUGAAGAUCCCCGGUUGCUCAGUAGUAACCACUAGCGGAGUACAAUCAACUCUUAUUUAUAACCAUAUAGCACAAUAACUAAAAAUAACACAAAAAAUAACAGCAGCUAGCCUCAAAUUUCCAAACAUGGAGAACUAAAAUUAUUAAUUGGACCAAUUCACAUGAAAAAUGCCAACGAUCAUUCCCUAUGUCUAGAAAAAUUAACCAAAAAUUGAAAAAGUCAAGCAAUUAGCGAUAUUCACCAGAGAGAUGUUCAUGAACUCAACCACAUCAACUUGAUACCUUUUUAUUAAUAAACUUGGCAAUAACAGAAUUAGAGAUAACAAUCCAGCAUCAAACUUGGUAUUCAUAUGAAGACUGACCACUAGAAAGAAAAAAAGAAAAGAAAAUAAACGAAAAAGGAGAUAAAUAUCAAACUAAAACAAAGGAAAAGCCUUUAGAAACUAAAAACAAAAAUACUAGCACCCAAACUGAUCUCCCCCUCACACCUAAAUGACACAUUGUCCUCAAUGUGAUAAUCUAACAGCAAAAGGAAGGAGAAGGGCAACGGUACUUCCGUGAAGUCGUCAAAACAGGGGCGGGUCAGGCAGGAAUUGAAGAGCAAGACCCGCAUGGUGUACAAGUGCUGCCAAAUUCUGCUCCAGGUAAUGCAAGUUGACGCCAACGUGGGCCACUUGAGUCUCCAGUCUUGGUGGUUCCAAUGUUAGAUAAAAGCAGGGUCAAUGUAGCCCAGAAUCGCAGCAAGUGCUCCAAUGAACGAAGUAAUUGAAAUCUCUUGCCAGAAGACUCCCAAACACAGCAAUUAGACCCAAAUAGUGCCCAAUUGGACACAAUCAACAAAUUUCAGCAAUUAGACAUAACUAAAAUUAGCUAAUGACCCAAGAAAUGGGCAACGCCAGCAAUAGUAGUUCAAAAGUCGGACAAUAACUGAAUCACAAGGUUCGUUAUUUAGCAAUCAAACAGGCAGCCAACCAAAUAAAAUCCACAACUGUAGGCUGAAUGCUCCAAUCAACACCACUGGUGCACUCCACAAAAAAUAAAACAACUCAAACGGCCAACCCAAUCAACAACAUGUGCAAGUUAGCCACCCAAAGACUAGACAAAUAUCCCAACAACACAGCAAAUUGAAUGAAUAUGCACUGAGUCUCCAAUUCAGUCAAAAUAAGAUCAAGGGGCACGAUACAGAAACUAACAAAGCAGAAGUCAAGUGAUACCAACAGGGACCCCAACAGAGCAAUGAAUUCAACCAAUUGGAGCAAGUGAAACUCAACAAAUGUCACAAAUUGGACAUUCAAUUACCCACUUCAAGAUACCAAGCCUUAAGAAUUUUAAGAAUCCCAGCAAACAAGCAAUUCCAGCAACUACCGAUUAGAAUUCGAGAAAAUUUAAGAAUUGUAAGCAACACCGCAACCAGUAUCACUGGUGUAUACACAGGAAGGAAUUAAAUCAAACGGUCAACAAUUCAAUAAAUAUCUGAAAAUAUCCCCACAUAUGGUAGCAAUUAAACCCAAAUCUGUCCAAAAUUUACCCUAGAAAAUGUCCAAAUCAACACCCUCUUUUAUCCAUCAAGAAACCCAAACACAAAAGCUCAAAUUCCAGCAAUUUAAGGACCCGAAAAAUACUAAUCGAGGCAGAAAUUUCAAUACCUCCACCUGUCAGAACUUGACAGGUGGUGACGCGCGGCAAGGAGAUGGCGGACAGUAGCAGCAGGUUGCGCGAGGUGGAGCAGCUGCGUGAUGGUGAUGCGAGGAGAAAGAGAGUGCGAGAUUGCGGUAGGGAAAGCUAGCUGGCGACCAGCGUGAGAAGGAGAGCUGGUGGUGGUCAAAGGCGCUGGUGAGUGGAGGUGGCGGGUGGAGCUUGGAACGGAGGAGCUCAGCGAGCUGUGGGUGGACGGUCGUGGGCAGGGGAGCAGCGGCGGCCUUUGGAGCUGCUGAAGGUGGAGACGAGCUGGUAGUGCAGAGUUGGUGGUGAACAGCAGCGGUGGCAGCUGGGUUGCGCGCAAGGGGCUGCUGGACAGAGCAACGGGCAGCGGAUGGCGUGCGUCCGUAGCUUUGGGAGGCAGCGGCGGCAACUGGCACGAGCAUGGCUGGCAGGAAUGGCGGCGUGCACAGAGGAAAAAGAAAGAAAGAAAGGGCGAACAGGGCAGCGGCGAAGAAGAAAGAAAAGAGAAAGAAAGAAGAAGAAGAAAAAGAAAGAAAGAAAAGAAAGAAAGAAAGAAGAAGGAAAAAAAAAGAAAAAAAUAGUUUUUUUUUUUUGGGAAAUUUUUUUUUUAUUGCACACUCAAAUUUCAAAACUCGAAUUGUGAGAACCAAAACUGAAGGUGUAAAACGGAAAAUGUUUUUAUUUUGAAUUUUUUAUUUUUUAUUUUUUAGUUUUUGGGUCGUCAAACACCGCGUGGGCACGCCAAGAUUGAUAAACGUCCACUGACCUUAGGAGAUACAAACACCGCGUGGGCAUGCCAAGAUUGCACUUCCUGAUCACAGUAGAGGAAAAUAUUAAGACCGACUACCACCCAAAUGAGAAACGACAAAAUGAAAGUAAUGAACAACGAAAAACAAUAAAAUUAAUAUUUGGGUUGCCUCCCAAAAAGCGCAUUUCUUUUAUGUUUUUGGCUAGACAUUGCCAUAUUUAUUCACGGAGGAUAAAAUCUCGUGGCUUGUUUUAGUGUUUCAUCCUCUAUAUAGUCCUGAUAGCCCUCGUAAAUAGAGUAAUCCUUCAGCACACGAGCUACGAUCUUCCGUGAACUAGUAGAUGGCGCCAAAUAAUCAAGCAGUGAUCUCAAUUCUUCAUCCACUCCUCUAUCAAGAGCACUCAAUGGUUCAAGAUAUUUGACCAUAGCUACUCUUAACUUAUUUCUGCCAUGAGACUCAAAAACUUCCGGUAUAACAAAAUCAAUCUCAUUAACAGAAAUCAUGGAGUAAGAGUUAAGAAAAUGCGGGUUAGGGAAUGGAGGUGGUGUCAUCACAUUUGAUGAUUCUUCACUGGAUUCUUUCACUUGAAUGGGUUGCGGUUGGGGUUCCAUUUCUUCCUUUUCGGCUUCUUUUUCAACUGCAUCUGUAGAUUUCUCAUUUUGACACUCUUGCAUCUCCUCAUCACUAGUCAAGCAAAUUGCACUCUUGUUUUCUUCAAAAUCAACAAUGGUUUUCGAGGGCAAUUCUUCAAAUUGAGAAGCCAAUCGAUUUAUUCUGGAUGUCAAUAGACAUAUUUGAUCUUCCAGAUUACUCAUUGCAUCCUUCAUCAUCUCAUUUCUCAUUUGUGUCUCCUGUUGGAAUUGAUAUGUAUUAGUAGCUAUUGAUUCAACUAUUUCUUCAAGAGACAUACCUGACAUAGAUGAUGAUUCUUGAGACUCAUACUGCUGAAAAUUCAUUGGCCCUGUUGUAUAAUUAUAAUUGGAGUUAUCCUACCAUUCUUGAUCAUACCCGUUUGGAUUAGGGUUAUACCACGUUUGAGACCAGGGUGAAAAAUCUCUAUAAUUAUUGAGUGGGACACUCAGAUUAUCUUGAUAUUCGGGGCACAUACCGGUUGAAUGAUCCCUGGCAUAACAAAUUUUACAGGUUGCAGCAGCCAUUCUUUCUCUAAUAGAGUUUAGUGCCUCUGAAUAUGCAAACUUAGCAAAAAAACAAGUCUCAUUGCCUUCCCAGGAAACAAAAUCCAAUCUAUCACCAAAAUACGGAGUGUUAGAAGCCAUAAACUAUAUAUAAAAAAAUAAUAGAAAAAUAAAUAAAAAAAUAAAAACAAGAUGAACUCAAAAAGAAAUAAAUUAAUCUGGCACCAGUCCCCAACAACAGCGCCAAAAAUUGACAGGGUGUCGAACCUGUGCAAUAAUAAUUACCUACUCAAGAAAAUUACAAAUUUUGUAUAUAGCGGUGAGUAGGGUCGAAUCCACAGGAACUGGGGAUAAUUCGUUUCUUUUAAAGUCCAAAGUAUGGGGGGUCGAAUCCACAGGGAUUGGGGAUAAUUUAUUUCUUUUAGAGUCCGAAGUAUGGGGGCUUUUUUUGGAGAAUAUAAAAUAACUAAUUAACUAACCAAUAAAACAACUAGUAGAAAUAAAUAGAAAUUAAUCAAUAACCAAUAUGACUCUAGCCAAAGGUGCAACUUUUUAGACACCGUCCAUUCAACUGAUCAUUGAUGCAAAGAUAAUUCGAUUACUCAUUACCAGAUUGGUUAUAGUUGUCAUACACGCGAUGAACAACCAGCCUUUUCUUAAUUUCUCGAUAGUUAAGGUACGACCGUUAACUAUUUCUCUAACCAAGAAAUAACCCUAGGUACGACCAUAGGAUUUAAUUACUCGAUUGCAUUAAUAAUUAGAAAAACUCAAUCCUAACCAACAAACACGCUACGAGAGUUUGUUUAAGUUAGAUCAUACGUUUCCCUAACAUGAAACCAAUCACGCUAGUCGCCACUGGUAUUAAUCAAUUAAACAAUUACGGAUUCGAUCAAUUAAUUUGGCAUUAGUUCAUUAGGUUAAUUUGAAUAUCGGGCCCUUGACAUUUAAAUAACAUAACAAGCAUAAAUAAUUAAAUCAGAAAACGUACAAAUACCAACGAAUAAAAGAAACAAAUAAAAUUUAUUCGAUCUCACAGAUAUUUGGAACCGCGCCUUCAAGUUGACCUUUGACUAGAUGAGAAACUUAGCCACGCCUCAUGAGAAAAUCUCCAAGUAAUUUAAUUGAGGUCCAGGCCAUUAAAGGAGCCAAGAAAGAAAAGAAAACUAAAACUAUGCUAAAAGCUUCGAUAAGAACUAAUGAUAAAAAAACUAUUCAUUCCAGAUCUCUAUACGUCUGCUCCUUUUUAAAGCCAAAGAGGACUAAUGCCUCUCCUAGUGCGUGGAUCCCGCCGAAUUAAGAGUCAAAGUCCAAGAAGGGAACUCUGCCGAAUUGCUUCUUGUUUCCCAUCUCUGUACGUUACUUUCUUCUUAAGAGCCAACUAACUAAUGCCCUUUUCCUUUCCUCUGUGGUCCCUGCCGAAGUCAAAGGUCCAAGCCUUGAAAUUCUCUCUGCCGAAGUCUCUGGUUGUAGUCUUCUUAGUCAACAAAAAUAAAGGAAUAGGAGUCCAGUUCUUUUCAGCACUGUGGCCUGGCCUGUGGCUCGUUUGAAGUCUCAAUUAUUUCCAAAAAGACCCUCAGGUUUGAUAGUUUUUUGUUCCCUUUCUGAAAUUAAGUCCACAAACCAAAUAUAAGUAAAUAUCCGCAAUUAACACAAUAUUUGGCAGGGAUAAAAGGGAAAAUUACUAAUAAAAUUACUAACAAUUAGCACCCUAUCAACUAGCUAGCGGAUAAUAGAAGAGGAAAAUGAUGAUGAUUUUUAAUAAUUUUGAGAACUCUAAAAACAUAUAUUAUAGAGAUUUUUUUUUCAAUUUACGUUAAAGUUUAUGAAAAAUGCUAAUCUAAAUGCAGCCAACAAUUUUAGCGGUACACGAUAUGAUAGGAGAAAGAUUUUUUUUUUCUAAAAAUGGAAGAAAAUAAAUUGGUUAUAAUUUGUUUUUUAUAUUAUAAAUUUUGAUAUAUGGGUAUAACAUAAUAUAUUUUGUCACCUACCUAAAGCAUGAUAUUAUGUCCUUUAUAUCAGAUAUGCAACUAGAGCCCUCCGAGGAUAGAAUAUGUACAAGUGAUUGUAUGCGCUAUAUCCAAUCCACCAUGAUGGCCCACUUAUUUUAUUUUAUUUUUUUGUAAUUCACCAAAAAUUAAUUAAACUUUUACAUUGCCUGAAAAGAACUAAAAGAGCCAAUACUUAUAUGGCUUGCAGUAGUAGGUUAUGUAUAUAGUAAUUAAUCUAGCAUGCCUUUUGUUUUAACAAAGGAAUUAUUUCAUUGAUGAGCAGGUACUGUCUUGAAUGAAAAUCAGUACCUGACUUCCAUUCCUUAAAACUUUAUGUUUGUGACCCUGCUAAAAAGGUAUUUUCUCAUUGCCAUUGCAUUAACUACAGGGAAAACCUCUGGAAGUGGCAGUUUCAGCAAAUUACCAGAUUCAAAAUUUCAAAUAUAUAAUGCCAGAGCUCAAGUGAACGGCCAUGGUAGCAGUUUCAGCAAACUACCAGAUUCAAAGUUUCAAAUAUAUAAUAGAAAAUCACAAGUGAACGGCCAUGGUAGCAGCUUCAGCCAACUACCAGAUUCAAAGUUUCAAAUAUAUAAUAGAAAAUCACAAGUGAACGGCCAUGGUUUCAGCUUCAGCAAAUUACCAGAUUCAAAAUUUCAAAUUUAUAAUAGAAAAUCUCAAUUGAACAGCCAUGGUAUCAGUUUCAGCAACCUACCAGACUCAAAAUUUCAAAUUUAUAACAGGAAAUCUCAGGUGAAUAGCCAUGGUACAAAUCCAACUAAAGAUCAACUCUACAAUGACAAAAACAUUACAAUAUUCUUCCUUGGAAAGGAUUUGCACCGCGGCUCAAGCAUGAAUCUGGAGUUUGUUGAGUCGCUAAAGAUUACUACACUAUUCCUGCCAAGACAAGUUGCUGAUUCCAUUCCCUUUUCCUCCAAAUCUGUUCCUGAGAUAUUGAACAAAUUCUCACUGAAGCCACAAUCAGAAGAAGCCGAAACUAUUAAGAAAACAAUUGCAGAGUGCGAGAUGCCUGGAACAAAAGGGGAAGACAAGUACUGUGCGACUUCACUCGAGUCAAUGAUUGAUUUCACUACUUCCAAGCUGGGGAAAGAUGUUCGAGCAGUUUCAACUGAAGCAGAAAAAAUAGAUACCAAAAUCCGAAAAUAUACUAUUAAGGAUGUUGCCAAGUUGAACACGGCUGAUAAAGUCGUUUCUUGCCAUAAGGAAAAGUAUCCGUACGCAGUAUUUUACUGCCACACAUCGCAGAGUAAUGCAUAUAUGACCAAUUUGGCUGCUGCUGAAGAUGAAGCUAAAGCUAAAGCUGUGGCUGUUUGCCACAAGGAUACAUCACAAUGGGACUCAGAGCAUUUGGCCUUUCAGUUGCUAAAGGUGAAGCCAGGAACUGCUCCAAUCUGCCAUUUCCUUCCUGAGGAUCACAUCAUUUGGGUUCCAAAGUAAUAAAUAUUCUGCAACAAUAUUGCCGGCAUCCCCUGUCCGGGAGUGUAUCAAUAUUUGUCAAUUUAACAUGGCAUUUAUAUUUGCUGCAGUGUGGGAGUUCCAAUCACAUGCUCCUUUUUUUGUUUUUUUGGUUGUUUCAGUCGCAUGUUCUUCCCAUGAUUAAAUGAAACCUUGUUUAGUUUCGUCUCUAAUGGUUGUACUAUGUCGAUGUAAUAUCACCCAGAUGGAAUGGUGUCUGGGUAAGUAUUAUUAAUGGUUCAAUUGUCUGUGGGCUGUUUUUCAAUGUGUUUGUGGGUUGUUUCUAGAUGUGCUACUUUAGUUUUAGACUGUUUAAUAAAAAUUGUUUUUCUAAAACACCUCAAAAAUAGGAUUGUCUACCGGUAUGCUCGAAUUGGGCAUGGGGCCUCACAAAUUCCAUUUUAAACCAGUUUGCCUUUAGAGUAUGAACAAAUUGGAAAAGAGUGUAAGACAAAUUUAAAAUGACCAUUUUUUAAGGUCAAAUAUACUCUCAUGUCUUCUUAAUUUUCGGUGUUUAUAUACUCUUUUUUUUUUCUUUUCGUGGUGAUAAAAUGGUCACAGCUAUAGCAGGUCACCUUAUCGUGGGUGAGACGAGGUAAAUUAUGCUAAUAAGUUCUUUUCAUGAUUUGAAUGUCUUUCUCUUGGAUUCUAUGAUACCUAAUGUAGAACAGGUUGCGCAAGGUUUCAUGGACAAAAUGGAGCGUGCAAAGAAUCACAAGACAAGGCCAGGAGGGACAAACUUCUGAGCAUGUCCGGCGCCAAACUUCGUGGAAAUCAACUUGCAAGGGUGAUUGGUGUGCCAUGACCAGCGCUGGUCGUCAUCGGCAACUUUAUUUUUAUUUUUCUUUUCUUUCUCUUUUUUUUUAAUGUAAUUUCAUUUUUUUUUCAAUUUAGAACUUCUAAUUUAUAUGUAGGGUCGUACUAGGUUAUUUGAUGCUGUUAUUUUGAAUAAAUUAUUUAGCACUUUUGCUUUUAUAAUCAAUGAUUAACUAGCCAUUAAUUGUGAUAAUUUCAAGGUGUUAAAUUUGCAAUGAGAAUUGAAAUUUAAUACUAGUUCAAAAAAGUGUUAUACUUAGGGAAUACACUCACGGGAGUAGGGGCACACUUUUGUGAUUUUGAUGGUUUGUUCCAUGUAAUUUUAUAGAAGAAAGGAGAUUGUAAUUAAUUUCAUAACACAAGAGUAGAUAUGGAUUAACUACAAGUAUAGUUGAUUUACUAUGAGAGUAGAUUUCACAUGUAUUAGGAAAUUAUGCCAUAACUAGUCAAGAUAAUAAUAUUCAAUUAAUUGAUAAUUUCACUUGUAAGAAAAGUAAAGAAUUCUACAACCCUAAGAGCUUUCUAUUGUCAUUUUUGUGACUGUUAUUUUAUGUUUGUAGUGUAGAUUUAAUUUUCUUGUAUUUGUGAUAGUCUAAAUAAUAAAAAAUUUAAAAAUUAUUGGUAAUUCACAAUCUUCCCUAUGAAAUCGACAUUUAAUAUCCUCUAUAUUCGAUAAACGAUAUGUAUACUUAUAGAAAAUAAAGUGUUUAGCUUUUAUUAAAAUUUAGUAUAUGGUAGAACCUCACUAAGUUUUUGACACCGUUGUCGGGAAAGCUUUGGUUCAAUAUCGGUACUAAGAACAAUUUUAUUAGUUUAGAUAUUUUUACUUGUUUUUCUUGUAUUUAUUGUGUCAAGUUUUUUGUUUGUUGUACUUAGUGUCUUGUUGAGUCUUUUAUUUUGUGUUUAAUGUCUUGUUUUUGUUUGUGUCUUUUAAAUUAUUCUUCUUGACUAAUUUUGCUUUUUAGAUUGCUUGAAAGCACUUUUAGGUUCUAAGGAGGAUUGUUUAGUAAACAAACGUAGAUAAAAUUUUGAAAGAAAAAAAGUUCAGAAAUGUACUACAAUUUUCAAAAUUACAACUAUGGAUGUAAUCAAAAGAUAUCCGAAGAUAUGCCUUUUAAAGAUGGUUUAAGUAACUUAAAGGUUAUCAAGAUUAAUUAAAAUUUUAAAAUUUUAUAAAAAAUCUUUUAUGUGUUUAUGAAUUAGACUUUUAAAUUAUGAAUAAAAUUGUAACUAAUGCAUGAUAGUUUCUUUUCCUUUCCUUUCUUAAUCCAUACAAAAUGAAUGGAUUUUGAUUUUCUCCACUCUCCUUUUCUUUUGUACUAGAAUUCUCUCCUUUACUUUCCUCCCCUCCCCUUUCCUUCAAUCCAAACAGAGCCUUAAGGCUUUGUCAAAUUGGCUAGUAUACCGUGAAGACGCAGACAUUCCAAAUGUCUACAUCUAUUGGCCCAAAUCACAUGUGGUCUCCAAUUUGUAUCUUAGGUGAGGAAAGAAUAAUCUCUUGUCUAUUUGUCCCCUCUAUUAUUUUAUUGUUUAUGGUUUCAAUUAUGGCUGUACUUCGGGGAAUACUUACUGUCAGUGUUUUUUUAAUUUGGAGCUGAUUGAAUAGUUCAACCGGUUUGAUCGAGAAUGAGGUCAUUAUUCAAUCCGAGUUAUUCACAUAAAUCGAGCAAUUAUUGGUCUAGUAAAAGAUUCAGUAUGAUGGGGAAAUCAGGUUCUUCAAUAUUCUUUCAUACUUCUUUGUAUCUUCAUAAUUUAUAUACAUGUUUAUAAUAUCAUGAUAACUUCAUUCACUUUUCAUUUCUUUUUUAAUUACGAUACAAUCAAUCAAACCUCUCAAACCCUAAACACCCCCGGCCCCGCGCGGGAAAAAAAAAUUUGUGGUGUGCUUUUUAGUAUCUUAUUCGGACUCAGUUAUAGAGUCCCAUUGACAUAGCUACUCUAGUGCAAAAUGAAGGCGUCGGACAUGAGCACGGCGGGGCAAAGUGAAGAGCCUGAGUAACAUAGGUUGCAGCUGGUUCCAUCGACUUAAUAUAACGAACUUCAAGAUUGAAUGGGACUCUUUGCUCGUUGUUUACUUCUCAAUGAUAAGCUUGACAAGAAUUUCAUGGGUUCACGAUCAUCUUGUAGUAUUCAUGUCGGGAACCACUUCUGAAGCGUUUUGUUUUUGUUAGUUCGGUGGUAAGUUUCGUUAAUACGAGGUAAGUCAACUUUCUGCAAAAAGAUAAAAGUUCACCUGAAAAAAACACAGAUACACUUGCCAGUAUGAAUUUAGCACAACCUGACUGGUACUUACAUGAUCUGAAAACCGGUAGGUGAGUUCAGGGUUGGUCUGGAAGAGUUGAUGUAUUUGACGUAGAUUCAUCAGAAGUUUGAUAUGUUGAUGAUCGUACACAACGUAAAAUAGUAGAUAUACAGAUCAACUACAUACAACCAAUAUUUUGAAAAUUGGAUUGGAUCGGUUGGUUCGAUCGAUUGAACUGCAAACCGAUCAUGUCUCCGGUCCGAUUUACUUAAAAAUUCAAAGAAUUAAUUGAACCGGUCAAAACCGGGGAGGUUUAACCGAUUUUAUUAAGUAUUUAUUUUUUAAAAUAAAUAUUUUAGUUUUAUUCAAAAUGUUUAAUACUAAAAUGAAUAAAAAAUUAUUAAACCUUUAAACCGAAAUCGAACCGAUUGAACCGUAAAUCGAAAGAUUUUUCGUUUCACUCCUCUGUCCGGGUUUAAAAACAUUGCAUACAACUGAACCAAUAAAAAUACUCGAUUCCCCUAGUACCUUUACAUUUGGAGAAUAUUACACUGACAUAAUUGAUAAUUAAUACAACCAGAAGAAACGAGACUAAACAAGGAUUUAUUCAAUUAUGGGAAGAUAAUUAAUAGAAGUCCCAGGCUGCAGAAGACCACACACAAAACAUCAAAGCGACAAAUAUUGAUCACUCGUGCGAUAUCAACAAGCUGCUGCUGCGGAAUAUUUAGUGCUUUGGAACCCACACAAUGUGAUCCCCGGGAAGGAAAUGGCAGAUUGGAACAGUUCCAGGCUUCACCUUGAGCAGUUGAAAAGCCAAAUGCCUGGGGUCCCAUGAAGACGUGUCCUUGUGACAAACAACCACAGCCUUGACUUUUGCUCCAUCAGAACCAACCAAGUUAACCAUAUAAGCAUCGAUGUUCUGGAAGCUGUGGCAGUAAAAAACCUGCGUAGACAUAGUUUUGCUUGUGACAUGCAACCAAUUCAUCAUCAACGAUUGCUUUAUCAUUGUUCAGCUUGGAAACAUCCACAAUACCAUAUUUUUGGAUUUUUCCUGCAUUUUUUGGUGCUUCAUUUGAAAAUGCUAGAAUAUUUUUGCCGAGCUUUGAAGUAGUGAAAUCGACCAUCGACUCGAGAGAUGUCGCACAGUACUUAUCUUCCCCUUCAAUUGCAGGCUCCUCGCAUUCUGCUAUGGUUUUCUUGAUAGCUUCGGCUUGUGCUGAAUGUGGGUUCACUGAGAAUUUAUUCAAAAUUUCAGGAACAGAUUUGGAUGAGAAGGGAGUGGAAUCAGCCACCUGGCGGGGUAAGAAGGCCGGAGUAUCAUUCACUGAUUCAAUAAACUGCAUAUUCACGCUUGAGCCGCGAUGGAGGUCCUUUUUCAAGAAGAAAGCUGUUACUUUUUGGUGAUAAUGGAGUUGGUCUUCGGUAGGACUAUAAUGCGCAAUGUAUUUAUAUAUUUUCAACGGGAUUCUGUCUGGUCUUACGCUGAAACUGCCAACUCCCGGGGGCUUUCCUGUAGUUAAUUGAUGAGCAACAAGGUGAAAUACCAAAUAUUUGAGGGACCAAAUUUAACAUAUUUAAACUAAUAGUAAUAUCCAACAUAGAAAAGCUUCACAGUUUUGUGGGGUAAGAGUUUAAAUUUAUAGAAAAUAUAUCUAAAUUUUUUUACAGCUUAGACCCUCUUGCUGAACCUCUAAUUGUAGCGAAUAUUGGGAACGGUUGUGAGUUGUGACACUUUCUUUGGGUUUGAUAACUGGGAUUCUGCUGGACCACUAUAUUUGUAUGAUCUUGUGAACUAAAUGUAGUGUACAUGAUUAUGUAAAAUUCAAGAUAUUUUACUCAUUUUGUCGGUAAAAGCUUUUACACAGUGCAUGAAUAUGAAAUAAUUAUAAAACAUUUAGCCAAAUCCCUUUUUUUAGGGCAAAUUCCACUUUAUCUCCCUGUAGUUUAACAUUUUCACAUAACCCUCUUAUGGUUUGGAUUAAAAUAUCAAAGUGACGGGAAUGAUCAUUCUCAACGGAGUCACCUAAAAUGUCAAAAAUACUCUUAUGUAAAGUUGAAAAUUAUUUAUUAACCAAGGGGGGUUAUGUGUAUAUUUUAAAAACCAUAUGAAUGUUAUAUGGUAAAAUAUUAAACCGUAAGGGGGUUACAUGGUAAAAUAUAAAAAUCAUACGGGGUUCAUGUGUCAUGUAUUUAUAAGGGUAAUUUUGACAUUUUUAGAUUCCGUUACGAAUGACUAUUUCCGUCACUUUGACACUUUAAUUCAAACCAUGAGAGAGUUAUGCAUACCUUUUAAAACCAUAGGAGAGUUAUGUAAAAAAAACGCUAAACCAUAGGAGAGUAAAAUGUAAUUUGCCCUUUUUUUAUAAUUAAAUAUUAGAUUUUUCUAACAGAUACCUAAUCAGCACUCCAUUUAUUAUGCUAACAAUUAUUAUACUCUUUUACAUUUAAACCCAUCCCUACACUUAACUUUAUUUUUUAAAAAAGUUAAGAGAUUAACUCAAUCUUAAUGAAUGUCCACUCUCGUUGGACAAACCCUUAACUCUUUUACCCAUUUCAUUAUUGGUCCUUGAAUGGGACAAUUGAAAUAUAAAGACCAGAUUUAUUGUGUUUGUGAGCAUAAUUUUGUGAUUUUUUUUUGGUUUUCCCUUUAGUGAAACUAGAAAUUUGUGGUGUAAAUUUUCUCAAAAUUCUUUAGCUUUUGAAAUUGGUUUAGUAUCUAUUAAAACCCUUGAAAUCUUGGGGAAACAAACAGGAAAUUGGGCGAGCAAUAGAAGAAGCGGAAUAAAUAAUAAAGAUUGGAAAGGAGCAGUUCUCGGACAAACCAUUGCGUACGAUAUCUCUGAGAGCUUUGGGCAUCGGACUGUUUGGAAGCUUGGAUUUCCAAUAAACUUCGAGAUCUGCAUGCUUUGCUCCAACUCCUGUCUGGUAUAAAUUUCACGAUACCCAAAAACAAUAUAUCAGCAAUUAAGUUUCCAGGCAGCCCAAAAUUAUCACGAAGUUAAAAAUUGAUAGCCUGUAACUUUGAAAUAUAUAUACACACACACUCACAGAAACAAGUGUGAGAAAGUAGAGGAGCUUGAGCAAGUCCAUAAUACUUAUGCCACAGUAGAAUUCGGCUAUGUAAGGCUGAGUGAAGAGAUACUAAAACCAAAAUGUUGAUGUGAGAUAGCUCAAGAACCUUGGCAGCAGUAUUUAUACAAGUGCAAGAGCCACAGUGGCUUGCUAAAUAUUUGAGAGGGGAAAAGUUGUGACAUGAUUAAUGCUGCACAGUUGAGCAUUUAAGGGUUUGUUUGUUUCGAUUGAAAAAUUUUUUAAGAAAAUGUUUCCUCAAUUUGUGCUUUUUAGCUCAUUUUAAACCCCAGAAAAUGAUAUCUCCUGGUAAAAUGUUUUGCAUGAGUGUGCGUAAAUAAUUCCAGUUACAAACUUACUGAAGUUAUUUUCCACCCUCGUAUCUCGUCUCUUUUGGCUUUAGUUACCUUUAUCAACACAAGAAGUCAAAGGCUUAUUGGAAAUUGUACAGUGGCCUGAUUCACCAACAUCAGUCGGCAAUUCUGUAUACCAAUAACAAUGUCCAGCCUUUGCUUUGGAAAUUUCAAUCCACGAUGAAAUCUUUUAGAUCUUUAAAAGAAUUUUGAUAGUAAAAUAUUCUUGCGAGUCUUGACUUUAUUGCAUUAUCAUCCUCAAUUUCUUGUGGCAGAUAAUGGCUAAUUUGGAAAACUAAUAUUGAUCAUUCAUGUGGCUAUUGCUGUAUUCUCUUCUUGGUCGGAGAACAAUAGCGCGAGUGGUGUAGGUGGUGGAGGACUGGACAGGAGUGGUUGAUAUGUUGACGAACUGAAUUAAUUAUUCAUCAGGACGGGUAUUUUCUAGAAGUAACCAAACACAUGAAAAUUAGAAAUAAAAGAAGAAAAAUUUUUCCAAAAGAUGACUUCCAAUGAAAUUAGUUUCCCAGAGAAAAUAAUUUAUAUGGUACCGAAUAGAUCCUUAGUCACUGUACCUUUCAAUUUUCAUGAUAUGCAACAAUGGAGUAUUUUCAUAAUAGUCAUCAUCGUGCCUACAUCAGUUGAAAAGCUUUGCUGAUAUGAUCUCAUAAAUGAAUGAUUGGCAGAAGAUAUUAUGCAACAUUCUAAAAAGUUGAUUAAAAAACAUAUUAUUUUUUUAUUUCUAACUUUUUUUCUAUGCCAAGUUUAACCAAACAGAGCAUAAGUGCAUCCACAUAAUAUGGGACCUGUUUGGCACCUAGGUUUUUAAAGUAGUUUUUUCUCUACAAAUUUUUAAAAAAUUUUAGAUAUAUAGGAACCUUAAAAAACUUUUCAAAGUUUUUAAAAAAUAUAGCUCAAAAUAACUAAACACAGACAAAAAAAAUUUUUCCCUUCUUUUCUUUCUUUUUCUUCCUCUUCACACCUAGACCCAUCACCAUCUCUGCCAUUGGCCCGUGCUGACAGGCACCUCCAUCACCGCUAGGGCCUCUAUCUCUCUCCCUCUCUUCUUCUUUCUUUCUUUCUUUCUUUCCUUUCUCUCUAUCUCACUCCCUUUGCCUCCUCUCUUCUCCUCCUUUCCGCUACCAUCCCCUUCACCAGACCCCUCCCCUCCCCUCCCCUUGAAGGGAGAGGGGGUGGUAGGUGAAGGAAGGGAAGGAGGAGGAGGAAAGAGGGAGAAAGAAAGGGAGGGAGAGAGAGGAAGAAGGAGAAGAGAAAAAAAAAGGAGGUGGGGAUGGAGUUGGAUGGUGCCAACGGUGGAGGGAGUGGAGUGGUGGUAGUAGUUGACAGUGGAGGGAGUAGAGUGGUGGUAGUGGGGAGGAAGGGAGGAGGGAAGAGGAAGGAGGGAGAAUUUUGAGGGGAGCCGGGGAGAAAGAAAAGGAAAAGAAAAAAAAAAAGAAAGUUUUUUUACACAUUUCUUAAAUACCUAACUAUACAAAAGUUUUUUUCACAAAUUUUACAGUAAGUUACAAUAAAAUUUUAUACAAACAAUAAAAAAACUCACCAUUUAAAUGGGGUUUGGAUAAUCAGAAAACCCUUCUUCUCAUAUUAGGGUCACAAAGUUCAAGUCAUUUCCAUGAUUUCAAUGUGUUUCUCUUGGAUUCUAUCUCUCACAAAUAUUAAUUGCUCCGUUGGUUUUGUGCUUGAUGUUCAUUUGGGGUAUAAGUUGGGCGAAUAAAAGUAUAAUUAGAAGGUGAAUAUAGGAACAGAUAUCUGUUACAAGGUUGCAGAAACCGUCAGAAGGACCCUGCAGAUGAUUAUCUUGCAAAAAAAAAAAAAAGUAGCCCCUAUGGGAUAUCUCUUAUAAUUUCAAGAUGUGAUGAUAAGGUUAGACCAAUGGGCAUUAGCACACUGAUCAUUUGGACUUAUGUUGGGAGCAUUGUUUAAGGUUUCUAUCAAUUGAUUAUGAUACGUGAAGACUAGACACUUCAAAUCACAAGAGCAACGGUUAAUUCCAAUUUUCACUCUUCAACUAUAUUUGUAUUUUCACUUUAAUUUCUAAAUUUUAAAGUGGAAUACUUUAUUCCUUAAAAAAUAAAAUUUGUGUGCUUAAGUAAAAUGGUUGACGGAAAUAGGACACAUUUUAUAUUUAAGUGAGAUACAUAUGUUUUAAGAACUGAAGUAGAACAAAUUUUAUUCAUAAGUAGGAUACUUCUUUUAUAUAUAUAUAUAUAGAGAGAGAGAGAGAGAGAGAACUAAAGUGUGACAAAUUUCACUUAAAUUCAAUAGAUUUUAUAUUUUAGAUAUAAAAGUGUCUCAUUUUCAAAUUUAGGUAUCAAACUAGGGAUUCAACUAUAGUUAAACGGUGCAACAUAGAAUUGACUCCAAGAGGAAUUUUUAGGCAUCAGGAAAGAGGAAUCUUUUAUAAGUCAGUCCCCUCCUUAUUGGUGGCUUUAAUUGGCCCAUAAUGCAUUUAACAUCAUGGCUAAUACGGACGAAUGGUGGCGGCCGGGGUUGGCAUUUGGUGGGAUAGUUGAUAGUGCCACUGGCGUGCUUCAAUUUGCCGCCGUGACGAUGCCAUCUCAGCCACCCUACCCUAAAAGAAAAGGAAAUGAAAAUAGCUAAAAAAAAAUAAUAGAUGUCUAAUGAGUAAUAACAAAUUGUAUUGCUGACGAGACCUUGGUCUAAUAAUUAAGUUGAGAUCCUCCUUUUUCUUUCAUAUUUCUUAGAUCCCAUUCAUCUCCGGCUAAAAUAUUUUGAGGAAAAAGAAAAGCAAAUUGUGUUUUUUGUGUAGUUGAAUUGAACAAAAAACUAAAUAGCUUAGCUCGAUAUACUCGCAAAAAGAAGUGAGGAGACUUUUUGAAACUACGGAAAAAUUAUGUUGCAAAAAUAGACUUUUUUUUUAAUAUUUUACUGUUGAAAAGAAAUUUACUUUCUUCUUUUUCUUUUCUUCUUUUUCCUCUGUUCUCGAGGAGGUAGUGUUAAAUUAAACCAGCAUCGCAUCAAGUCAGUUUCAGCAAUCAAUAGCACUUAAAUGGUCCCAUGAUUGGGCGUGUCAAUUGAGAAGUUUGAGCAAGACUUUGACAAGCCAAGCUCAACUCACAAUAAAAAUAAUGUGUGUUUGGAUAGCAAUUCUUUUUAUCAAAUACUAUUUUACUUGCAUAACAAUUAUAAUUUUCAAUCAACAUUGUAUGUUCCUAAUAAUUUUUUUUUAUCUUACAUACAUCACAUCAUAAAAAAUGUUAUAGUAAUUAUUUCAAAUAAUCUCCUAUCCAAACACAUUCAUCAUAAUUUUAUUAAAAUUUGCACUAAUGACAGAAGUUACAUCAUCAAUCAUACACCAACAUUAAAGAACGGCUCUAAGAAGUACGGAGACUACAUAUUUGAAGAAUAAAUAAAAAUUAAAAUAAAAUAAUUAUAACUUUAAGAACAUUUGUGCAUGCUUCCAAUCCAAAUGAAGAUGCUUUAAUCUAGUGUAAAUUUUGCUGCAAGGUUGGGAAAAUGAAAUAAAAUGUUCAAUUUGGAAUGAAACACACAUACAAUUAUCACUAUGUAGAUUCCAUAUUAACUUGGCCUAAUAAUAGAGUAGGUAAAAGCUCGCCCGUUAGAAGAUUUCUGUUAUUAUGGUAGAUUAACUUGCAUAAGAAAGAAAAAGUUUAUAUAAGAACAUGGAUACAGAAUGCCAAGGAGGCCUUGGUCUAGUGGUUAAAAUUGAAACUCUAGAAAUUAAAGAUUUUGGGUUUAAAUUCCUCUACCCCUCGCGCUUCUUAAGUCGUAUCUCUCCCCUGAUGAUGAAAAUGUUUUUUUAAAAACAUGGAUACAGGUAGAGGUCAGGUUCGGUCCAGAAGGUUGAUAUAUGUGUUGUAGAUUCAUCCAAAAGUUUGGUAUAUUUUGUUAUAGGAUCUACUUUGCAAUUAUCAUACAACGUAAAAUAGUACACAUAAUUUGUACAUCAACCAUCAAUAAUACUCAUCGAGUACCUUUACGUUUGAGGAAAUAUUACACCGACAUAAUUGAUACUACCAUUGGCAGAGAAGAGGCUAAGCAAGAAUUACUUAUUUAUGGGCAGAUAAUCAGUCGCACUCCCAAGCCAAGUUGAUAUUAUCUACUUAGAGGGGGAUUAUAAGUUCAAAUGGUUUUAAAUUUGAUAUUGUCUACUAGUUUAAAAAGGUUUAAGUCAUAAUUGAGUAUUGUUGAACUGUCAUACUAACAGCUUAGAACCAAUUUGGACCCCUGAAGGGAUAUAAAAUUUCUCUCUGAGUUGUAACUUGUAAGUCGAAGGUCUUGAUACCUUUGAAUUUAAAAAACUUAGUGUGUGCCACUACACCCUUCUAAUCUAAACGGACCUUCCCUCUAGCCCCAUAUAUAACACAGGUGUGUGUGUGUGUGUGUUGGGGAGGGGGGGGGGGUGUAAUAUUUGUGUUGCCAAUUAUUAAAGAGCAAACAAAAACCUUACCAGCAUUUUGGUCCUAUUGGAGGGCCACAUCUAAUGUGAGAUUGUCCUUUAGCAUAGGUCCAUAUUACAAUUUACAAGUAUCCAUGACUUGAUGUCAAGAGGGUUGAAUUAAAACUAAUUUCUUGUACACCAAACAAAUUAUCAAAAAAACCUCAGGGGAAACGCCAUUAGAUUAAAAUUUUAUAACUAAUUUAUUAUAAUACCCCCGCCCCCUACCCCAUUAGCCCCGCAGGCAUCCGCCUCCAUUGUCAUCCUUAAGUGCCACUGGGUUAUUAUGGUAACAUUUUAGCAUUCCAUUAUAUCAGGAAUACGUGUCAUGACAAGGUGCCACUACAUCAUUAUUUUAUGAUACUUGCAAAUGCCAUCAAUUUGAGUUUCGAUACAACUUUAAAUGCCACUAUAUUAAAACUUUCCUGUCACUUUGAAAUGCCACUAAAAAAUUAAGAAAAGUAAAAAAAAAAAUUUGAAAUUAAAAAUCAAAUUACCCUUAUUGAUCCUGGUAAUUAAUUACAACUCAGGAAAAUGAAAGUUUCUCCAUAAAAAGAAGUCACAACUAACUAAUAAAUCUAGUAAGAAAUUAUAUGACAACAAUCUAUACAAAUUUAUACAUUUUACAACCGAAACAUGUCUAAAGACAUUAAUCUUUUAAGCUAAUAACUUGAAUAAGAUCAUGUCUUCUUUGCUUCAUUAAUUCUCUCAGAUGCUAUCUAAUCUACAUUUAAACAAUACAAUGAAUAUUGUCUCUUCUCAAGGAUUAGUAAGUAAAAAUAUUAACUUAAGAUAUUAGCAAUAGUAGCUUUUAUACUCUAUUUUUUUUUUGGUGGUAACAAAAUGGUUGCAGCAAGUCACCCUAUCAUGGGCGAGAUGAGGUACCUUGUGCUAACCGAGGGAGUGUUUUUAGAUUGGUUGUGGAGGAGGGAGAUGAACAAUUCUAUAUAUCAACAAUAAUGUCCAGCAUUUGCUUUGGAUGAGAUCUUUUAAAUCUUUAAAAUAAUUUUGGCAGCAAAAUAUUCUUGUGAGACUUGGUUUUUGCAUCGUCAUCUACAAUUUCUUAUGACUGAUUAUGGUUGAUUUGGAAAGCUAAUAUUGAUCAUGUCGCUAUGGUUUUAUUCUUUUCUCGGUCGGAAAAUGAUAGCUGGGUGGGAGAGGUGAUGGAGGCUGGAGAGGAAUGGUUGAUAUGGUGAUGAGCUGAAUUAAAUUACUCUUUACUCGCCACGACAGCUAUUCCUAGAAGUAAGCAAACACAAGAAAAUUAGAAAGAAAACAAGAAUUAUUUUUCCGGAAAAUGACUUCCGAUGAAAUUGUUUUCUCAGAUAUAACUAUUUACAUUGUACCCAAUAGAUCCUUAGUGAAAAGAAAAAAAACUCCUAGAAAAUUAGUCUGAUCAAAAGUUUGGGAUACUUCUACGUGAGAAAAAAAAAAAACCUGUACUGUUCAAUUUUCGUGGUAUGCACGACUGGAGUAUCAACAUAUAUAAUAGUCAGCAUCUUCCCCACGUCAGUGGAAAAAUUUUUGCUGAGGCGAUGGUGGCUUUUUGAGGACUACAUAGUCCAUGACCCCACUCAUAAAUGAAUGAUUGGCAGGUGAUAUCAUGGGAGGUUCUAAAAAUUUGAUUGAAAUAUAUAUAUUUUCUUAUUUCCUACCUUUGUCUUUUAAUCUGGGCCAAGUUUAUGCAAACAGAGCCUAAGUCUGCCGACACAAUAUGUUUUCUGGAUGAUCAGAUAACCCUUCUCAUAUUAGGGUCACAAAGGGUUAAGUUAUUUCCAAUGUGUUUCUCUUGGAUUCCAUAGCUCUCAUAUGUUAAUUGCUCCAUUGGUUGUGUACUUAAUGCUCAAUUGGGCUUGGAGUUGCGUGAAUAAAAGCAUAAUUAGAAGGUGAAUAUAUCUAGGAACAGAUAUCUGUUACAAGUCUGCAGGAACCCUCAGAAAGGACCCUGAAAAUGAUUAUCUUGCAAAAAAAAAAAGAGUAACCCCCCCCCCCCCCCAAGGGGAUAUCUCUUAUCAUUUCAAGAUGUGGUGAAUAGGUAAUUAGAACAAUGGGCAUUAGCAUACCCAUUCGGACUCUUGCUGGGAGCAUUGUUAGUUAAGGUGCCCUAUGCUAAUGGGUUAAGUUCUUUUCAUGAUUUGAAUAUCUUUCUCCUGAAUUCUAUAAUACCUCGCAUAUAUUGAUUGCUCCAUCAGUUUCGUACUUGAUGUGCGUCUACAUAAAAGUAUAAUUAGAAUUAGGUUAAUAUAGCAAAGAUUAUAUAAAAUACUACUGUUUUAAUCAGUUGUAUUGUAUGCACAAGAAUUGCAAUCUGUACUUCCAAUAUAUGUGCGCUCCUAAGGAUGAACUUCAUCUUUUCCAUAUAUGUGCGCUAAUGUGAUGUCCAGAGCACUAGAUUUUGAUUGCAGGAACCUUCAAAAAUAUCUCAUAAUUUCAAGAUAUAUAUGACGAACAGGUCAGAACAAUGGACAUUAAUCACAGCCAUUCGAAUUUUGUCGCGGACAACGCUUGAUGCUUUCUUGAAAUUGGCUAUUGCGCCCUAGCUAGAGACGUAGACAUUUCACAUCACCUGUGGAAUUUUCUUUUUGGGCUCCAAGAUGAAUCUUGGAAUAGGAAAGAGCAAUCUCUUAUCCAUUGGUCCCAUCCUCCUUUACUUAUAUGUGGUUUAAAUUGAUAGCAGAUGGCCAUAGGCAUAUACAAUCGAAAUGAAAAUACCUUCAGCAAAGACAUCAUACGAGGCAAUCAAAGUGUUGAGAUGGAACUAGAGGACGGGUUAAUUUUGCAGAAUUUUGAAGGAAGAUGGUUAGUUGGCACUCACUAAUAUAUAGUAACGCUGGAUGAGCUGAAAGUCCUCAAAGUAGUGGGGAAUUGAACAACCCAUAGGAUAAGGUUUAUUAUUCCCAUUAACUUAUUUUAAUAGGCAUUACUCAAAUACAAAAUAUGGGUAUCCUGUCUAGGGGUUUGAAACCCUUUUUUCUUACCAAACACCCCUGAGUAGCGCAGUACCGGGCUUAGGGUAUCAUUAGAGACUGGAGAUACUGGAAAGAAGCAUGGUGUCUGCUUCUAGUGUCCUAGCAGACUGAGCUGUUUGCUGGGGCUUAAAUCUGGGUUGCAGCAGCUUGUUCCACAACUUUGUAUUAUGAACUUAUAGAUUGAACUUAAAUCUGGAUAGAAAGGUAGUGACGUUGUUUACUUGCCCAUGGACUCUACAUCAUGAAGUUAGUCAGUUGCAGCUCAUUAAUUUUGCUGGGAUAUAUCAUUGUUAUAGAGAGGCUAAUAAACCUGCGGACUUGCUUUCUAAUAUUGGGUGUUCCAAAGGGCUGCCAAAGAUUUAUUCUUUUGAAGCAGAACUUCCACGUUUGGUUAGAGGAGAAGUUAGAGUUGAUAGAUUAGGCUUACCAUCAUCGUGUAAGAAAUGCUAGUUUUUUUUUUCUUUUAAUUUUGUUCUUUUAGUCAGUUACUCGUGUAAUUUCUUGGAGGUAAGGUUCAUAUCCCCAUCCUUAUAAUCUCUUUGGUUUUAUUAAUAAAAUUUGAGUCAAAAUCCUAUCCUCGUGUACGGGGUUUGCAUUGAAAAAAAAAAAAAGAAUUAGACUUUUUGCUCAUUGUAAACUUUAUACACAAUUGUUCAAUUUAGACUCACGAAUUGUCUCCUUUUAUACACAAUUGUUAAAUUUAUCUCUGUAUCUUUAUCUAUCCAAAAAGAAAAAAAAAGUUUAAUGAGGACACUAAAUUUCUCAAGUAAUGAGCUUGACUCGGUUGCAAAAAGAAUUGCAUAGGAUCAUGAUCACCUUUUAGUGUUUAUUAGGUGUUGUUUUUUCUAGUCCGGCGUUAAUUUUUGUUAAAAAAAAAAUAGGCAAGCUUUUCUAGAAAAGAGUAAUGACUUUCUUAAAGAUCGAAGUUAUCAGCAAUUAAGUUUCCCUACUGCCCAAAAUUACCACGAAGUUAAAAAUUAAGAUAGUGGAGGAGCUUGAGCAAGUCCAUAAUACUUAUGCCACAAUAGAAUUCUGCUAUGUAAGGCUGAGUGAAGAGAGUACUAAACCUAAAAUGUUGUGGUGAGAUAGAUCAAGUACCUUAGCAGCAGUAUUUACAGUGCAAGAGCCACCUUGGCUUUCUAACUAUUUGAGAAGGGGAAAGUUUUGACAUGGUUAAGACCGAAUAGUUGAGCAAUUUAGGGACUGUUUUGAAAAUUUUUCAAAAACGAAAUAUUUUCCUUAAUUUGUGCUUUUUAGCUCAUAUUUAACCCCGAGAAAAUGGUUUCUCUUAAUAAAACCUCUUGCAUAGGUGUGUGUAAAUAAUUUCAGUUACAAACUUACCCAAGUUAUUUUCCACCCUCGCGUCUCUCAUCCCCUGGGGCCUUAGUCACCUUUAUCAACGUAAGAAGUCGAAGGCCUAUAGGAAAUUGUUCUGACGGGAUUCACCAACAACAUGAAUCGGCAAUAACAAUGCUUUUGCUUGGGAAAUCUCAAUCCAUGAUGAGAUCUUUUAGAUCUUUUAGAUCUCAAUAAUUUUAGAUCAAUCAUGUGGCUAUUGCUUUAUUCUCUUCUUGAUUGGAGAAUGAUUGUAGGGGUGGAAUAGGUGGAGGAUGCUGGGGGAGGAGUGGUUGAUAUGGCGACAAAUUGAAUUAAUUAUUCAUCAGGACAGGUAUUUUUCAGAAGUAACCAAACACAUGAAAAUUUCAAAGAAGACAAGAAUUUUUUUUUCCUUGAAAAUGACUUCCAAUGAAAUUUUUUUCCCAAUAAAAAUAAUUUAUGUCGUACCAAAUAGACCCUUACUUUCAUCAUCUUCAUACAUAAUAGUCAUAAUAUUGCCUACAUUUGUUGAAAAAAUUGUGCUGACGUGAUGGUGGCUUUUUGAGGAUUAGCAAAAACUCGGUUCGACAAAGAUCGACAACGCCACUUGUAGACUGAAUGACCCAUAAUGUGCCACGUUCUCUUUUCAUUCUUAGCUUCUUUCUUCCUCAUAAAAUCUAUCAAUGACAGGAUGCUUCAAGGUUUUCCGGGUUAGUGACAAUUUAUCCCUUUAAAAUAUAUCUUGACUUUCACUUUAUCCAUUAAUCUUUAUUUUCUGUCAUUUCACCCCUAAGAGACAAAAAUACCCCUCUAUUAUGCUAAGUUUUUAUUUUUAAAUUUUCUACUUCCUAUAAUCAUUGAACUUUAACCUGUGAUUUGGUUUUGACUACUCUAAUUGAUGGUGAUGAUAAAGUUUCGCAUGAGAAGAGUACAUAUAUUAGGGAAAACACUAAUAAUGAUUAUUUAAAAAAAAAACAAAAAAGGAUCCUAAUAAGCAAAAACUCAUUAGAGGAAAAACAACAAAAAAAUGUCCAAUGCUGACAUGUGAAGGUGUGAGUAUAAAAAUGGGUAAUUGACUUUGAAUAAUGUAACUAUAAGGAAACAGAAUAAAAAUUUUUUCUUAAUUUAUUAAAUUGAAAAAUAGAUGAAAUUGAUUGGUAUUUUUUUUUUUUUUUGUAAAUUAGAGAAUGGACAUCCUAAAUUUUUUCUAUUGGAGAAAUUUAUUAUUUUCUUAUAAGUAAAAAUUUGAUAAAAGAAAUCAAAUUUGGAAUAAAAAAAAUGGGGAGAAAAAAUGAAAAAAAAAACUUACAUAGUUGAGGGAUACUUUUGUCUUUCGGGGGGUUAAAUGACACAAAAUAAAGGUUAAAUAGUAAAGUGAAAAUCAAGGCAUACUUAAGCGAAUAAAUUGCAAUUAACACCUCUCCGUCUCCUCUCCUCAAUCCAUCCAAUUACCACCACCAUUAUGAACACCGCCUCCUUACCUCUUCCAUCCCACCCAACUCCAUUACUCUCAUCCCUUUCCUUUGUUCCUCCACUGACACUUCCUGCAACUCUCCCAAUCUGAAAACUCCUUGUCCUCCAGAAGAUUCUCCUCCCCUUCCUUCUUUUUGAGACAAAUUCUACCUCUUAGUUGUUUCAUCAUCUCCCCCAUCAAAUCUUCUAGGAUGCAAGACUAACAGUAUCUCUUUAGUAGAUAUGCAUAUCAAACGAAAAAUAAAACUGAUGAAUUUUCUUCCCUUGGAAUGGCGAACAAAGAAAUGAAGUUAUUCCCAUAACCGUACUCAUAGUAAGGUCACAAACAAUGAAGUUUGUUCCCAUGAUUUCCAGUGUGUGUCUCUUGGAUUCUAUAGCUCUCAUGUCAUAUAUUAAUUGCUCCAUUGGUUAUGAACUUGAUGUGCAUUUGGGGUUGAAGUUGGGAUAACAAAAAAGUAUAAUUAGAAGGUGAAUAUAGGAACAAAUAUCUGUUACAAGGUUCCAGAAACCGUCAGUAAGGACCCUGCGCGCAGAUGAUUAUCUUGCAAAAAAAGUAACCCCUAUGGGAUAUCUCUUACAAUUUCAACAUGUGAUGAAUGGGUUAGAGCAAUGGGUAUUAGCACACUGAUCAUUCGGACUUAUGUUGGGAGCAUAGCUUAAGGUUUCUAUCAAUUGACUAUGAUACGUCAAGACUAGACAUUUCAAAUCACUAGAGCAACGGUUAAUUCCAAUUCCCACUCUUCAACUAUAUUUGAAUUUUCACUUUAAUUUCUAAGUUCUAAAGUGGGAUCCUUUAGUCCUUAAGAAAAUUUUUUUUGUCUACUUAAGUGAAAUGAUUGUCGGAAAUAGGACAUAUUUUACACUUAAGUGAGAUAUAUUUUAUAUUUUAAGAAAGAAAGUAAGACAAAAUUUUCUACAUAAGUAGGAAAUACUAACGUAUAACAAAUAGGGGUGUUCAUCGAAAUCGAAUUCGGUAAUUUGAAAUUUUGAAUUCGGAAUCUUUUGAAAUUCGGACAUUAAGAAUUUCAACCAAUUUCGAUUUUGAUUUCACAAAUAUCGAAUCCGAAUUGAAUUCGGAAUUCGGUUCACCGAAUUCAUGAGGAACUUUUUGGAGUUUUGUUUUGUAUUUCUAAUUUUUUUAUUAUAAUUAUAUAUAAGUUUUGCUAAACUAAAUGCUAACUUUUGUAUAAUAUAUGUUUAUAAUUAUAAGAUAAUAUACAACUAACUUAAUAAGACUUAUUAUCGUGUUGUUAUAUAAUAUAAUUAUUAGUUAAAUGUAUUAUUAUAUAAUAUAAAAUUUAUGUUACAUAUACUAUAUAUGUAUAUAUAAAUAACAUAUGAAUUUGAAAUCGAAAUAGGUAUUCGAUUUCUGAUUUCGAAUUCAAAAAAUUCAUUACCGAAUUGGAACCAAAUUAAUAUAUUUCAAAAACGGAAAACCCGAUUUCCAUUUCGUUUAGGUGCCAAACUCGGAAUUUAAGUAUAAUUAAAUGAUGCAGCAUGGAAUUAACUCCAAGCGGAACUUUCAGUUAUCAGGAAAGAUUAUCAAUCGGUCCCCUCUUUAUUUGUGGCUUAAAUUGAACAUGGUAGAGUACUAGUGCCCGUAAUGCAUUUAACAUCAUGCUAUACGGCUGCUUAUGAAGUGAUAUAAUUUUUUCUUUCUUUUUGAAUGCGUAAUCGCGACGGAUGGUGGUGGCCGGGGUCAGCAUUUGGUGGGAUAGUUGAUGGUGCCACUGCCGUGCUUCAAUUUGCCACCAUGACGGUGCUACCUCAGCCGCCGUACUCUAAAAGAAAAGGAAAUGAAAAUAACUAAAAGUAAUAAUAAAUGUCUUAUAAGUAACGACAAAUUGUGUUGCUGAUGAGAUCUUUAUCUAAUAGUUAAAGUUGAAAAUCUUUUUCUCCUUCAUUUCUUAAAUUUCACCAUUCCUCUCUUAAAAUAUUUUAAAACAAAAAACAGAUUGCAUUUUUUAUGUAGUCGAGUUGAGCAAAAAAUUAAAUAAUUCAACUCGAUAUAGUCGCAAAAGGAAGUGAAAAGACUUUGAGAAACUCUAAAGAAAUUAUGUAGAAAAAUAAAUUUUUUUUAAUAUUUUACUUUUGAAAAGAAAUUUAUUCUCUUCUUUUUCUUUUUGUCUCUGCUCUCGCGAAAGUAGUGUUAAAUUAAACCAGAACUAAGGCAUGAAGUCAAUUUUAACAAUCAAUAGCACUUGAACGGUUUCAUGAUUAGCUGUGUCAACUGGGAUUUUUGAGCUAGACUUUGGUUAGUCCAAGCUCAACCAAAACAUUCUUACGCACAUAGAAUAAAUGCACAAAAACUCCCCUGUAACAUUUUUAUGAGUUUCACUUUGCAUUCACAUUUUAUGAGUUUUAAAUAGGCACGAAGUCCAUCUUGGUACCAAAAAAAAAAAAAAAGAGCUGAUUAAACAAGAUAGAAACAGGCACAAGAUCAAGAUUUCAUUUUUGUAGGAAAAAUCCCUUGAAUUUAUCUGUUUUAGGGUGUCAGAAGAUGGGCCACCACUUCAUGUAGGAUUUAAGGACAGUCCUUAACUUUCAAAAAAAAACGUUGCACAAAAGCGAGAUAAAGCAACACAAGGGCCGCCGCAAAUGGAAUGACGGACCAAGGGUUAUUAAAAUAAUUCCUCAUUAGAUGAGUCCUCCAGAUGCUCCAACGCCGGCUAGAGCACUCGUUCGCUAGCUUGAAGAAAUCAUAUAGCUUAACAAAUUUCUUGUCCUUAUUUUUUUGGUUAAUUAGUUACUUACGUGUUAUCAUGUGAGUAAUUCUUAUUGUUUAAAUUUAACUCCAGUUUUGUUUCUUUUUUUUUUUAAUAUAAUUUUACGAACACAUAUGUGAAUGCGACUAGAUUUUGUUGGUAAUUAAAAAUUCAUAAAUUAUCCUAAAUUUACUUCAAAUUAAUAACAUUGUGGAUUGGAUUUACUCUUGCCGGCAUUUUAGGGACUAAAAUCGAGCAUGUACCAAAUAUUUGGGGCUAAAUUUGUUUUUUUUUUUUUUUAAACUUCAAAAAUUAAAAUCGCGCAAAUGCCAAAGAUUGAGGGUCAAAACUGCAUUGUCCCUCGCUAAAAAAAGUCCAAAAUGUUUUAAUAAUCUUUUGAUUAUACCAAAUUAGAGCGGUCACUACCUACAUAACAAGUGACGCAGCCAGAAUUUUUUCCUUGGGGGCCAAAAUUUUUUCGAAUAAAAUUAUCUUAAUAUGUUAUGUUCAAAAUAAUUUUUAUUUAUUUAAAUAUAUGACUUCUUAAAAUAUCAAAUAUUAACUUUAAUUAUAAAGGUAUGUCUAUUUCAUAAAUAUGUAGCAUAGUCAUAACUAAAAUUAAGACAAGAAAUAACAUUUGAUUAAAUAUUUUAUAACAUCACAAACCACCUAAAAUGCACAUUAUGAGAAGAUGCUCUAAUGUGUCACUUGUGCAAAGACAAAAAUAUAACUAUGCAAUAUAAAUAUAACUAUUUUCAAUUAAAAAAAGAUAAAAGUUAUGUUAACAUACCUUGAAAUCUCAUCCUCUUUUAUUGAAAGUAAAUUGAGCAUUACAUUCUCUCACAAAACUAAAUUCCUGUAUAAUUGAAUCAAUGCUAAAUUUUUGAACAACUUCCUUUUUUUAUGUACAUUGUUAGGCAAUCAUUCACGAAAUUAUCUUUUAUCUUGUUUUGGAGCUUUAUUUUGAUUAUCUUCAUAAUUGAAAUUGUCUAUCCUAUAGACUAUAGAACAAAGCCAGGAUUUUUUCCUUUGGAGGGGGACCAAAAUUUUUCUGAACAAAAUUAUAUUAAUAUGUUAUGUUCAAAAUAAUUUUCAUCUAUUUAAAUACAUGACAUCUUAAAAUAUCAAAUAUUAACUUUAAUUAUAAAGGUAUGUCUAUGUCAUAAAUAUGCAGCAUAGUUAUAACUAAAAUUAAGACAAGAAAUAACAUUUGAUUAAAUAUUUUAUAACAUCACAAACUACCCAAAUUGUACAUUAUGAGAAGAUGCUCCAAUAUGUCACUUGUGUAAAAACAAAAAUAUAGCUAUGCAAUAUAAAUAUAACUAUUUUUAAUUAAUAAAAGAUAAAAGUUAUGUUAGCAUACCUUGAAAUUUCAACCUUUUGUUUUAAAAGUAAAUUGAGAUUUACGUUCUUUUAUAGAACUAAAUUCAACUAUAAUUGAAUCAGUGCUAAAUUUUUGAACAACUUCUGUUUUUCUAAUGUAUAGUGUUAGACAAUCAUUCAAAAAAUUAUCUUUUAUCUUGUUUUGGGGCUCUGUUUUGAUUAUAUUCAUAAUUAAAAAUACCCGUUCUAUAGUUGCAAUUGACACGGGAAGAGUGAGGACAAAUAUAUCAAUAUAUCAACAACAGGAUAGAUCACUCAAUUUCUUGUCUUCACCAAACCUUCAGUAUAUUUGUAUAUGGGUUAACAAGACGAUAGAUCACAAAUUUUAAAUUUUUUAUCAAUUAGGCUAAGUUGUAUAUUUGUAUAUGGACCAAUAAAGUAAUUAUUUUGUUUUAACCCAUUGAUAAUUAUGAAUUGAGUCUUUUAUUAUAAUAUAUAGAAAUGGGUCAAUUUACUAUGGAUCAUCAAAUUAUAUGUUUAAUUUUUUGAACGUUAAAUAAUUAGCACAAUAAAAAAUAAAUAAAUUUUUUUUGAAGAAAAACGGAUAUAUAUAUACAUAUAUAUAUAUAUAUAUAUAUAUAUAUAUAUAUAUAUAUAAACUCUCAUAAUAUAAACUAAAAUUGUAAAAAAUUAGGAGGGGUCAACUUUGUCUUAUACAUAUAUUUACAUAUUAUGAAUUAAAAUUUUCAAAACCCCCCUCAGCCCACCUUGACUUCGUCAUUGUACAGAAUGGCUUUGAUAAGGGGUGGAGCAUGGAUAUACUUGUCCUGAACAGAGUUUUACAUUCUUAAGAUUGCAUCCAUCAUCCUGAACUAGGACGAAUUCGACCUCAGCGUGCAAAAUACCAAAGGACAUUUUCAUCAUAUGCUUAGUGUAGUACCCAGGAUCAUCUUCCUCGAGAUGAUCAUCUCUCCCGGACAAUUUUUGAUAUGAGGAGUCACUUUGUAGUCUAGAUGUCCAGUGAGCCGAGGACACUUACAACAAGAAGUGAUUGACGCGACACCUUACAAGCUUUUGUAGGCCUAUGCUCUUGCUCCAGCAGAUCUAGAGCCUACCUAUAGCUGUAUCCUAUCCCAUCAAUGCGGCCCGAACCCCAAGGACACCUCUCAUGUUUCACUAUAAAUACCCCUCUUUUCUUAGACCCUAGAGAUAACUGUUUCUUAACUCUCAUACUCGGUAACUUAUGUCUGAGUUGUUAACUCUUGCUAACUUAAGCAUCGAAGCCAAAUUGGGGGAAUACUCUACCUGUGCUUUUGAUAUCAUACAGGAAAUCCGAACUAGAGUUUGUCGAUCUCCAGUUUUCUCAGGAGUUUCGAUCGUGACUCUACAAUUGGCACUGUCUGUGGGAAGUGAAGUGAAUACAAUUGCUCUACUCUCUCAUGACUAAGACUUGCUCUAAUCGUGGAAACCAGAACCCCUUAACUUUUGGGAGCCGUAUAGCCGAUCCAAGAGAUCAGGACAUACCAGAGAAUUCACAUCCUCAUGGAGAGGUCAUAGCUCGAGUGGCCGAGUUUGUGGCCUCCAGUCUAGGGUUUUUGGAAGAGAUUGUCAGGCAUAUGAAAGGUUAGGAUAGAGGCAAAUCUUCUCAAAGAUAGCCCGAAGAGUCUUCUUUGUCUUCUUUUGAGGGUGACUCGAAUGACCAUCACUCCAAGAGGAAAAAGGAAAAGGACCUUUCUAAAUUGAAAGGCAAAGUGCAUUCUAAAGUUUCCUCCAUUUUCGAGAGCACUGCUCAAGAACCCGUUCAAGAGGAAGGACACAAGUGAAUGGUCUAGAUACAGAUCGGCCCUCUAUGGAGAUAACAUGGUCCUUUCACCCCUAACAUUACCUAAGAAGUUUUUCCAGCAAACUUCAAAUUCCCAAAUGUUCCAUUCUAUGAUUGAAAAGGUGAUCAUGAAGACCAAGUCCAUGCCUUCUUAUCGGCAUUCAGAUUGUAUGGGAUCCCCAACACAGUGAUGUGUCAGGCGCUUCAUCAUUUUGUUAAGACUUAAUAUUUGAGCAAUUUAAUGGCUAGCCUUCUCAUGCAUGGUAUGCACCGAUCUUUAGAAUCGGCAUAGUAUGCAGGGGCAACCGCCAUCCCCAAGUUUUUGAGAGUUUUCUUUUAGCUCCUAGGAAAUUUUAGGAAAUUUCAUUAAAAAUCUUUCUCUUUCACCCGUAUAUUAUCAGUUUUGAGCAUAAUUCUAUGAUUAUGGCUUGUAUGUUUUUUUUUUCUCUUCUAACUCUUAGCUAUUCAAUCUUGAUAUCUGAUUGCAGCUCAAAAUUUUUUUAUCAUUGUCUUUUUUUAACAAAAAAAUGAUAAUAAAUUUAGUGACAUGAAACACAACAAUGAAGCUGCAUAUUCAUUACCGAAUCGAAAUAUGCAUUAGUUAUUUAUUAAUAGUAUUAUCACUUUACCUCUUAACAUUCGGUGUCACUAUCAAUUUCUCCCUUAACGUUACCUUUUAGUCACUUUACUCCCAAGACUAAUGGUCAAACUUAACGGAUUUUGUUAAUUAAAGUGAAAAGAUACGUUUAACCCUUAAAAUUAUUAUCACUUUAUCCUCAUAAACUAUACCCUCAUUAUCAAUUUACCCCCUAUAGUUAUUUUUUAGCCAAUUUAUUGCACCAUUAAAUCAACUUAGCUAAUUAAAGAAUUCUAGAAGAAAGUACUCUUUUCUUUGUAUAAUAAAAAUAAUAAAAAAUUUAGAAUAACUCUUCUCCUUUUUAGUAUCAAGAAAAAAAAUCAAAUUGUUAAUCUCUUUCUUCUUAAUAAUUGAUAAGUGGAUAUUUUAUGUAUUUUUAGUAUGUUUUACCAGUUAGUUUUGGUGUGUUUUAUAUAGUUUUAUAGUUAAUUAACUAGGGUUUUGGUCAAAAUAUCUAUGUUGCGGUUUAAUUGGCAAAAAUUACAUUUAUAUAAAUUUUAACGGAAAGAACUUCAUAUUUUUGUAGGUUUAAAGACUCAAUCAUCAGUUGCAGUGAAUUGAGAAGAAAAUUGGAUGAUAAUUGAUGAAUUGAAGUGGUUUAAAGAAGGCAUGAAGUACAAAACAUUCAAUUGAGGGAAUUCAAGUAAAGACAGUUUCGACACAUCUCGAGCUAUAUCUCGACACAGUUUCGACAGUAUCUUGGUAUUUCGGCUAUAUCUCGAGCUACAAUGAUCGGAUCGAGGUGAUCUUGAUACCAUUUUUAAGCUAAGAGAUAUAUCUACAUUUGGUAUGAGACAUCAAAGUCCAAUUCAGCCAUUUUCCUAGUUAAAAAGUCGAAAAACAUAAACUUAUCUGGAUGGUCGAAAGCUGAAGCCCAGAAUUGACCAGUUUAUGGUAUUUUGACGAUAUCGCCAUUCACCGAUCUCCAAAUUAGAUGAUUCUUGAAGCAUUGGAAUGCUAAUUCAAAGGGUUACAACUUUUGUGUUUUACACAACAGCCAGUUCGAUGGCUAUAAUAGAGAAAAUUGUAGUUGAAAUGACGUCAAAAGUGAAAAUGCGUAUGGCAACCGAAUUUCUGCAAUUUACUUAGCCAUUUUUCUCAUAUUCACACUACUUUCCAGCUAGAGUUGGAGAGAAAACGUAGGCUGCAUAUGUUUCUGAUGCACAAAGGAAGAAAAAUAGCUUAUUGUCAAGUCAAAAAUAUACAGUAGAAUCAAGAGGUUGGAACUUUGUUCUGUUGACUUGGUUAACACCAGAUUUAGAGAAUUAAAGGGGAGAAGAAAAAUACGGUAGGUGAAUGGAGAAUAUCAGAAUUUGAGGAUAAAAACUGAGGCUGGUCAUAUUCUCUUGAGCUAGCAAUUUUUGUAGAAGCUUGAGGAGUGCGGAAAUGUAGUUCUUCCAUUUUCUUAGUGUAGGAUACUUUAGCUAGUUAACUCAUCCACUCUUGUAUAUUGGCUAGAUUAGGAUGAAGAUGGAGAUGAAGAAUGAGGAAUUGAAACUCAAGUGACAUGUGUUAUCUCUUUUCCAACUCUUUAUCUUUUGCAUUGAAUUCUUAAAUAUGGUUAAUAUGCAAGUUCUGGAUUUUGUGUCUAUUAUGUGUUUUUAAAGUUUAUGCCUUGGGUUUGGUUGAACUUUCUAUGAUUGUUAGUGUUUAUUAUUUGGUUAUUUGAUGUUAUUAUUUGAGCAAGUUAUUUAGCACUUUAACUCUUUAAAUCAUAAUUAAUCUAGUACCAUUAAUUGUGAUUAUCUAAGGUGUUGUUUCUGCAAUGAAAAUUGAGAUUUAAUACUAGUUCAAAAAGUGCUAAACAUAGGGAGUACACUCACGAGAGUAGAGGUGUAUCUGUGUGGUUUUAGUGAUUAAUUUCAUUGAAGAAUGAACUUGUAACUAAUUUCAUAACCAUGAGAAUAAGUAUGGAUUAGUUAUAAGUAUAGUUGAUUUACUACGAAAGUAGGAUUUAUAUGCAUAAGGAAAUUACAUCAUAACUAUCCUAGAUAGUAGUAUUCAAUGAUCCAAAUAUAGCAUUUGCAUGAGUAGUUAGGGAUACCAUAAUCUAAGGUGCUUUCAUUUGUUAUUUUGCAUAAGUUUAGUAGGUUUCAUUUCUUAUAUUUCAUUGAUAGUGUAAAUAAUAGAGAAACUUGAGUAACACCGGUAAUUGUUUAAUCUUCCUCAUGGAAUCGACCUGAUACACGCCCUAAACUACUAAUUUGACCUGUAUAUUUGCAAUGAAACGGGAGUAAUUCGAAUUUUUAACUUGUACGUAUAUCAAAAGCCCGUCAAGUUUUUGGCGCCGUUGCGUGAAGAGCAACUUUAUUAGUUUGGACAUUUUAUUAGUUAUCUAGUGUGUGUUAAUCGUGUCUAGUUUGUUGAAUCAGUCCUGAAUGUCAUUUUCUUUUAUUUUUGUGUUUUAUAUGUGUAUGUGUUUUAUUACCUAUUUUUCUUACUAAUUUUGCUUUUGAGAUUGUUUAAAAGCAAUUUUAGGUGAUGAAAAAGGUAGAUUAAUUUGGAGGACAAUGCUUGAGAAGUGAAAGAUUGGCAAGGGAUGGUUACCAAGUGCAAAACUCCUUUAAUAGAGGUAACUAAGAAAUUAUCGAAGGUAUGUCUUUUGAAGAUGGUUUAAGGUGCUUAAAGGCAAAAUUUAAUGUAAUUAUGUUACAAGUUCAGAUGGACAUAAUUAUGCAUGAAAUCGAGCAAGAGAGGAAUGUUAAUGAUUUUAAUUCUUAUUAUGUGAUUUGUGACUUGUGUGGAGGUUAUCAUGCUACUAAUACAUGUAGACAAGUACAAAAUGUGAAUUACUAUAAUGAAUUAGAUCAUUACAAUCUUUGUUUUAAUCAAUAUGGUGCUAAUUGGAGCAAUUCUUAUGCUUAUGGUUGGGAUAAUCAAGGUACUUGUAGUGAUUCUUCAUAUUUUUAUCAUUACUAACCUGAAAAUGUCCAAUAUGAAUCAAAACCAUCUUGGGAGUUAGCUAUAGAAAAAUUAACUAAUGUGACUUCCGACCGUUUUGAUAGGAUUGAUGAAAGAAUAGAUGAAUUAACUUCUCACUUUGGUAGAAUAAAUGAGCAAUUGAAUGCAUUGUAUGGAGUUAUUUCUUCUAAUAAUUUGCAAAAUGAUCCUAGCAUGAAUGGUGAAAAUGUUGUAUGUGAAAAUGGAUUGCAUGUUGAUGAAAAUGAUGAAUCUCAAUUGUGUUUCGAUGAGCAAAUGUCCAUUUCACAUGAUAAUAUCUUUGGAACUAAUCUUGAACCUCAAGAGGUGAGUUUUAAUGACUCAUUUUUUACCUCUCUUGAGGAGUGCAUUGAAAGUAUAGGUUCUAAGGGUAUUGCUGCCCAAGAUAUUCUCAUGUCAUCUCCUUUGGUAAGUUCUCAAGUGGUGCAUAUUCAAGGUAAUAUCUAUGAAACACUUGAGAUAGGUAAGUCACUUCCAUCUCUCACAUCAUUAAAACAUGUGAUUUUUUCUAUAAAGUCACAUUUUAAUGAUCCACCACGCUCUAAAUUGGUGAAUUAUUCAUUGACAAAGCCUCCUUGAGAAAUAAGGCAAAAAUAGUCGAGCCAACGACUAUAAAUAAAAGCGCUUGUUGGAAGGCAACCCAAUGUUUUGGUUAUUUAUGUUAUUUUGGUAUGAUCUUAUAUUUAAAUUAUGUGUUUGAGUUAUUUUGGUAUUUUUCACUUGUAGGUAUCGGAAAUAGAAGCAAAAGUGACCAAAUGAGGUGAAAACGGCGAAUUUUGAUCAAGGAACUCAACCCCUCGAUUUGCAUUAAAGGUGUUUUGGAUCCGUUAGAAAGGGUGUGGAGAUAAAUGGAUCAAUAGCUCUUGAACUUCAUGCUGUGACACUUCAAUCACAAUAAUAGGGGAGUAUUACUUUCUUUGUCUUGAUUUCCCUUUUUACACAUUGAGGACAAUGUGCAUAUUAAGUGUGGGGGAGAAUUGAGAUUAUAUACAUUGUAUGUGAUUGACUUAUUGGUUGCAAAUAUUGGACUUGUGUUAAAAUUCUAAAUUUUUUUCAAAAUCUUGUCCAAAAUUGCAAAAUUGCCUCAAAAAAUUUCAAGUUUUUUCAAUUUUAUCCAAAGGACAAUAAGUUCCAUACCAUUAGUAGUUCAAAUUCCUUCUACAUUUGAGAUAAAUAUAUGUUAUUUGGAAACUUCUUUUCUCCUUUAACUUGGAAAUGACUAUUAUGUGAUUAUAAUUUUGCAUUUGUAGGAAAGUAUAUCUUUUAAAGUGGAGAGAAUUAUGCCUAUUUUUUUUUUUGCAUAUUUAAUGAAAUUUCUUCUCUUUAUUUGAUUUUAUAAGUUAAGUGAUAAAUAUGGUCAAUAAGUGCAAUACUCUUCUCAUGAUUAUUCUUUUGAGAAAAUUAUUAUUUUUUAUUAUCUUCGCUGUUAAAAAAAGAAAAAAAAGAAAAGAAAAAAUGAUAAAAAAGAAGAAAAAAGAAAAUAAGAUUUGUUCUACUCCAAUGAUUCUUGUACUUAGUAACCGAGAGUCUUCAUUUACAAAUGUCGACUUUCGCGUAAAACGGUACUUGAAUUAAGAGUAUGCAAAGCAAUUUGAGCAUGUGAAAUGUUAAGUAACCGGUGAUCUUUAUUUAAAAAUGUCGAUCCUCGCAUCGAAAGGCACUUUCACGUCUUAAGUAAUAUUUAGAUAUGUUAUAUGAAUAAAUACCUUUUUAAAUAGAAUAAAAAGAUGAUCAUGAGUUUAAUAAGUAUUUUAUUGACUAUAUGAGUUACUUGCUUAUAAAAUUGGGUAAGGAUGAGAAAUUGAUUUGAAUUUGUUAUAAUAGGGGUAUAAUUGGCUCUUCUUUACUUGAUAUUAUGAAUACUUGAGGAUUAAUGAAAGAUUGCAUAAUGGUUAUUUACCUUGUUUUGAGAAAAUGAAGUUAAAUGGUACACAUAUGUUUAAAAGUUUGGACCAUUGUUGGUUUAUAUUUCCAAUUACUUGAAAAUAAGCAAUGAUUCAAGUGUGGGGGUAUUUGAUAAGUAGAUAUUUUACGUAUUUUUAGUAUGUUUUAUUAGUUAGUUUUGGUGUGUUUUAUCUAGUUUUAUAGUUAAUUAACUAGGGUUUUGGUCAAAAUAUCUAUGUUGCGGUUCAAUUGGCAAAAAUUACAUUUAUAUAGAUUUUAACGGAAAGAACUUCAUAUUUUUGUAGGUUUAAGAAUUCAAUCAUCAGUUGGAGUGAAUUGAGAAGAAAAUUGGAUGAUAAUUGAUGAAUUGAAGUGGUUUAAAGAAGGCAUGAAGUACAAAACAUUCAAUUGAGGGAAUUCAAGUAAAGACAAUUUCAACACAUCUUGGUAUUUCGGCUAUAUCUCGAGUUACAAUGAUUGGAUCGAGGUUAUCUUGGUACCAUUUUAAAGCUAAGAGAUAUAUCUACAUUUGGUAUGAGAUAUCAAAGUCCAAUUCAGCCAUUUUCCUAGUUAAAAAGUCGAAACACAUAAACUUAUCUGGAUGGUCGAAAGCUGAAACCCAGAAUUGACCAGUCUAUGGUAUUUUGACCAUAUCGCCGUUCACCGAUCUCCAAAUUAGAUGAUUCUUGAAGCAUUGGAAUGCUAAUUCAAAGGGUUACAACUUUUAUGUUUUACACAACAGCCAGUUCGCUGGCUAUCAUAGAGAAAAUUGUAGUUGAAAUGACGUCAAAAGUGAAAAUGCGUAUGGCAACCGAAUUUCUGCAAUUUACUUAGCCAUUUUUCUCAUAUUCACACUACUUUCCAGCUAGAGUUGGGGAGAAAACGUAGGCUGCACAUGUUUCUGAUGCACAAAGGAAGAAAAAUAGCUUAUUGUCAAGUCAAAAAUAUACAGUAGAAUCAAGAGGCCGGAACUUUGUUCUGUUGACUUGGUUAAUACCAGAUUUAGAGAAUUAAAGGGGAGAAGAAAAAUACGGUAGGUGAAUGGAGGAUAUCAGAAUUUGAGGAUAAAAACUGAGGCUGGUCAUAUUCUCUUGAGUUAGCAAUUUUUGCAGAAGCUUGAGGAGUGCAGAAAUGUAGUUCUUCCAUUUUCUUAGUGUAGGAUACUUUAGCUAGUUAACCCAUCCACUCUUGUAUAUUGGCUAGAUUAUGAUGAAAAUGGAGAUGCAGAAGGAGGAGUUGAAGCUCAAGUGACAUGUGUUAUCUCUUCUCCAACUCUUUAUCUUUUGUAUUGGAUUCUUAAAUAUGGUUAAUAUGCAAGUUCUGGAUUUUGUGUCUAUUAUGUGUCUUUAAAGUUUAUGCCUUGGGUUUAGUUGAACUUUUUAUGAUUGUUAGUGUUUAUUAUUUGGUUAUUUGAUGUUAUUAUUUGAGCAAGUUAUUUAGCACUUUAGCUCUUUAAAUCAUAAUUAAUCUGGUACCAUUAAUUGUGAUUAUCUAAGGUGUUGUUUCUGCAAUGAAAAUUGAGAUUUAAUACUAGUUCAAGAAGUGCUAAACAUAGGGAGUACACUCACGAGAGUAGAGGUGUAUCUGUGUGGUUUAGUGAUUAAUUUCAUUGAAGAAUGAACUUGUAACUAAUUUCAUAACCAUGAGAAUAGGUAUGGAUUAGUUAUAAGUAUAGUUGAUUUACUACGAAAGUAGGAUUUAUAUGCAUAAGAAAAUUACAUCAUAACUAGCCUAGAUAGUAGUAUUCAAUUAUCCAAAUAUAGCACUUGCAUGAGUAGUUAGGGAUACCAUAAUCUAAGGAGCUUUCAUUUGUUAUUUUGCAUAAGUUUAGUAGGUUUCAUUUCUUAUAUUUCAUUGAUAGUGUAAAUAAUCGAGAAACUUGAGUAACACCGAUAAUUGUUUAAUCUUUCUCGUGGAAUCGACCCGAUACAUGCCCUAAACUACUAAUUUGAUCUAUAUACUUGCAGUGAAAUGGGUGUAAUUCGGAUUUUUAACUUGUACGUAUAUCAAAAGCCCGUCAAUAAUCUUAUUAAUAUUGAAAAAAAAGAAAGAUGUGGAGGAGGAGGGGGAGGGGGAGGGGGAGAGAGAAAGAACUCAAUUCUUUUUAAAAAAAUACAAAUAAGAAAAAAUUACAUACUUUUAUUAUUUUAAAAUUAUUUCAUUUUUCUAUUUACCACCAAAUUUCAAUCGUAAUCCCGACAACCUUAAAGUAAUACGAUGAUGUUAGACUCUUCUUUAUUUUCUUUCUUUGCAAAAUCUAAUUUUCUGUCUCCUUCUUUUCUAUCUCCUUUUCUUUUCCUAGCAUUAGUAAGUGUGAAAAAAGAAAUUUGAGAAAUUCUUUUAUUUUUAUGUUUUUGGAUCCCUUAAAGUGAAAAAAAGGAAGAAUAACCUUUCCAACUUUUUCAUUUUUCAUUAUAUAUAAAAAGGGUAAAUAUAUUUUAAAAAUUUUGACCAUACUAGUUAGAUUAACGAUGAGAUAAAAUGCUUAGAAAAUAAUGUUAGGAAUUAAAGUGAUUGUAUCACUAUAAUUUCAAGGGAUAAAAUGGUAAUAACAAUGUGAUAAUGGUAUAGAAUAAAGAGGUAUUUUCGUCUAAAAUUUUUUAGCAUGUUGAUAUAUUUUUUGUAUAUAAUAUUUAUAUAUAUUUAUAUAUAUAAAUAUUUUUGUAUAUUAAUUUUUGUAUUAAUAUUUAUAUAUGUAUUUAUAUAUUUAUUAAACAAAAUAUAUUUUUUUGUAUAUAAUAUUUAUAUAUAAAUAUAUUUUUUGUAUAUUUGGAGUUGUUUUUAAAAUAUUUGUUUGGAUAUGGUGUUUUUGAAGUUGUUUUUGUAAAAUUUUUACUGUAGCAUUGUAGAUGAAAAACAAAUUUUUGAAAAACUCUCAAAUCCAAACGGAGUCAAUGUUAGAGGGUAAACUGAUAGUAGUGAUAUAGUUUAAAGAAAUAAAGUGAUAAUAACCCAUAUUAAUAUGACCUCUCAUUUCUCUAUUCUUCUCAUUCCUACAAUCUUAAGGGCAAAAAGUUGACUAUUCUCUAAUCUCAAACUCUCAAAAGCAAUCAUAUUUGAUCAGGAUAUAAAUUGAAAAUACCCAUACACAUACUAUUGCUAAGAUGUGUGAUAUUUGCACUCUUAUAUUAGCCUCUCAUAUUGCAAUUCACUUACUGAAUAAAAGGCCAUCUAUGAGUGUGAGUGGCAAAUUUGGGAGUGGAAAUAUCACUUUUUUGUUUCUAAUUAGAUGCAUGUAGUGGUUUUAUAUGUUUAAGGAGAAAACUUUUGGAUAUAUACAAAAUUAAUUAUUAGUUUCAACUUCACAUAUAAAAGAUCACAUGUAUUUAGGACCAACUACAUAAAUUUGAAAUUUGGUAGAUAAUAAAAAUGAAAUAAUUAAUUAGUUGAAUAGAUCACAAGUAUUUAGUUUUGAAAAAAAAUUUCUUGGCAUAGUAAAUAGAAUUUUGAAUAAAUCAACAUGUAAUGCUAAUGCAAUUAAUAACAAGUUGAACUUCAUAGAUUAACAACAAAAUAUCAAGGUAAAAAAUAUUUAAAGAGGAAAAGUUUAAAUUUUUCAUAAAACAAAAGUUAGGUGUUGGGUGACAAUGCAAUUUCAUUAAAUCUAAUGGGGCAUAAUAAAGAUCUUCAAUGAAAAUUUUUGAAAUUUCAUAGGGACUAAAAACAAUAAAAAACUUGGCUGUCCCCGUAGCUUCCCGCCGCCCAUGAAAAAUUGGCCACAUGCAUGGUUUAUUGCCCCACUCAAAACGAUUGAUUGGCAUUCUGAAAGAUUAUUUUGCUGAUGUCCAUGAAAGGAAUUAUGUGACAUCCUGUAAUAAUUAUUAUUAGAAUAGGAAAGAAGAAUCUCUUAUCCAUUGGUCCCCUCGUCUUUGUCUGCAUUGAUCAAUGUUCUGUGGUAUAAGAUAAGCAGGAAUGAUUGUACACAAUCUAAAUUACUAAAGCUAAAAAUCAACCAAACAACUGAACCACUAACAAUACUUAAAAAUGAAACCAGGUACCCUUACAUCUUUGUAAUAUUAGAUUGACAUAUAUAAUUUGAUAUCAAAGUAGAGAACAAACUAAACAAGGAUUUAUUUAAUUAUGGCAACAUAAUGGAUAGAACUCCCAAGCUGCAGAAGACAUACGUAAAAACAUCAGAGCAACAAAUAUAGAUCACUUGGGAGGCGUUAACAAGUUUCUGUACUAUAUUUAGUGCUUCGGAACCCAGACAAUGUGAUCCUCAGGAAGGAAAUGGCAGAUUGGAACAGUUCCUGGCUUCACCUUCAGCAGCUGAAAAGCCAAAUGCUUUGGGUUCCAUGCCGAUGUAUCCCGGUGACAAACAGCUACAGCCUUGACUUUUGCUCCAUCGGCACCAACUAAAUUAACCAUAUAUGCAUCUGUAUCCUGUGUGGUGUGGCAGUAGAAAACUGCGUAGAAAUAGUUUUGCCUGUGGCAAGAAACUAUUUCUUUAUCGUUGUUGUUCAACUUCGAAACAGACACAAUACCAUAUUUCUGGACUUUUGCAUCUGUUUUUUGUGCUUCGUUAGAAAUUGCUAGAACAUCUUUGCCCAGCUUUGAAGUAGUGAAAUCAACCAUUGAUUCGAGAGAAGUCGCACAAUACUUGUCUUCCCCUUUCAUUGCAGGCACCUCGCAUUCUGCUAUCGUUUCCUUAAUAAUUCCAGCAUCUUGUGAUUGUGGAUUCAGUGAGUAUUUGUUCAAAAUUUCAG
rnacentral:lncRNA from 1 species